UUUGUUUUCCUUUAUGCUGCUCACGUGAUUUACCUCUCUUCUAAGCUUUUGGGACAGUUCAGCAGGCAUUUGGAUGGUUUUGCAUUUCUGUACUAUGUUCACUUAACUUCCUACCUGGUUUUUCAGACUUGAUGUAUGUGCUCUAAAUAACUUAUGCAAAUCUCAUACGUUAAUAACCUGUGCAAGUAACAUUGGAUUUGGCAGAUUGGUUAAUAAAUCAAUAUAACGAAAAAUAGCUCCUGUUAACUAUGCUUGGUUCUGUUCAUUUCUCAUUUAUUAGCAUGUCAAGUAAUUGUAUCAUAAUUAUUAAAGCCUUCACUUUGUUCAUACCGUAAUAUAAUGUGGUAACGUCAUAAUUAUGAUCAUGUUAUCAAAGUGAAUUAUUGUCUGCUGGUAUAUGCCAGUCCUAGAUUGCUUGUGUUUCUGGAGUUGAAAUUCUGAACUAUUCUGAUGGCAAAGGACUGAUGAUCUAGAACCUGAUUUGAAUUAUUGUUUGCUGAAGUUGGUACAUAAGUACCACAACCAAGGGUUUUGAACAGCAAACUUUCUGGCAAGUUGCAGGAUAAUUCGGCUGUUCUUUUGGACUAAAAUAUCCUCAUUACUAAUAGGUUUACCAAUUUCUGCCAAGGAUGUGAAAUCCUUAUGAUAUGAAAUGAAAUGGUGUGGCUUUACUGUUCCAUUGUUUUGUGGAUAAAUUCGUCGCAUUGCAUGCCACUGAUUGUUUAUUGACACAACGGUGAAUUUACUGUUCCAUUACAUCUGAAGUUGAGCAUAGGAAGUGGCAUUUGCUUCACCUAGCUGCACUUGUGCCUUUGCAGGUUGUUGAUCACACUACACACCGUUUCAAGGAACAUGACGGGAUAACCUUUGUGGUCGAGGACUGAAAGACAUCUUGCAGUGUGUGCGGACGUUGUUGAGCAGCAGAUACGAGUUUACAAGACCGCUCACUGAUCUUAUCUUCAAAACUACUACUUUGUAAUGAAGAACCAACUUGUAAAUGUUAUGUAGAAAGUAGAAACGCACGCCUGAGGUGCCUGUUCGAACUUGUGCCUUGUGUUUCUGUCAGCACCAAAAUGAAACGCAAAACUCCACAUCCGCCUUAGGGCGUGUUCAGAUGCUUGACUAAAGUUUAGCUCUUAUCAUAUCGAAUGUUUGAUAUUAAUUAGGAAGACUAAACAUGAGUUAAUUAUAAAACUAAUUGCAGAAGUUAUAAGCUAAUUAUAAAAUUAAUUGCAGGAGCUUUGGGCUAAUUCGCGAGAUGAAUCUAUUAAGCCUAAUUAAUCCAUCAUCAGCAAUGGUUACUGUAGCAUCACAUUCUCAAAUCAUGGACUAAUUAGGUUUAAUAGAUUCGUCUCACGAAUUAGUCUCCAUUUGUACAAUUAGUUUUGUAAUUAGCUUAUAUUUAAUACUCUUAAUUAAUAUCCAAAUAUGAAUGGAACUGAGACUUCUCGGAAAUGAUUACUCGUAUCUGCCAAUGAUGUUGCCACCACAAAGAAUGGACUGGGUAGACGGUAUCUUUCCUGAUAUCGAGAACCGGUUGCCAUGCUGAGCUCAAUCUUCAGCAACAACAGCGACGCACAAACUUGAGAAGGAAAGCCCCGCAAAAUCGACGCGCAGCAUGCUGAUGGGAGCAUGGCCGGACAGAGCAGAGACGCUGGCCAAACCUCACCGGGCACCUCAGCCUCCGCCAACCACGGCAAGUCACACCAACAUCACCUCUUGCACACAUGACGACGCUGAUAAGAUUGCCCCCGCGCCAAUAAUUGGUCGCGCACGGUUGCGCCUGUGCCGAUUUGCCCGUCGUGGGCUCGUGGCACCGAAGGCCGCGCAGACGAUGCGACGGCCGACGAGGAUAGCGCCGCGCGGCCACGCCCCGGGCAUAAGCAUGUGUGCCCUUGGAUUCUCUUCGCGGCACUUGUCAGUUUGCCACGUUGCCACGCCUCCCUACGCACGCUCGAUAUGCAGGUGGACACGACUGCCCUCGGGCAUGCGUAUCCGCCCGGCCGUCGCCGCAAUAGCGCACGGCCGGCUGCGCUUUGGUCAGAGCAAGAAUACCAGCGCCCAUGCCUAUGCUAGCACGCGCUGGCCGAUUCCAAUUGGCCGCCGCUUAAUUAAUCUGGCUACGAUCCUCAUUAAAACAAUUGAUUAACUAGCACAAGGAGGAGGAGUAUACAAUAAGCCGGGGCACACGCGAAAGCAAUCGGCGGCCGAGGAGGAAAAGCGCGCGGCAGGAGGCGGCCCCGCCCGCCCGGGCCGGACGCCGAUCCGGCCCCGUGUCCGUUGGGUUGGCGCAACCCGACCAAACAACCGCCCCGCCUUUUUGGCCAGCCGUUCGGCGCCCUCCGCUCCCAAGUCCCUCCCUCCCCACUCGCCCCACGUCUCCUCUGUCGCUGCGAUCGGGAGGAGGGAAAAGCGGAUGAUGCUCCAGCGAAGCGAGCAGCAGCGUCGCCUCGGCCUCGCCAUGGAGAGGCCUCUCGACAGCUACUCCUCCGUCAAGGACGUCACCUACAGGUUCGUUCGAUGCUUCCACGAUCCCAGUUUCUCCUGCCGCUUGCUUCUGAACUUCUCUGCGCUCUGGGUCAGAAAACUUGGAGUCUGUUCUUGACCCUCACUAGGAUAUAUAUAGAAGUACCGAGAUCAAGUACCGAGAUCACUGCGCCUUACUGCUAAUCUGCUAUUCGUUCUCUUUGUAUUUUUUUUUUGGAUUCGCUGUGCAGUUCACCACUGAUUUACUGUGUGAUUGCUGCUUGGAAUAGUCCCGGUUCUUAUGCCCGGUUUGAUGGCGAAUUGGUCCCAAUCAUUUUCCUUCUCCCGAUAUUGGCCACUUCACGCAUGCUAUGGAGGUCCCAAAUCCCAAUUCGUACUGAAACACAGCCAUCCCAGCCUCAGUGUCUCACUCUUAACGCCUUACUUAAGGGCUAAGGUUUUUCUCGAACGCUUAAGGACUAAGGUUUUGAUUAGGGUAAACUUGAAAAUACAACCGCCGAAUUCCUUGCACAAGUGACACAUGUUCGCGUCCCAGCAUUCUUGUUCUCUGCACCUGCGUAACUGCCGUGUGGUUUUCCUUACUGGCAACAUGUCACUCUGUCACUGGCAGCUGCGGGUACUGCGGCUACGCGCUGAACCUGAGCUCCUCGGCGCGGGACACGGCGGGCAUCGGCUCCAAGUACCGCAAGCAGAUCAAGAAGGGCGUCGUCGCCUUCGUCGCCGUCGACGAGAGCCGCUUCACGCUCGCCGACGAGGUCGCCUGCAUGCCCUACUUCCGCUCCAGCCGCGCGUGGGGCCUCUUCAGGAGGCGGUCGCGCCUGCUCUGCCGCAAGUGCGGCGGCCGCAUCGGCGACGCCUACGAGGACGAAGACAGGGACUCCGGCCUCAGCGACGGCGACGCCUUCUCGGAUGACCUGCGCGCGAGCUCCGGCUCGGGCGGCAGCAGCGCGUCGAGCCAGAGGAACUACGUGAUCAAGAUCAGCGCGCUGCAGCCGUCGUCGGAGGAUUCUGAUGCUGUUUCCUUCACACUAUGAUGAAGAUGGCGCCGGGUUGCUGCAGGGUGCUCUUCUUCCAGCUUGGUUGAAUUCGAAUUUGGUGCAAUCUGGGAUGUGAAUUUGUGAGUGCAGGAGAAGAUACAGCAAGAAAGAGCUUGGCACAGCUAAGAAUUUUUCAGAGGGUAACCAUCUGCAUGCUGCUUUCAGACGUCUUGCUGUCUGUAGUGCUUUCCAUUUCCUCUGCACAUUUGUGAAAUGUACAGCGACAUGAUGGUUGUUGAAUUUUGCUUGGUAUUAGGAAGUGGUUAGGUUUUCUAUGCGCCAGUUGAUCCCAUAGAAUUUGUUUGUACUGUGUCAUGACUCAUGAUUCACCACGGUUGCAAUUUUGAGUAGUGUUGCUUCAUGUGUCAACUGUUAAGAUUUUUUGCUUUAUAGUUAUUUUGGGUUCUGGAAAAGGCGAGGAUUAGUACAAAUGAUAUAAUCUACUAAGCAGUAUUUGAGUUUUACUGCGGCGUCAGAAUUAUAGAAUCAGAUUUGUUGCCCUCGAACAAACAUGCAACUUAUAUGCACCAGCACCCUGAAAAUUAGGACUUGGGAUGGAGUUUGGACUUGAUAUUUUGUAUGGCAUCAUGUUGAAGCCUCAUGAAUGGACGGUGGGUUUCUCAAGAUUUUUGAAAAGUUCUAAAGUAUUUCUGUUGGAGCUUUCUAGUGUCCAACACUUGCUGGUUUUCAUCGCAUACGUUCCCUGGAAGCAUAUGCAGUCAGGGGCUAAGGGCCAGAUGCCCAGGUGGGUUCAUACAAGUAGUGCCUCAGUUGGAUCACAUGGUGAUGAUCGCCAUAAGAACAUAGAAACGCAAAAAAUGUUAUACAACUAGCAGAAAGGCAAUUAUAUUCUUAAGCAGAUUCUAAGAUUGAAGGUUGACACUGCUAAAAAUCAUUAUCAUAUACAGAGGAGCUCUUUAGCUUCUUCAGUACAAAUCUCAGGUAUCCCUAUUUGCUAAAACACAUACAUACAUUCAAUCGAGAUAAUUGAAUAAUAUGUUGUAACAAUCAAAUCAAAUGAAAAAGAAUUUGAAAAACAUAAAAUCUGACUGUGAUAGUUUACAUUGUAAUUUUGCUUCAAGUGGCUAUUGUGUUGGCAUUGGUUUAUUCUUCAAAAAGUGUCUGAACAUUAUCAAAGCUUGUCGAGGCCGGUGCAGCGGGACUUCAUGUCCUGCACCUGCUAUAGUUACGAGAGUUAAUCCUUUGUAAACUUGACUCCAACCUCCAACCUGCAACAUUAGAUGAAUUAAUGACCAGUAUCAGCUUGUAAUAUUUAUUCUGCUCCAAAAUUUGCUUAAUAGAGUAAAAUGGUCUUGUAACUGACCUUCCCAUGGUCAUACCAAGGGUACCAAUUUACUAGUGUUGGAAGCUUGAGAGCAUCGAUCGAGUACCUUGUUGCAGUUACAGGAACUACAGCAUCUGUAUCCCCACUGUGAAGCAUAAAAAGGGAAACAAAGGUAAGUUAACCAUUCAAUGCAGCCCAUGAUUACGUAAAGCAUUAUUCUGCAACUAUGAGAACUUGAUUUCAAGACAUGUUUGAAGGUUGUUUCCCCCCUGAAGAGAGACAGGUUGUUUUUCUGCAACUAUGAGAUUUUUUUCAUCCCUCUGACUUCCUUUGAAUGAGUUAAAAUGUUCGGAGAAAAUAUCCAUUUAUACCAUAGUCCAAUGCCCGUAUAAAAUGGUAAACAAUACUGCAAUUACAGAACAUGAAAGCACCUAUAUACAUGUUUUACAGAGUAUAUUUAAUGAUAUCACUUACAUUGAAGUGUUUAACUGACUAAAACAUUUACCAGAUAUGAGUGCACCCAGUAAAUCACUCUGUAAUGCAAAAUAAUACAAGAGACGCUGAAAGUUCUGUUACUCACCUGAAAACCCAUAUCUUCAUACCAGCUGCUAUCAGUUCUUGGUAGAUUGGAAGCAUGGAUCUUGGGGAAUCUGCCCAAUAGGUUCCAACUAUAUCGCUGUGACAGAGAGAGUAAAUGAGUUUGCUUGUUCGAAAAAGGAAAAAUAUGGGAUAUUUUGUCAACUACAAUCAUUAUAACCUGCAUGUUUGCCAUGGGUAAUGAAUUCCGGUUGUAUUUGCAUGUAAUGCCAUCUGCACUUCUGGCCGAUUGUAGUAAAUGCUUGCGUAUCUUUCGGUGCAAGGAUCAUAGGCUCUAGACAACCAAGGCUGUGGAUGGAAACAUGUCACUAGACAUAGAAAACAAAGGAUCCAAACAUCCUCUUUGAUACAAAUACACAGUGAAUCAAUUAUAGAAAAAAGUUAAUAAUAAACGGGAAAAAAACAAACAUAACUUCAUGCACGAUAGAAGUUUGCAUAAAUAUAUUCAAUGUAUGUAAAAUGGCCCACACUCUUGCAUUCUUAUUCAAGAAGUGCCAGAUGCCACACUUUUUUUUGAAGGUUGAUGCCACAGUUUAAUAAUUGCACUGUGUCUUUGUCCAUAAAUGCAAACGUGUCCGAAGUAAAUCAGGAAUCACAAGCCGUAUAUUUCCUUGUGAUUGGCUGUUGCCAAUAAAAUGUUUGCCUUGUGUUGGGCCUGUAACUCUUUUGCUUACUCUUUUAUGAACCACUAAAGCUCAACUAACAGUGAAGCAAUGGGUUGACAGCAAACUAAUUCAGUUUAGUUUCUUGUUAAUUUGAUAUAUAAAUUGGAGUUACUACAUCAUAUUGAAGUAAUUGCGUCCAUGCUUGAUCAUCUGGUAGUUACAGUAAGCAUCUGGCGAUUGAUAUUGCAUUGCUCUUUGCUGAGUUCAAAUAAUAUCUUAAAAGCAAAUGGAAUCACUAAAUUUCAGCAAUUAAGAAAUGGAAGUCUGGAAAUAGAUUUGUGAAACAAUAUUGCAGUUGGAUUACUUGAUGGAAUUAUGAAAAUCCAAAAAAGAAAAGGCACUUACGUAGCGUCCACCCAAGCUAACUUUGAGAGAGGCUGUGUAAUUGCAUGGCUUUGUAUUCAAACUAUAAGGAUCGAUAUUGCCUUCUUCAGCACUGGCUAGAUUCAGGUUCUUGACACAGUCGGGAGAAGGGUGCUGUGAGGAUUCAAGCAAGCAUGUUGCCUUCAAGUUGUGAUAAGUUUUGUCAGAGAUCAGACCAUGAGUCCACCAAUACUCAAACGUGCCGAGGUAGUCAUGGUAGUCAUCAGUAACCGCAUUCCCCACCUUAAUUUUCAGGAAUCACUAAACUUCAGAAACCAGCAUAAAUAAACAAGAACUAGUACAACCAAAAAAAGGCUUAAAAGGUGUACCAUAAAUCCUUUUAAAUUAAUCGUGGGAUUCUGAAUGCCCUUGUUCUUUUCAUAUAUGAGCUGGGCUAAUUGAGGAACAUAAUGUCCUGCAAAGUGCAAACAUCAGAGCACGCAAUUGAAUCUUUAUGGAGCUAGCCAAAACAGAAUUCAGAACUUCUCCCACAGAAGCUUUACCUGCAUAACUUUCUCCAGCGAUAUAGAACUCCCUGUACUUGUACUGUGGGAAUCUCUCCAACCAAUUCACGAGAAAAGCAUAGGCAUCCAGUGCUACAAGACAAAUGCAAGUACAAGAGUUUGGUACCUGAAUUUCUUGAUCGACGAAGGAAAGUGAGCCGCUCGCGCAGUAAUGGCCAUGGUUCAGUUUUACCUGUCUUUGCGUCUCCUGCGGUGUACAGAUCCAGCGACGAAUUCGAGUAGGAGAACCCCACGCCGGCCGGCGACUCCAGGAAGAGCAAAUUGGCCGCUGCAUUCACACCCCGACACAAAUCAGCCUCUGCCAACACCAGCAUUGCAGGAACAUCGCUUGCUCUAUGAAUUGGGAGUCAAACGGAGCUCAACAACAUGUACCCACCCUUGUUCCAAGAAUUGGGGUUGAGGUAGAGCGUCUGGCCGUCGGGCCUGAUGCGGAACGGGCCGACCUCCUCGGACGCGCCGUAGCCGACCGACGAGCACCCGGGCCCGCCGUUCAGCCAGAGGACGAGCGGCGCGAUGGGCCCCGCCGCCGGCACCGCCUCUACGAGCCAGUAGAAGAGGGCGCGCCCCCGCGCCGGGUUCACCGUGACGUACCCAGAGUACUGCGAGAACUCCACGUUGGGCGGCUGCCCCGGGAGCUCCCGGAUCCGGUCGCUCUCCCUCUCCUGGUCGGCGGUGGCCACGGCCGCCGCUACUACCACUGAGACCACCAGCAGCGGCACCAAAGCGUGAGCCAUUGCCAUUGGGGACCAGCUCCAGCGGCUGCUGGGCAGAGGCAAGCUGCCAGUGCAGCUCCCACCGGGAGAGAUCUUUAAGGCACUGGAGACUGGAGAGCGGAAGCAGCGGAGCUGAGCCUGCACCCAGCAAGCACAGUGCUCUGCACUUGCCCAGUACGCAACGGCACUCCAGCUACUGCUUCAGCUGCUGUUGCUGACCAGGGAGAUUGCUCGCCCUGUCGCCUUGAUUUGAGUGGGGAUUUUCGGUCCGCACGCCACCCUCCGCCACUCCCAUUGACCAAGGACAGCUCAGGAGCCCCGAGCGGUUGUCCCCUUGAAGCGUCAAAGGGAGGAGGAGGCAGCUGACCUCAUCCGCUGGCUCUGCUCUGACCCUCCGGCCGGCAAAGGCGGUGGUUCCGGGAAAAAGUACAAGGCGAAUGUGCCGAGAUUUCCUCACCCGCCCCCGAUGAUUGAUUGGCACGGGUACAGCUCAGGCGCCGGGGGGCAAAAGCGCCGGAUCAGAUCGCGCGGCCGUACCUGCCCUGGCCGAGCCCGAGCGCGGCGCGCCUCCCGGAGGAAAAACUCGCAGGAUGAUUAGGCGGCGUCCACACCCGCGUGCUGCUAGGUGCUGCUGCUACAGCGAGGCGCACAGCGCGGCAAGUGCGGUGUCGGAGCGCGUCGUAGUAGUGGCGGGGUGGUGGACUGGUGGUGCGCGUGGGAGAGAAGAGCAGGGCCGAGCCGAGCCGAGCUGGGUGCCGUGGGGGAGGGCCGCGGGGCGGCGGACGCGGCUGGCACAUGGGGCUGGGGGUUGGAGGGAAACCGGGCGGGACUCGGGAGGCGGCUGAAAAUUCGCGGGGGGCGCAUCGGUAUCGCAUCUGCUAGGCGGGGCGGCAGCGGCGUCCGUCGCCAAUCACCAUGUCGUCGCGUGCGCACGCGUGAACGUGGAAGCUGGGAAAGGGGGGGCGAGCAAAGGUAAACUAAUCCCAAACCAAACCGAACACGCGGGCUGCUGAAGUUGAACAACGUGAGGGAUCGUGAGCUGUUUGUCUCGUCCGACUCGCCCGAGGCAGGUGGUGUGCUCCACAACACAGUUUGUGUAGACAGGAAAGGAAGGAUAGCUUCACGGCUUCAGGCGGCGAUGGGUAUCUGAUUACCCGGAGGCCGGGGGCAGCAACGUAGGAUGAUGAUGAUGCAAGCCACGAAGCCAGGCGUUGGAGACUGCGAUGGUGUCGAGGAGCAGCGGUCUCGCCUUGCCCGAAAAGAAUUACACGGACUGGACUGCCCGCAUCAUUGCAUCAGUCAGAAAGCAACGAUUGUUUUAAGGGAGGCCCACGCUAGAUAUUUAACAGUAUACUUGUUCACCUUUCGAACUACUUAAGGGCGGCCAUGUGGACUGAAAAUAGUCCACAGGCAAUAUAUUAUUCCAUUAACCUUCCCAACACCAUUGUGCAAGCGGUCCGUAAGAAGAAGAUAACAAAAUUACUCAUAGCAUCGUGGGCAGCCCAUAGACAUUAUAAAAUUAUACUUGUACAGUACCAUUGAGUAAACAAAUAAAAUCAGCCAACCAGAAAUCGUGGAGGAUCUUUUUCUAUCUGAUGGGAAUCUUCUUAUUUCCUAACAUAAAGGCUGCCUGCUGUGGUACUGGUUUGCCAAAAACAUUGUGGUUGCCCUUAGAGGAUUCCAGCCUUCGUACUGUACCAGGCUCUCAGAGCAGAGAGCACGCAAAUGGUGGCCGGUGGACCCCAUUUCGCUAAGUGUACCCUACCACGGCAAAGCCUCCGAGGCUGCUCCGUUCGGGCAAUCGGGCGAUGUAAGGCCUCCUCCAAUGAUGCCAGGUCAGCUAGCUUAUAAAAUAAUAUUUUGUCUAGGUGAAAGAUGGUGAAAGAAAGGAGAAAGAAGAGUUAUCUCUUAUCAAGAGAUAAUCUCGUACACAUAUUUCAAGAUUACGUGAGGCUAACUAUAUGCCAAGAGUUGGAUUAUUGGAUAAGUUGUCUCUCAUACAUUUUUUUAUUGUUAUGAGCAGUAGUUGACUCUAACUGAGGAGGUCUAAGUAGCAUGUUGACGUGUCGACGAAUCAGACAGGAACCAAGAAGAUGCGGGACUGUUACUAAUCGAACUGACUCAUUUGUGGAGAUCUCUAAGAAAGACAACAGCACUGGGAUAGUCUUUUGCACGCACGUGUUGGAUGACUCAUUUGUGAAGAUCUCUAAGAAAGACAACAGUACUGGGAUAGUCUUUUACGCACACAUGCUGUAUGCUAAGGUAUCAGCGGCAAAAUUUCUUUCAGAACUACUGUACUGCUUAUGUUCAGAAUGUUACGUUCUGCAACAUUCACUUGCAAACAAAUAAGUCUAGUACUAUAUGGAUCAGUUUGAUGCAAAAAGUUCCAUUAGUGAAAAAAAAUGCGUUAGAUGCAUCAUGUGUUAGUAUUCUUCCCGAUUGGUAAGUGGAGGGAGAAGGGAAGCCUGGAAUGCUCUUUCCUGAUUUAACUUCACUCAAAACAAUUGUGAUCGACCAGAAGUGAGGCGAUGUGGGAUGUACAGUCACAUUUUUCUUCUCCGAACACACAACUAUUAUUGAAUUAAUAGAAGAAAAGAGUUUUAUAAACACACAUUUUAGAAGCAAUUUACAUGUAUAGGUGUUUAAAACAUAGUAUUUUUCCAACCUCUAAUUUUGUCCUUAAUGAAUAUACUAAAUCGUAUAUUCGACAUGUUAGUAGCAUAACUAAAGUAUACUAUAAAAUAAUACCAAAUUUAUAGCCAAAUAACUCAUAAAGAGAUGUAUACAAACUAAGGUCGACCAACGUACAAUUGACGACCAAACUUUCCUUAAAGAAUCGACUUCUCCAAUAGAAUUAUUUGUAUAUAUGAAAUCAGGCUUAAAGAUGGCAAUUUAAUUGUAGGUUCAAGACGGGAAUCAUACACCCAAGAGUAAUUAAUAGAUUUGUUCCCCUAAUUUACUAUGGUGGGGGCUUGUGCCCCCUAUUCCUUGAGUAUUGUGAUUGAGUAGACUUUAAAAAAGGUGGUGAAAGAAUAAAAUAGAAUAACAACCUAUGAAUAUAUAGGAAUCACACAUAGUGAAUAUAUAGAAAUAACACCAAAUGUAGUGUUUUUGCAGAUACAGUAAAUACCAGCUCAAUAUAAAACCUGAAACACACCACCAUUCACGUGCCCACCAAACCUAAUCGAUGGUAUUUUUCACACGGGGGCAUAUCAAGCCUAUUCUCGAAACAACAAUUACCCAUACCUAGUAGCGCGUGGAACAUGUGGGUACCCGCACAUAUGGGUCCAAUUGUCAUCCCUAUAAAUGAGAUGAAAAUGUAGAAGAAAAUUGUGAAAUUAUUUAUAUAUGCAUUGGAUCACUAAAAAUAUAAGCAAAAUAUAUUAGUGUGAUACUUAGCCAUGACAGUCAAACACUUCAUGUGAAAAAUAUCGGAACUUAUAAAAGUUACCAGGCUUGCAAGUGGGUUUCUACAUAUUUUUCCUCUAAUAAUGAGAUGUAGGGACAUUUUGCAAGGGUUUAGUUUCGAGGAAACAUUUCUGGAGAUAAAAUGGUUAUAAUUAUCCUGAGAAAUGUCUUGUAUCCGGUAGGAUAAGAGAAACAUUUCUGGUUGUCUAUUGUCUCUAAAUCCCUGAAUUGCUUGGUAGUGAUUUUUCCAUUCUCUCCGUAGUCAAAUUUUGUUUGGUGCAGCUGUGUUGAUGUCCCAAUUCAACUGACUGAGUUUGUAGUUGUUAUUUUAGUAGCCUCUUAGGGUUAUAAUCAUAUAUUAUCUUCUGCUAUAUCAAUAGAAAUUUGCAUUGUCUUGUGAUGAGGUUCGUUCAAAAAAAUUGUUUGGUAAGAAUCCUUCUAUUUAUAUGAGAGAAUCACGUUGCAUAAUCCCCACCAAACGGCCCAUAGUAUCCGCAUUGCAGUGCAACUCAUAGGACGCAGCAUUUGGUCUGUUUAAAAGUACACCAUCCUCAAUGCUGCAACGUUUGAGUCACAAAAUCUGCAGGAGUUUGGAGUCUGAAACUGGCUGACAAAAAACAGAGCGCAAACUACAUGUUUGGAAGUAGCUUUGACACGCGAUGUACUACUAUUGUUCAAGAUCUUUUGCUUUCAAGUACUACAGGCUAGAGCGACGGAAGUCGGAAGCUACUACUAUUCCCUCCGUAUAUUUUUAUAAGACGUACGCGUAUAUCAAGAUUCAAACUUUGUUAUUUUUGACCAAUAAUUUAACCAAUAAAUUUUUAUUUUUAUAAUGCAAAUUGAUUGGAUUUGUAAUCAAAUGUACUUCCCAAUGACUCUAAAUUUAUAAAACCAUAAAUAAUAUAAGACAAGAUAAAUUAAUGAUAAAAGUGUAAUUUGUAACAUUUUGCCAAUAGAUCAUAUCACACCUUAUAAAAAUAUAAAAAUAAAAUGGAGGGAGUACACUAGAGGACCGGCGAUCAACUUGCCAGGUCCGAUUCUGGUUCGAUGGCAGAGCGGAGUCCCUGACGAACCAUCAUCUGCGCGUAGAACUCGGCGUGCUCCUGUCCAGGCAUCGAAGUACACCGUUUAAGCAAUAAUUCCUUGUGGCUAUAGAAACUAGACUAGAUCGAAGCUCUAUAGACCUUUUGCAUUUCAAAUAGUAUCAGGCGGGUGCGAUAAGAGUUGAGUAUUAACAGAUACCUUGACGGCGACGAUGACAAGCGCGACGCCUUUCAGGCGAGACUCGUGGAAGAGCUGCCGCGCAGCUUCCGCGGUAAUGGAUGGCACCACCUGCGGCAAGGCCUUCUCCACUGCACAGUCGGGCACGACGCACGACGACAGUCGACAGCAGACGUGAGUCACAGGCUCGGGAAACUUGCUUGGGAUAUCCAGAACGUGCUGUGCUGGUGGGUUUGUUUCGAGCGAGUACAGCAGUGUGCUUACCGUGCUUCUCGGUGUGGCGCACGUCGUCCACGAGCAAGACCUUGUAGCUGUCGCCGCUUCCGGAGCGCCUCCCAUCCCUGAGCCUCCCGGGGUCCCCUCCUUCCUGCGUGACGGGGAGCGUGUCGAGCUGGGACUGGUCAAACGCUGGCCGCUCCAGCACCGCGCCGCCGCCGCCGCUCGCAUGCGGCGCCGCGACAACACCCGCCGUCGCCUUCUUCCGAUGCCGGGCUCUCAGGUUCACGGAGACGGUGGAGGGGAGCGGGGUGGUGGUGGUGGUUGUGGCAGUGCUCGGGAAGACGAGCGCGGUGCACGCGGCUGCUCGGCCGCUGAUGGCCAUUGCCAAUGUCAAGACUCGAAACCAGGAUAAGCCCUCGGCGUUUGGGAAACUGGCGGCGAUAAGGUUGAGCGUGAUUGCGUGAAGCAAUGCAGGGAUUGCAGGCAGCCAAAGGCACAAAGUAGAAAGCUUCUUCUUGCUCGGGGGAGAAGCAGGUGGUCUUGCUUGGCAAUGUCGAGAUUUAUUCAGGGUUCAACUAAACAUAGUGCCAAAAACGGCAGGUGGACCGUUUGAGAAAACUCUAGAUCCUGUGUGUAGCACCGGUGAAACUGGAAUUAUUCUCCCCUCGCUCUCCGCGGUACAAGUACUGCAAGUGUACAAAAACCACACCACAAAACAAGGGCAAGACGCUGAUGUCUGAAUGGCCACCAGUUUGCCAGGAGUCCAGGACCAUACAGCACCACAUUGGCUAAAAAGCCGGUCGGAGACGAACAAGACUGGGUGAGUUUCUGGUCAUGGAAAGUUCCAGAACCAAACGUAGUGGAGCCGUUCCCUCCGAACAAGUGCAAACCGUUUGGCAUAACCAAAAAUCAGGGACCACAAUGGCAAUUGCAGCUUCGUAACGACUCUCCAGGGUUCCAACUGAGAAGAAACAGCAGCAUAGAACGGAGGAGAAAAUCAAUUUCUUUCUCAAGAAAAGAAAGGAAAAUUUAUAAUCUUUGUGUUCCAGUUAACAUACCACCACGGUGCAACAUUUUGCAGCAAGUAGAUACAAAAAUGAUUUAUAUAUAACAAACUUUUAUGCACAUUACGGCUGCCCAAGGGUUACAGCCGAAAUUUCUAGCUUCUAUAAACUAUUAAUUCUGCGCAAUUACACCAGACAAAUUGACUUCAGGUUUGGAAGGCGAACUUCCCUCAGCCUCAGAUCACCAAGUAAUUAUCAGUAACCAAUUGAAUCCUCUCUGAAAACUUUGGAGGGCUACCUUCCCUUAGCGGAAGAAUAGCGGUAACCUGAAACAGUGAUUUGCAAAAAAAAACCACAAGAAUUAUAAAUUGUAUGUAGGGGAAGAAAAUAAAUUCAGGAAUUAUACUUUCAUAGUUUAUCAAGUUAACAGUUGGUAAAAAAAUGACAGUGAACCAUCAGGACACUGUAUUGUACAAAGCGGGGUGUAAUAUUUGCUAAAACAUUUAGAGCAAAGUGGUAGGGGUCAUUAUUUUUCCUAUUUUUUAAGAAUCGGUAAGUGGAUCUUUGUUUGGUGCUUAAACAAUAAAUUCAACCUCCUCAGACCAAAUUGGAUGCUAAGGACCAGAGCAUUAUUUGAGUUGUAUAGGUUAUGCACUUAUGCAGUACUUCCUCCGUCCCAAAUUAUAGGUCGUUUUGACUUUUCUAGAUGCACAGAUAUUAUUAUGCAUCUAGACAUAGGGUAUAUCUAAGCGCGUAACAAAGCCUAUGAAUUAAAAAAGCCAAAACGAUCUAUAAUUUGGGAUAGGAGAGAGUAUUAAGCAUUGCAAAGCAAUCAGGGAUCUGGUGUAAGGUAAGGAAGAGUUUCUGGUGCUAUUUUAUGGCAUAUUGAGUGAGAGUGGGUACAGUACCCCACGGUUUUGCCGUAAAGCAAACAAACACUGAACUCAUAGAGCUAAUGAAACUAUGCAGCCAACAAAACAACAAGUGACAUUCUAUACUCUUAAGGUGUAAUUCUAAACUAACCGACUGCCUCCCCAAAUUUUCUCUCAUUAUACUCCUACUCAUUCUUCAUCAGUAAGCUCAUAUUUCAGAAGCAGGUAGAUGUUCUCGGAAACAAGAAACAACCAACCUUCAAAUCACUGAAGGUGCUUGACGCAGAAAAAACAACCGAGAUGGGGAAAAAUGUUGAUGGGUCAGCUGCAGGAACAGCAAAUUCCAUAGAACCACUGAAAAUGAAGUGACAUCAAGCAUUAACAACAGUGUUGGGGACAAAAUGCAUGAAAUAAAAAAUAAUGAGUUAGCAUAUGCGCCAUGUACCUGCGGUUGGAUUGAUCAAUAAGAGUAAUUGACCAUUCCAUCACUGAGUUUCUUGAGUCAUACCUGCACGCAACAAAAGAAAGAGAAAAGUUAAUAUAUGCAACUAGAGACCAGCUGGAUGGGCGAACAAAGAGACCAUCUGAGUGCUGAGAUAAAUUUUAAUCCAACAGGUGCACUUUUAAAGAGGCAAACUUUGAAUUGUAACACUUCUAAAAGGAAUUAUUAUGAUGCAUUAAGUAUGAAAUAUUAACUUAUGGUAAACAGAGGCUAGAGACUGUUUUGUGGACCUGAGUAUUCAAUCAGCAAAAAAUUACUUAUACAAAUUACAAAUAGGCCUAGACCUGCAUUCCAAUUUCUUGUAAAGCAAACAGCUUCACCUUUUUCUGUAACCUCAACUCCAUGUUCGCACCCAAAGGCUUGUUGGAUAUGUUUUCUUUCAGAUGCACAGUUUAACUUACAACUCUUAGCAUUAUUUGGGUUGGCACAGGUUAUUCUUGGGACAUACACAUUACCAGAGUAUUUAAAACAGGAACAUGAAGGUUUUGAAACAUACUUCCAUUCUCCAUCUAUCUGUCUAACACUUGGAGCUUCCCUGAGUGCAGGCAGAGGUAUAGAAAUGACAACAUUGUGUAAAUCAAACAUCUCAGAAGCUUCAUACUCAAUGUUCACAUAUGUUUCAUUUCCAGAGACUGAAGGCCAGCAAUUGACUGCAAGUGGCAAAAAUAGGUUACACAAGUCUAAAUUUGCAAUUAAUUUUAGCAAACAAUUGAAACACACCUGAUAAUGGCAGAGAUGACUCAUCCAACUCCUGGAUUCUCCACUUCACAAAAGGGGUUUCAUUAUGACCACUGGGGAAAGGCCUGUUUGGAUCUUUUGCCCCAACAAUUUGCUGACUAUUGAACAGCUCUUUGUUAAUAUAAGGGUGUGUCUUGAAGCUAAGUCCAGGUAGAUCUUGAUUCUCAAUCUGUAAAGCACACAAAUAUAGUAUGUUCCACCAAUUAAAAAAACUUUAUUAAUUGGAAAAAUAAUGUUAACCAAAACACAGCCUUGGAAGCAGGUAAUAGUGAUCAUAUUCAUGAUGUUUACGAUAGCAGGGAUACACAACAAGUUUCAAAUAAAAUUAAAAGAAUCUCAAGGCAUAUGGCAGAAACAGUGCGAUUUCUGCAACAAACAUUUGUAUAUCAUAUAAUUAGGAAGAAAAAAAGAGAGCUUCAGCAAUUAAUCAAGCGAAGAAUGUAACUACCAUAAAUUAAAUAGUUUUUUAUAUUAGAAGCACAGAUAUAUGGAAAGUAGUGUAGUAGAGCAACACUUGACAAGAGACUCGUAUUGGGCCAGAUAAAUCAGACAGGAACGGAUUGAGUGGUAGACAUCAGUAUGACAAGAGGCUUUUUUAUGCUUGACUCUGAAACUUUUCUAAGGAAAAAAAAACAAAGUAUUGAACACGAAUCAAAGGUCCAGAAAACAAAUAUAGAAAAUGACCUGCAACUGGAUAAAACCAUUGGUAUCAUUCAGAACUUGAAGAGCAAGGGUUCCUUGAACAUCAAAAUUAUGAAUCCCACCAUCUCUUUUAACAGUGACAUUGAUCUUUUCUUCAAUUGCCACUGCGAUAGGAUCACUUGGUGGGACAGAUGACAGCCUCGACUGAAUUCCACUUGGUCGGGUGUCCUCCGAAAUGAGUUCUCCUUCAGCUUUCAGAGAUUCUAGGAACUGAUUUGUCUUCCUUGCCUUGCCCAAUUUCAUACCACCAGCCACUUUACUAGUAGCAGGAGUAGAAGCAGAAGGGAGCCCUGUACAAAUGCCACAAGUAAUCAACAUAAAAUAAUAGCUGCUCGUAAUAGAGGCAUUCAUUAGUGAGGAUUCCUUUCCAAAAUCCACUUGAAAGCUGAGAGCUUAAAUUCGCCUGAAAGUUCUGUGGUGGAUUUGAGAAUUCACACCAAAAUUUUUUGAAAGAUACAAAAUUCACAAUCCACUAUCAUCAAUUCUCAACAAUGCAAUCAGAACUACUAUAUAACCAUUAACACCAGUAAUAAAAUUAAUUAAUGGCGUCAGAAUUUCCACAUAUGCGUUUGCUUGGGUACUAACCUUUGGGCUUUUGAGCGAAUGAGUCAGCAAAUAUAGGAUCACCUCCUAGACCAGUGCCUCUCGUGUUCAUGUCACUAAAACCAUUUGGAGGCCUCAGGGGACCAAAUGCUUUUUCAGUCUUGCCUCUAUCAAUCUGCAUAAAUCCAACAAGAUGCGAUAUUAUGUAUUGGUCACAAUCUUGUGGAUACAAGUUUUAAUACCAUUGCAAGUCAAUCAAAGAGCACAGGUAGUUGCACAUAGUUUUGCAGGGUACUCUAUGAGUCUAUGUUUAUCCCUCCCGGAGAUAUUAAAUUUUCUAGAGAAAAAUGACAGCACUGUAUGCUGCGAACAAAAUAACCAUGAUCGAAUAGGAAAAAUAGUUUGUCUGGCCAAAAUUUCUAAGGCAAUCAGAGACCUGCCAUAAAAAUGAAUGAAGAAUUCAGGAGAAAAAUUGCCAAUCACUGCGUCCCAGUUUAGACCGACGUUUUCCUAAUAAACUAACCCAGCUCUUCCUACCAAUGUCACAUGCCAAAAUGUAGCCAACAUGCGAAUAGAGACAAGGAGACAUGACUUAAAUUUGGUGCCACAACCAAGACUCAAAUCCUACAUAUUCUAAUCCAGAUUCAAAUACUUAUGGGUGGAAUAUAUUUCCAGCCUAGAAAUCUCAUAUAUGGUAACUUAGUUCUCUUUCAUCAAGUUCUCCAUGUGGCUUCAAAUCUUCAUUCAUCUUUUAGCAAGAUAGUUUAUGAGAUGAAAAAUAUAAGUAACUCAAAAUCUAUUGAUUGCAAUAACUUUUUUCCUCACAAAACAUUAUAGCAGAUUAAUAAUGAUGACUUAGAGUACAUAGAUUGCAAUCAUGAAAGUGGUAAAAGUUAUAAUGGCCAUUGCCAUGCUUAUAGGAUUGUAAACUUAGACCUAUCUUUCAAAAAUUUAUCAGCAACUACAGAACUGGAAUAUACCUAACAGAAGACAGUGAUUAUUAGAUUAAGAUCCCAUGUGAGGAAACAAAUGGAGUAGCAAAUGAGGAAGAGCUCAGAUAAGUAAAUAUUUUGUGUGGACUCAAAUCUUUUAGAGUUAUUAUGGUUAAUGUUUACCAAAUUUCAACUUAACAGUACCAAGGCCUGCAAGAAGAAAAAAGAUCCCUUGAUGUUCAAGAUUCAAGAGAAGUGUGUAUGUUUUAGAAAAAAAAAAAGGGCAAACCUUGCUUUUCUCGAUCUCAGUAACUCUCCUCCUCAUGUGAUCCUUAGUUUCAUUUAUUUUGCUCUGCAUGACAAGUUUGUACAGCUUCUCUUCAUGGCUCUCCAUCUCACAAUACUGUUUAACUUGAGCAACAGUAACGUUUUCUUUGUUUCCAAGGGAAAUGGCUUCAUCAAAAGCAGAAGCAAGGUCAAAUGCUGCCCUACAGACACCUUCCUCAUCCAAAGAGGGAGAGUAUUCAGGUACCUUUAUACAUGUUCAAGGAAACCAUUGGAUUGAAUUGGCAUUUUCAAUAUGCAAAUGCUAUAAGUUUAUAGUUAGGUCAUAAGCAAGGACAACUGGUGCUAACACAGUGAUUCAUGUCUUGGCCUUUGUUCCAAAAACAAAAGGGUGGGUAUGUUCAAAUGCAUAAUCCAAAAGAAAAACAUGCAUCUAAUGCCAUCCGUGUAGCAAAAGUAAAUGAUACAGAGAUGGCAAAAAGAAAUCCUUUUCUGAUGUUGACUACGCAAUCUUCUAGCAGUAAACUAGAUGUUGAUGGUAUGAAUAUAACACAAACUGGGAACAGGAUACGAGCUUAGAGAGCAGCCUCAGUGUCUCCAGGUCUUCAAGAAUGUUACUCUGCUUAUUUGUGAUGACUAGCAGAUAUAAGGCUUCAAUAGGCUGAUAAACAUAGCGGACAUUUUCAGUCUCAACAUAGGUGUGUUGCUUUCCAGUUCCCACCAACUUCGGAAAUGCUGCAAGCAGUCCCUCGAUCCUGCUCCGAGACAUAUCAACAAAUUGUCUCGAAACAAGUGCUGCAGUUGAAGAAAAACAGAAACAACACAUUAUUUUCUAUUAAGAAUUUCAUCAGGCAAAUAGUACAGAGAAAUUUGUUGGCGGUAGCUUGACAAAAAUUAAAUGCAUAAGAGGAAACCCAUAAAUCUACUAAACGGAGCCUAUCGGGGAAAGGCCAUUAAGUGUUGACGCAACUACAGACUCAUGACUACAUAUAAACGCAAAUAUGCUACCAAAAGUAAAUAGGCUAAAUGUUCAAGGAUGAAGACAUAUGCUACAGGUACAAAAGUUACAAAAAAGGUAAGUGUUUGAGGAACAAAGAUAUAUCAUUUAUGAAUCAACAAUAAUACAUUAAUAAUCAAAUUUAAUAAAUGGGCAAUUCUCAGCCAAUUCUUAGCCAGCUUACCUUUUCCAGAUUUUGAUAUUAUAGAGGCUGCAAGGACCACCUGUAAUACAGGAAAAGGAAAAAUGAUUGAUUAUGGAUACCAAAACACGAGAUGCAACAAAGGUUACAGGAAUAACACAUAUUUAUCACUGCAAUGCCCUCUAGGCACCAGGAUCAAAGUGAAUUAGUUAUAAAAAGGAAAAAACAGCUUUGAAUCAUUCAAUCAUACCAUUUUCAAUGGUUUUGUCACCCAGGAAUAACAAAAGCUGAAUGGAGUAAUUGAUCUGCAAAAAAGAGGGUAAUUAGUUCCACAAACAAAAAGUCAUGUACAAUAUAUAACAAAGCGACUAAUAAGAACUGCAGAAGCACACCAUUCAGACUACUCAGAGAACUUAGUCACAAAAAAAAAUUCAUGCAAUUUCCAUGCUAUCAUAAGUUGGUAAAAUGCAACAAGACAAGUCAAAGGGCAGGACAUAUGAAGUUUUUAGAAAUCUCAAUUAUAAUAAUAUGAUAAUAACCCAUAGACAUAUAUCUCAAAAAGUCAAAACAAUGAGGACUUGUAAGAGUAGUUUUACAUGGUCAAUAAUUUGAGUUUAGCAUAACUGAUUUUUCUUCUUGUUUCACAGGUUUUUUAUUGUACCCUAACCAAUAGCAAAACCCAUUGCCAUGUUAUGCUGGUUUUACCAUGAACCUAACUUAAGGUUUUAGUUGGCCACAGGCUCUAAAUACAAUUUCAUUUUGAUAUAAAAAAAGUCAGAUCCAAAUAACAACUGCAAAACUCGAGCUAAAUUCUGCGCGCACAAGUCAAAAUGCUGGAAUGCCCAGGUCCAAAUUCUGAACCAACUGAUAACAAAAAGCUCAGGCUUCAGGAUCAUCCGCGGACUUAAACGUGGUGGCACUGUGGUCCAGGACAACCCACGGAAAUUACGGAAAACAAACAAUAUUCAGACGCCGCAAACAAAUCCGCAACAAUCUGGAUGGGCUCGUUCGUCCCAUCAAACACAUUAGAAUUUCGCAGAACAAAAGGAACGAGCGAUUCGUCCAAGCUAGUAGGUCUGAUCCUAACUGAGAGAAGAAGGAAUCGACCCGAGCCCGGUUAGAUCUCCCCCCCACGCUGGUCGGGGGAAACGAAGACACAGGAGAGAGGAGCGGUUGCGGUCGAAGGAUACCUGGAUCUGAUGGGAGUCGCGUUCGGCGACGGCGAGGAGGCGGAGGAGAGUUUUGCCCGCGAAGUUGGCGGGUGGGGAAUUUAUCGGCGGGUGGCGAGGUAGUCGAGCCGGACCGCGUCGGUUGGCGCGGCUCGUUGUGUUGCGAGUUGCGACCCAAGCAAGGUCAGCUAGGUCUCACUCGAUUUUUUUUAUAUAUUUUUUACGAUUUUGAAGAAAUAAAUAGUCGAAUCAAAAAUUUGUAAAAAUAGACCUAUGCCGCUGAACCAAACGGCGGUAGCAGCUUAUCGCCGGUUGAAACGGCGGCAAGGAGUCUUACCACCCCUCAUCUAGCGGGCCGCCCACAGGUUGGAAUGGCGCUGGUUUCGAGGAAGUUUCGCAGUUUCAUCUGGCGGUAAGGACGCCCCGCGAGUUCAAACGGCGAAAGCUAUCCCUUACCGCCGGAUAAGCCGACGGAGCCUCCCAUUAUAUAUUAUAAUACGGCACGUGACCGUUCCCACUCACGCGCCACAGCAAAUGGAGCGAGCCAGCCAAAGAGGGAGGGAGGGAGAUCAAAGGUAGGAGGGAGAAGAGAAGGAAGGAAGGGAGGGAGGGAGGGAGGGAGGGGAAGGAAGGGAGGGAGGGAGGGAGGGAGGGAGAUUGAAGUUUCAGUCGUCGCUUCAUUUCAGGUAUUUUUUUAAAUUUCAUAGUUUAGUUUAAUAUAGAUAUUUAGUAGUACAUAGAUCUAAUAGAUAGUUUAGUGGAUAUGAGACUUAGAAAAAUUUAGUGAAUUUUAGACAUAGGAAAAGGUAGCAUAGUCAGUAUAGUGGAUUUAGUUUAGGUAUUUAGUUCACAGUAAAUUUAGUUUGUUGAUUUAUGUAGAUUAAAUUUAGAUGAAUAUUAUUUACAUUGCUAUGGUUAUAUUUUGUUUAGGUAUUGUGUAGUUAUUAUAUGGGUAGUUAUAAUUAUUAGAUUUAGUAAGAACCUUUGUACUUGUCACGUAUAUUGUUCCGGGAAGAUGCCUAUGAUAAAUUUAGUUUGUAAGGUUGGUUUACUGUUAGUAUGGAUGAUAGAAUUAAAUGAUUUCACCAUCUAUUUAAAUGAAGGUGUCAUUCCAGUUAACUGAUUUAAGUUAUUAAGAGCAAUUUAGACUGCUCAUUUCGUGUAUGUUGGCAGACAUAUCGGAUAGGUUAUAUUUCCAAGUCUUCUAUGGUCCAAGGGAGGUUAGAAAUGGUCUAGAAGAGGUAGAUUUGAGUGGAUUUUCAUAUUUUUGCAAGUAUUUACCAAGAGCAAGAGAGGACUUGCGAAGGUAUAUGUAGGUGGCUUUGUAAGGAUUUCGGUGUUGAUAGAGAUCAAGUGGAUAUGUCUGUGAGGGCUGUAGUGAAGAGAUGGCCCGUCAUAAAUUUUUGGGAGCUGCUCCCGCUUGAAGGAACCCUGAGCUACCGAGCUUAUGUAAAGGGUUGUACGAGGCGCGGUGUACCGCUCAUAUGGUAUGUUCAACUGUUCAUGAAGGCUGGAUCUAGCAGUCAAAUGGAAGAAGAAGUUUAAAGUGCUGAAGUUCAAGCGGAGGAAGAUGUGGAGAGUACUGAUGGGGUCAAUGAAAAAAUUGAUGAUGGUGGGGCAGAAGGGGAGAUGCAGAGGAUGAUGUUGCAGCCCGUGAGCCAAAUGGGGAGACUGAUGAGGGGGAAGAAAUUGCUGAGUUAGUUGAGCAGGUGGAGAGGAAAGGAGAGGAGGCCAAUGGUGCCAUGGAUAAUGACUUGUCGGAUUAGGAAGAUGCUUACCCUGUCCCGUGGAACUGGUCAACUUAUGACCAUUCCGCCCUACAGGUCAAUGUAGGAAAAAAUAUCACUUGGGAGUACAGGGAGAAUGAGGUAUGCAUGGGUGCUUUGUACCCUAGUGGGGAUGAGGUGAAGACAGUUGUGAAGAGACAAUCUACAUUAUCUUUGCAGCGUCAGUUCAAGGUGGAGAAAAGCAACCCGACGACGUAUGAUAUCUGUUGUGUGAGAAAUGAUUGCCCAUUCAGGGUGCACGCAUACAAAGGGAAUUGGAAGGAUUACUGGGAGGUGACUAAAGAUGGUUGAGCACCAAUGCUUGCUGGAUGAAUUGGAAUGAACACACCACAACCUCACUGCUAAUUUUGUUGCUCAAUACAUGUAUCCUCAGAUAGUGCAAUAUCCUAGCUUCAAGCCCAAGGAGAAGUUCAAGUAUAAGAUUAGCUAUAACAAAGCUUAUCGAGCGAAGCAAAAGACGCUAGAGAUGAAGUGGGGUACGUUCGAAGCAUCAUAUGACAACCUCCCCGUCUUGUUGCACACCAUAUGCCAGAGGAACCCAGGAAGCUUCUACAAUGUGAAAGCGUAUCCAUGUGCUCAAUUUCCAACCAAACAAGUCUUGCAGCGGUCAUUUCUAACCUUGGGUCCUUGCAUUGAGGCUUUCCAACGAAGUCGACCAGUCAUUUGCAUUGAUGGCACAAUUCUAACUGAAAGGUAUAAAGGAACAAUAUUGGCAGCUAUUGGGUGCGACGGCAAUAAUUAGGUGUUACCGCUUGUGAUCGUAUUUGUGGAGGAGUUUGGAGAAAGCUGUUAUUGAUUCCUGGAGAGGGUGAAGAACAUGAUUGUGAAGGACUUGGAGGAGGUUUGUGUCAUUCAUGAUCAGUACAAAGGCAUUCUACAAGCAAUCGAAAACCAACAUAAUGUAAGUCAGGAGCGUUUCAGGGUAGCGAUAUGGCUAGACUUGAAGAGUAGGUGGUGCAUGAGGCAUAUGGGUGCAAACUUCCAUAAGCAAUUCAAGAACAAGAACCUUAUGACAAUGUGCAAGCGUCUAUGCAGCCAAAAUCAUGAGAGAAAAUUUAACCUGCUGUGGAAGAAACUUGACGACCUUACAAAAAAACAAUCCGAAGAACUAGGCAAGAUACCGAUGAACAGCGAGGCGGACCACCCUGUUCCUCUGGAGGAUGUGGGAGUCGAUAGUCCGACUGUCAGACGAAGACGGGGAAGGUCCAUCAAGAGCUUCUCACAGUGGAUUGAGCAUGAGCUGAAGGAAAGGGCAUUACUCUUUGAUAAGGGAGGUGCUCGGUGGGGUAUAAUGACUACAAACCUAGCUGAGGUUUACAAUUGGAUUAUGCGCGGUGUUCAGGGACUAAACCUUGUUGGUAUCAUGGAAUUCUUCCUGUACCACACCAUGAAGUACUUCAAGAAAAGGUACCAGUUGGCUGAUAACUUAAUGUGCGACAAUCACAGAAUAUAUGGGUACAAGAUGACAGAGUACAUGGAGGAGGCGAUUAAGAAGGCUCAUUUGUGUCGUGUGAUUGAAGUGGGAGCCAUGGAACACCGAUUCAAGAUUGUUUGCAGGAACAAAGCUCGAAUGGGCGGGAGGCGCGAGAAGCACACACAUGAGUGCAUCAUCAGCAAUGAAAGGUGUGUUUGAUCAUGCCACAAGCCAAGGUUGCUGCACAGGCCUUGCACCCAUGUCAUUGCUGUAUGCAUCAAGGCAGGGGGACUUCAGCCUCGUCGGUUCGUGCCGCACUAUUUCCUGAAGGAAACCAUAUGGCAGACUUGGAGGAACGAGGUUUAUGGAUAUUAUUUACUAGAAGACUUCGUAAACAAUCCUGGUAAUACCGCGCGCUACAUUCCUGACCCUGAUUCAGAAAUGUUCCAAGGGGUCGGGUGAUACAAGAACAGACGUAUCUGGAACGACAUGGAUCAAUCUGAAGCAGGUCCCGAUGUCCGCCUCUGCUCCAAGUGCCAUUAAGCCGGUCACACCUAUAAGAAUUGUCCUGCAACGAUAUAUGGAAGUGCGAGUAGCCAAGCUAGUCCAUCAAACGGUGACAGAAUUGCUGCAGAGCGUGGUUAGGGUCGUUGUGCACAUAGCAAUAAUGACGGACUUCUGUGAUUCAUGUGCUAUAUGUUUGUGAAGUCGUUGUGUUUGAAGUUUGUGAAGUCAUUAUGUUGUAUGUUUCUGAAGUUGUUGUGUCUUCAGUUUGUCAAGUACUUGUGAUUCAUGUUUGUGUACUCAUAAUUCAGGCAAACCUUUCAAAAUGUAAUGUAAUAUGUAACCUAAGUUGCAGUACUAUGACCAUGUAAAAUUUGCAUAUCUUGGACUAUUUCAUUUAUAAUAUCUCAUUUGUAGUUUGUUUUAUUUCAUUUACAUUUUGAAGUCAUUAUUAUUUCGGACGCGUACUUAUAUUUUUGUGUUGCAGGUAUGGCGCAGCUAGUUCCAGAGGGGUACCUGACUUCUGAGUUGCUCGACCCUACCUUGGACGGUCUUCACAGGUCAUUCAUGUCAGCCGUAUGGGGUUCGAGGCUGGGCACGUUUCGCGCACGUACCCCGCUUUCGACGAUGCCGAUCGACGUCCAUUGGAUUCCGAGGUAUGUCAUACUUAGUUAAAUUUAUAUGCUACAUUGUAACAUUACGUUGUUUGAACUAAAUAAUUUUAUGCAUGGUACAGGUUACGCACUGCGGGCCUUCUCCCUCUAGCGAGGUUGGUUGAGGGGGACAUGGUCGACAGCGCUGCACGGCCCGGGGAGAAGUUCACACGGUUCCACUUCGACAUAUCACUGCUAGCAACUCUGCUGGACCGUUGGCGACCGAAGACACACACCUUCCACCUCCCAGUGGGUGAGAUGGCCCCCACACUUGAGGACGUCUCGCUGCUACUUGGCCUGCCUUGUGCCAGGCGUGGGCCGUUGCCGCGGUGGACAUCCCACCUAGCUGGCGUGACGAGUUGUUGGACGGUUUACCGAUGUUCAGCAUAAAGAUGGUGCCCCACCGUACCGGACCUUCAGCUCGACACACGGACCCACGAGGGCGUGGCUCUUGCAGUUCAGUGUGAGUACUUAGUUACCUGACUGCCCAAAUUGUUUUGUCUAACUUUUGUUAAUUUCUCAACUAAUUAUUUUUUGACUGUCCAAAUUGUUUUGUCUAACUUUUGUUAAUUUCUCAACUAAUUAUUUUUUGUUGCGCCGACUACUUGAGAGACGACGCUGACGACGCCACAGUCGCACGACACUUGGAGGCGUACCUGCUGUGGCUCUUCGGGUGGAUCAUGUUGUGCACAUCGUAGGGCAACUUGGUGCCUAACCACCUACUUCCUUAUGCAUGGGACAUUACGGAGGACCCGCUCAACGACGUUCCGUAGUACAGCUGUGGUUCAGCUGCAAGGUAGUCUUGAUGGAGCCAAUCUUCCUUGGCUGCCCAUUGCUGCUUCAACUGUAGUCGUACAAGCGCUUCCCGAUUGGGUAGCCUCGGAUUGACAUGUCCCCCUACCGGGAGCUGCCUUUCGACCACGACGAUGUCGAUAGACUCAUGAUGGGGUCGUUGUGAUGCUUGAGGAAGGUACGGUACUUCACCUGCAAUUAUUCAAUUCAUAUGAUGCAUACUUUCAUUUUAACAAGCUCACAUGGAUUUUUUGUUCUCCAUAUCAUCUAAACACUUGUCCAUCUUAAUAAAAUAUGCCUUUGACAAAAAAAUAAUUAUUAAAAAUAAUCCCUAUAGUAUUAAGUUAAGUGCAAAAAAAAUAUGUCCAUUAUUUUGCUAUUGAUACAAUUCAAUAUUUUUGCUUAGCGUGGUUGCAUCUUAUCAUUUCACUCUGAUGUUAACUAAACACAUUGAAUUCAUGAUCUUACCAGAUAUAUUGUUUAGGAUGAAAUAAAUUCAUGAACUUGCUAUGGAAAAUGUACAUUGCCUCUAGUUAUUAGCAAUCACCUUUAUUGUGAAUUUAUUUGUUGUAGGGAUCAUGGGUUGGGGUGCAGACGAAGAAGUCGUAUCCGGACUUCGUCGGUGAGUUCGACACUCUUGUCGACACCGACGUGAGGUGGAGACUCUACACCAUCGACGAGGUCAUGCUUGUGCCCCGCAUGGUCUCUCUUCGCUAUGCCAUCGAGAGAUGGACUACUGGAGGAUAACAAGGCCACUGGUCUAUGACAUCCACAUCGAGGACUACGCGGUUCACCGUGUCAUGAGGCAGUUUGGCCUGUACCAGCAGUCCCCACUUCCUGUUACGUCAGCAGUCUCGGCCCUGUUCGCAGGUACACCCUACCUUUUCAUUCUCCUUGCAAUAAAGAUUUUUCGCUUAUCUAACCCGCUGCAUGAUGCUUAUAUUAGGGCUACCCAUCAGGGUGGUGGUGGGCUGGGGUCAAGUGGGCUCCGAGGAUGGUUCAGUGGAGCGAGAUGUGGACGACCGCUUUAGACGAGGUGGUGCAGGAGCAGUGGCGGGCGCAGGAUUUGGACUAUGGGUAUUCAAAAUUGCAGAUGGCAAGGAAAAAAAUUGAUAGACUAAAGAGAGACUGACUCAAUAUAAUGGAAAAACAUACGAAGCUAAUUCAAUCGCUCAAUUUAGCAAACAUACGAGGGAAAAGAGAGAAUAACUUGUGCCAGAGAUUUUCAUCUCUCCAGCACUAUUCCUUGAAAUAAUUGUUCUCCUAAAUGAUUUUAGGGAAAGCACAUUUGCUGAGCAAUGAUAUUUUCAUCAAAGAUAGGAAGAAAUUUUCAACAGUACUACAAUAUUUCUCCAUAUGAACAGAGACGUACAUAUUUAGUAUUUCAAUAUAGUAUUUCUAUGUUACGAGCUUCUUGGAAGGAAAAGCUAUGCCUACAAAUGAAAGAAUAGAACAUUACUGUCAUGUUGGGGACACGGGGUCUCGCCGAGCAGUCCAGUCGCCGUGACGCCGUAAGAGUUGAGACGCGGAGGCCCGCCGGUCGCCGCGGCACCACCGCUCCGCGCGCUGCGCGCAGGUCGCCUGCCGCCGCCGCCGCAGGGCGUAGAAGCCGAAAGGGAUUAGUGCGCCGCCGCAGGCUGCUCCCCACCGCCGCUGCUGGGCGCCGCCGCCGGGCACCGCCGCCGACCGGACGCUAGGGUUAGUUUCGCGCGGAGCCCCUAUGACCUGUGUGCGGCACUGACCGUCAACAGGCCUCUCCCUGGAACGCGUGGGUGGGGGGUGGGGGGUGGCGCUGACCGGCUGACGGGCUGAGUGGGGGCGGGCGGAAUGGGCCAGUUGGCGUGGGGGGCAAAUGGGCCAGGGAGAGUGAAGUUGCCAUCCAGUAGGCCUUUUUGUGUGAAAUACCUGUGUUAGCUUCUUUAUUUUUAAUUUUCCAUACAUAUACCUAGUAUACAUUAUAUAUAUGAAUUUUUUGUGCAAAAAUAAUGGGUAUUCAUUUGAAUACCAUUGAAUACAACGCACGACAAUGACACUUUCGCAGCAUACCUUCGGCGGUUCUUGCUGAGGACCAGGACGCGGGUCACGUACGUUUCGAGUCAGCCACCGACGGAGACCACACCUGUCACGCAGACGUACCCGUGCUCGAGGGACGUCAAUUUCGACGUCGCGGUAAGCUUCUUCAUCAUAUUUGUUACUCAACUUGCAUCAUGUGGUGUGGCUAACUUCAACCCUUUUCUCUUUCCAAAAGUACGACGUUAUUGUAGAAGUAGCCACUGAGCUAACGUACGGCAUAGAGCACUUGUAGCACCUGACUAAUCAUCAGCACGAGACGUUGUACAGAAGGGUCUUAGGCGCCUGCAAUAGGUUCUUGAGGGCCGUCAACUGCUGUGGUGGUCGCGGGGACGUCGUGCUUCCACCACGGGCUGCCUACCCUCGUUCGUCUUCUCCACCUCCUACCCACCAGGCCGGUACAUCUUUUCAGCCACCCAUUCGUCCGCCGUACCCCAGCCCCUGUACUACACCACAGGCACAUGCACCAGCGGCCAGGCCAUCCUAGGACCCACCGGCACCACCACCGUUUUGGCAUGCCUCCGCCGGCCCGUCCACUGUUCCGCAGUACGUGCCCCCGACAGGGACGUGAAUGUUAUUUUGUGGUACACCAUUAACGAAAUGUUGUCCAAUUCACCUUACUAACUAAUAAUUUCUUUACAAAGCCCCGCAGAUGUACGGAGCUUACAGUGGAGCGGAACCCUCUUCUGUUGCACCAGGCACAGAGCUACGCCACUAUGGUGCGUGAUGAAUACAUGUUUUUUUAUUCCAUUUCAAAUACGCAACGAAACUAACAAUACCAUUUCCUUGCUAGCAUAACAGGGUUCGCCAGACCGCUGAGGGGCUUCGGAGGACUCCGUCGAGAAGGAGGGACAGAGGUCCAACAUCCAUGCAUGUGUGGAUGAAAUUUUCAGACCCGAGCCUGACGUGAUCGGUGCUUCGCAGUUGCGUGAUACCCCGGAGGCUGCUACACAGGACACAACCUAGGACUUCGCGACACCACCUGCAGCCGCAGCAGGACGUCCGCCUCGCGACGUUGCCCCACGGGACCCCUUGACGUACGACCAGUACUAGACUAGAGCUGCGCAGCGGGUAGCGAGGCGUGAUCGUGGUCGCGGUGAGCCUCGUUUCAAGCGAGGACGCAUUUAGUGCAUAUGACCUCUUUUAUUUUUUUACUUCAAUGCAGGGUUUCAUGUGUACGAUUGUAUAGCGUACGAUGUGUGGUCAUUGGCAGACUACUUUAUCUAGGCCGGGAGUUAAAUCAUUUUCAGUUAUUUCGUUCAAUCACUCUACCUCUCUCAAAUUACGAAUUUACGUAUUUUAGUUCCAAAAAUAUCAUAAAAAAUUAAAGGAAUAAUAUUUAAAAUAGAGGUAUAGCCUCAAAUUACGAAGUUUCAUAUUGCAAUGGAACUACAUAAUUUACUUUCAUAAAUAUCAUAAAAAUAAAGGAAAAAUAAUUAAAAUAGAGUUAUAGCCGGUUGAAACUGUGCUGCAGGCACUUACCGCCGCCUGAAACGGCGGUAGGCCGCCUUACGGCCGUUCGCUCAUAUCGUCGUUUCAGCCGGCGAAACACGGUGCACAUGCUAGCCGGCACUCUUCCGCUGUUUCAACCGGCGAAAGGACCCCUACUGCCGUUUGGUCCGACGGUAUAGGUCUAAUUUUGCAGAUUUUUAGUUCGACUAUUUAUUUCUACAAAAUCGUAAAAAAAUAUAUAAAAGUAAAAAAAAUUCCUCUCACUUGAAGUAAAAUGAUCAACACAAAGAUGGGCUGGCCCAAGUUAGUAUGGGCUUUACACUAGGGUUGUUUUUUUUUUAAUCGUCGCCAACGUUGUUCUUCUGAUCGAUUCGUGCUCAGAGACAGAGGUUUGGUUACUUGCAAAGAAACCUGGGUAGAUUGUACACGAUGUUCGUGCUCUCUUUGGAUUAAAUUCAGUGAAUCGCUUGGAGCUCAAAUCCAUAGCAGGCAGAUGGCGAUCCCAAUCCCCCAAUUGGGACCGACUGACAGUUACAAGUACAGAGGCGGUCGCGCGGAGUUAUUUCUAUGUAUGUAAAUCUGUAAUCCACUUCAGAAGCGAGGAGAUCACUCCUGCUCAUGGUGGCGUAACUUCUUCCCGGUGCUAAUCCAGAAGAAAUCGGAUUGAAUUCUGUUAAGGAACACAUGGAUUGCCACCCGCACGCAAGAUAGUACAUGAAAUGAUCGAAAUCACACAUACAAUAUCUUACACAACGAACAUUCAGAUAUGGCAACGGUAAGGGCUCUUAGGAAUUAAUUGCAGCAUUCACACGUUAACAAGUCUGUCAAACCGUCAUAUCAUACAUUGAAAGGCAACCUCACACAGUAUUAGCAUCACACGUAACAACCUACAGGGAGUACCCCAUGUCCUGUUAGAAUUGUCUCAACUCUCAAAAUAACCAGACAAAUCAUGCAUUACACAGAAAACAAUCUAUCUUAAAAAAUACAUCAUGGAGUGUUAAAAGAGCACGAAACCUAACAAUCACAAGGCCUGAUCAGGCAACAGGGGCAUCCUUCAGCGUUGUAGGAUCGACCUUCGGAGGGUCAGAAUGGCGUCUCGCCCUUUCCUUUGGCUUAUCUACUGGUGCACCGCUCGGUUUGUCCAUGAUAGGGAAGGACAGGCGCUUCUUAACAACCGAAUGGACCAGAGGUGCUCGGUCCGAAACCUCAAGCUUCUCAGUCAAUAAGCUGCGGUAUCGAGACUUUGCCCUUGCAGACUCUGUUGACUGCAUGUAACUGGGGAGAGGUGGUGUGCUCGUCAGGCUUGCAUCAUCCCUGACCGAGCCUCCACCUGUGCUCUGCCUCCUUGGGCGUUCAGAACGUAUGCUUGUGAUGCUCCUCAGGUCAUCCUCCUUGUACAGCCAGCUGCCCCUUGGACUUGCCGGCCUGAUCUUUCCUGAGGUAGAUGGGGCCUUUGAUGGCGGAGUUGAAGGUGAUUGCCGGCUUGGUGGACGGCUUGAUUUGUUUGGUGUUGCUGGUCUCUGGAUUGAGAUGGCACGGGGUACAGACGUUCGAACAGCACUGGUGCUGGGAUUCUUUGUCAGAGUACGCUCUUUAGGAUCUUUAUCUGAUGCAGCCAAUCGGCUCUCCCAAGGUCUUGCUGACAUCCAGCGUUCCAUCCAGCUCCAGCCCCAGUUAGGAUUCCCAGGUUCCGUGAAAGUUGGGGUUAUAGUUCGACCAGAAUUCCUCCACUGCAUAAGAAGAAGAAACAGGAAAGAGUGAGAAACAGAGCAACAUGCAUUGAACAUGUCGCUGUAGAUACAGAUGUUAAGAAUGAGUAAACAAGAAAAAUAGGAACUAAACAGAAACAGAAGUGACAACUUACCUGGUGAGAAAAUGCAUAUGCGAGUGCUCUUUCUCGUCUUAGUGCAGCUUCCUGCUUCAUAAUUAGGCUGGCCUCAAUUUGCUCUUUGGAUUGAUGACUGUGAUCCCAGUCUUCAUCAAUCUGAUAAGAAAGUAGUGUCCGAGAUCUGUUAUAUCAGGACUGUCCUAUUAUAUGAUUGCAAAAUUCUGAUUACCAUCAUCUCUCCAAAGAAAAAUCUACUUCAAUGUGACUGUUAUUUUGACUAUGGUAUAACUCUAACUCUUUCUUCCGAAAAUAGGGAAAAUCAUUAUCUUUUUCCUAAAUAACAAUGUAGCUUAGAUAUUGAUAUCGAAAUGGCAUGCUCACCUUCAUUUUCUCAAGCUCUCUUUGAUGUUUCAAUUGGAGCUGCCUCUGAAGAGCCUGUUUUUCCUCCUCCAGCUUCACCCUUCUAGAGUAGAUUUUAGUUUGGACUCUUGCCAUCGUUUGUGUGCAAUGCAAAGUGUGAGCAGUUUGACGCUUGACAGCAUUUCCAUCAACAAGCGACUUCAAUCUAACUAGCCCUCUUAGUGCCCGCAAUGCUCUCCUUGCCUAAAAAGGAUAUUUUGCAAAUUUAUUAUCUUUGUUUUUUUCAGCUGUUACAUUAGCAUUAACAUCUCUUUAGUGCCAAAACAUUGGAAACAUCAAACAGAUAUAACUUUGAAAACGACCUGCAAGUGAAAUCUUGGCUGUAUCGUGAAAUGAACAAAUCGUACACAUACACAAUGAUGAAUUAGACAGCAACUCUUUACCAACCAAAUCAGAUGUCUUGCAAAAUAUUAACCCAGCGGUUAGCUUACGUGCAUGGACUCAAGUGCCCAUAAGUUUCAAGAUAGUGACAGGCAGCAGUCACAAGACCUAAUUGUCUUAUUAUACGGCUAGUCCAACGACUCAAACAAGAUAACAGAAGCCAUUAGUAAAUGACCUACAGGUGCAGAAGAAUUACCAGAUAACCCCUGAAGGCAGUUUGAAUUUUGAUGGCAGCAAGCUCUUCCCUUGAAUUAGCAGGCAUUUUUGGUGCGGUCGAGGUAACUGCUGUGAGGCGGACAACCUCAGCAGCGGCCUGGGCAGCAACUGCAGCAGCUUCUGCAGCAACAGCAGAUGCAAGCGCAACAGAGUAGGCAUGCUUGUUCUGCUCACUGUCUGUUUCAACUGGCUUGACAUCUCUAAUUUCCUGAGAGUGUGACUGAGCAGGUUGUGGUGGUGGCGGCUGCGGCAACGGAGCUACUGGAGCAGUCCCUGACGCAGUUGAGGUUGAAGGAUCAGAGUGCCUACACUUUCCAAAUGGCCAUCUCCUCCUGGAUUUUGACUUGUCCGCCUCCUCAGCCUUCAUAGAAGACAAAGGUCACACAGAUUGAAAUGAUAAAAGUCUGAUGACAAGUGGACAUUUUUUCUUGUGAAGUUGGGAAUUUUGACAUACCUUUGCUUCCUUUCCAGAUGGAUCAGAGGAGCUGAAGACUUUCUUCACCGCACUAAACCACUUUCCUUUCUUACCCAUUCUUUGUGUUCUAUUACUGUGUAUUUAAUGUCUCAGCUGCAAGCCUGCAAGUGCAAGAACGGAUCAAGGUUCAGUAACAAUGACUCUACUAGAAAAAGGCUGUAACCAAAAUACUUGACCAGCGGAAUCUUAUCUUCGCAACCGAAACCAAAACAUGAUCGAGCACACGACAAGAUCAGCAGUAAUAAAGAUAAGAGGUUCUGCUCCCCGUACAGUAAUUCAUGCAUCAGGAGUAAAAAUCAACAAAAAGUCAUAUUACCAAAAGAUAUGCUAAGUUCAACCACAAAUCGACGACAAAAUCAACUUCAAGCUGCUCCAUGUUGAACAGAAAAAAACACACCCCAAACUAGCAGGAUAAGAAUGGUAUCCCGAUAACAACACACCAAAUAGACUGAAUUGAGUAGAAAAAGAAAAGAUGGAAUUUAGCCCAUGUGUACAAAUAGAGGAUGAACACAAAACAUUCGCCAACGCACAAUUCUUCGCCAUAAAUGGCAACUUCAUUCCAAAAGAAAGGCCAGCUGUGCACACAAACCAAGCUUCGUGUGGGGCUCUCUAUCCUUCGGCACUGGAACUCGAUAAAUCGUUUAGCGGGGCCAAAAACUCACCAGAAGGUCGAAUCACAAACGGGAAGACUGGAUGCUACCCCAGAGAAACCCUCGCAGUUGUGCUUAAGGCACCCGCCGCACCCCUCUCCUUCCACAAUCGCGAAGAAAUCAACCCAGCAAAACCCCAAAACAAAGCCGCGGGCAAAGCCAGCCAAGAAGAAUCAAACAGCUGGGCGCAAAACCCCCCAAAAGAUCCGAUUUUACCACGAGAAAGGCAAGCUUUCACCUCGGAAGCAAGCAAGCAACCACCGAAAGCCCUGAGCCCCUCACCUUCCUCACCCAACUGAAGGCGCCAAGGACCUAACUCUGGUCGCCCUCGGAAGCCACCGCCCACCGCACGGACCUCUUACCACCGCCUCUACGGCUCAGUCAGAUCAAACCCGCGACCAGCGCCAUCCAGGACGAAGAAAAAAUAAACCGGGGACGGAAAGAAAAAAUACGAAAAGGCAAGGAAUGGCAAGCAGCCCACACCUUUUCUCACUUUCCUCACCAGUCCAAAAGCUCCCCCUUUUAUCGGCCAGCCAGCCCACCCGCGCACGCAGGAUCGAUUCGCCCACCCCACCGCCCCGACGGCGACCCCGUCCCGCGCUGUUCACCCCCACCGGGGUCCGUGGCCCCGCCUGAAGCCGCGGACCACGGCGGCUGGGAAGGCGAGCAGCCGGAGGUGGGGUGCGGUGGGGCGGCGACUGAGCCCGCUCUCGAUCUCCUUCCUUCCCGGCUUCGCCCCCUCGUGACGGUCACGCUCCCGGUGCCAGCCGAAAGGCCGCUGUCCUGCUGCACUCUUAUUGGCAGCGGGGCGGACCCCCGUCAAGGGAGACUAUGACAGCUGGGGCCCCCGCGGCCGCGGACCAGUCGCGGCAGAAGACGUUAGCCGGUUGCGACGACUGGUCGUACGAGCAGAAGACGUUAACGGCUUUGGCCGCUUGGCUGCGGCCGGUCAGAUUCAGCAUGGGCGUGAUCGGAUGCUGCGUCCAAGCUCCCAGGAUGCAAGAUCGUUUGGAUGGCUGCGCUAGGAGUUGGGUCAAGCUUCCGGCCAGAUUCCCGCCGUGCAGAGAGAUUGAGCGUUUCUUCAAAACCUAACUCACGUGAUGCGCGCAGGAACACGUGGCCUGCAUGUUAUAGAGGUGAGAGAUGCAGAUAUUCAAACAACCAAUUACUUACUCUUUGUAACCUAUACAUGUAGAUUCAUACCACCAAACCAAUAGUCUUGCUCAGCCUGGCCACCGAAAGUCUGGUUUAUAGGAACGGAUCUGGCUGGGAGCUGCAGGCAUCAAUCACACCACAUAGCCCCGCGGCCGCAGCUGGCCGGCCGCCGGCUCGUGGCCCACACGUCAUGGACGCAGGCGGGGGUUGCUCCGGGCGGCACUGUGCCGUGGGCAUGGGCAACGCCAUGUAGUACGGAAGUACCCCGACGCGCCCACAAGUACUAACUGCAGCAGGGCUACGUAUUUUCCGUCGGUUGAAGGAGCCCCACCAGCACCGUUCCAACUUGCUCCCGUUAAAUGCCGGGCGUUAAAUGAGGUAUUUACGACAACUCGGCCAUAAAACGUUCCAAGAGUGGAAAAGCCUGGAAAGGCUUCGCGCGGCCGUUUUUUACAGCUUUGUCAGUUGAUGAUGCAGUACCUGUAGAAACGCUGUUGGCCUUUGUACGUUUCGCAGUUUUUUGCCUGCCUGCCUGCCAUUCUUUACUGCCCAUGUUUCGAGAGGCGAGCGGGGAGGAGACGAGAACGAGGGGGCGUUUGAUACCACGACUAAAUCAUGUCACAUCAGUUCGGAUAUUAAUUAGGAGGACUAAAUAUAAGGGGUGUUUGGAUAGCAGGUGCUAAACUUUAGCAGUGUCACAUCGAAUGUUCGGAUGCUAAUUAGGAGGAUUAAACAUGAGCUAAUUACAAAACUAAUUGCACUGAUGGAGUCUAAUUCGCGAGACGAAUCUAUUAAGCCUAAUUAAUCCAUCAUUAGCAAAUGGUUACUGUAGCACCACAUUAUCAAAUCAUGGACUAAUUAGGCUUAAUAGAUUCGUCUCGCGAAUUAGACUCCAUCUGUGCAAUUAGUUUUGUAAUUAGCCUAUGUUUAAUACUCCUAAUUAGUAUCAAACAUCCGAUGUGACGGGUGCUAAAUUUUAGCACCUUGGAGCCAAACAGCCCCUAAGCUAAUUACAAAACUAAUUGUAGAACCCUUAGGCUAAAUCGUGAGAUGAAUCUAUUAAGACUAAUUAAUCCAUCAUUAGCGAAUGGUUACUGUAGCACCACAUUGUUAAAUCAUGAACUAAUUAGGCUUGAUAGAUUCGUCUCGCGAUUUAGCCUCGAGGUUGUGUAAUUAGUUUUUGUAAUUAGUCUAGGUUUAAUACUCCUAAUUAGUGUCCAAACAUUCGAUGCGACGGGGGCUAAAAUUUAGCCCCCUCCUCCCAAACACCCGCAAGGCCAAUGGAUUCCGAUGGAACGGGUGGCGAUGGCACGUCAUAUGAUUAGAAUAGCGUCGGUGUCAGUGAGGAUGAAGUGAUCCGUUGCCUACGUGAGUUUUUUACUCCGCCCGCCAGCUCGCGCGGCGUCCUAGACGUCGGAAUUUUUUUUUAAUUUUAACCUUUUCAAUCUAAAAUUUUAAAAAUAGCCUAGACUAAACUAAAAUUCCAAAAAGUAUCUAUUUUGAUUGUGCCACGCCACUCGGCACGACUAAUAACUGAGUUACACCAGUGUAUGUGACGCGACUGGCCCUCCACGCUAGCGCACGGGGUGGUCGAGUUGGCCGCUGAGCUGGACAGGGUGAGUCGCGCCACAUGCUUUAGUGCGACUGAGUCGCGCCAGGCGACGUGGCGCAACUUAGCUCAAUACACACAAGGCCCACCAUAUCCUUUUUUUUCUCCCUCCCCACUUCCUCCCUUACCCUCCCAGCUCUAGCCCAAGCUCUCUCCCUCUCAUGGUGCCGCCCCCACUCCUGCCCCCUCUAGAUCCACUCCAUCCCUCACCUGAUUCGAAGGGGAAAUAAAGGGAAAUUGCUCCGAGAAGGUAACUCCUCCACUCUAACCAAUUAGUUUUUUCUCGAUUCCGUUGUUUUAGUUGGAUAUGAGGUGGUUAGGUUUUAUGUAUGAUAUGAGUUGGAACUUUGGAUUGAGUACGAAUCGGCUAUGAUUAGUUGUGUUGUAUCAUGCAAAUGGUUGAUGGUAACCCCUUCCUAUCGUGUAGUUUCUCUUGCAUGGUAGGAUUUCGAUAUGUUAAUUUGGGUAAUGUGAUUUAUAAAUAAUUCUUUAGAAAAUAAUCUUCAUUAUUAUUUGGUAAUGUAGAAGUUGUAAGGAACUCAUGUAAUUAAUUUAAUUUGGUGGUUGUAUGUAGAUGGAUCGUUUAAUUUAUUUUUUCUCGGGUGGCACGGUUGAUGAUAAUGGAGAGUUUGCAAGAAUGAGGCAACGAGUAGCAAGAUAUGAUAGUCCUCCAACAUUUGAUGAUAUAAUGGGCCGAGUAAAUUCUUUGUUCAAAGUUGGAAAUCAGGAAGAGGAUUUAAGGAUUCGUGGAACGUUUGAUGUCGGUGACAAAAGAUCUCACUAUGUGUUGAUGCCACUUGCAUGUGAUGAUGAUUGAUUAUUUUAUAAGGAGUUGGUGAAAGGUUCUCAAGUUGCUUAGGCCGAGUUAGUUGUGGAUGUUUAUCCUCGGUGUAUAUCUCCAUAUAGCGAUGAGCCCAUCGAACACUUAACUCAAGAAGAUAUGUUACCGGGCAAUAAUGUUGAUGAGGAACAGGAUGAUGAAGAGGAUGGUGAUGAUAAUUGUUCUCAUAGUUCAAAUGGUAGUGGUGAUGAAGGUGACUUUGAUACAUGUAAAGUAAACAAUAAUUUUGAAGUUGUUGACUUGGAGGAUGAUAAGAAUGUGUCAUACAUACAUAUAUGGGUCCACCUAAAGGUUUGGAUAGUCCUAAAUAUGGGGCUGGACACCGAGACGCAUCUGACAUGGAUACCAUGGCGCAGGACGGCGUAGUCUACAUCAAAAGAUAGGAACUAGUCGAGGAGUACGAAAGUACUCGUUGUAAUAAGAGUAGAAUCCGUUUAGUCAUAUCCGACUAGUAUUUUUGUAACCAACCGACGUGUAACCCUGCCCCCGGCAAUAUAAGGUGAGGCAGGGACCCUCUCCAAAAUAAUUCAAUCCAACCAACACACAGGACGUAGGGUAUUACACAAUCUAGCGGCCCGGACCUAUCUAAAUCGUGUGUUUACGUUUACCUUCGAGUUCCUAAUUUCGACGAGCCCCACUAACCAAAACACUACCUCGAGCACCCCCCUCGGUAGGUUGCCGGGUUUAAAUAUCGACUGGAUGAGGAUGAGGAUGAUAUAUCUGUGGGCUCUAAAGAAGAACAAAGUGGUGGUGAAGAUGAUAUUGGAAAUGGUUGGGAAGAUCAAGUCUCAUUUGUUGAUGAAGCGAGACCAUCAGCUAAUGAUAUGGUGCCAGAACCAACACAUGUGGUGCAAUCAAUUCCAACUCCAAUGACGCAACCAACACCUGUGGUGCAAUCCAUUCCAACUCCAAUGACGCAACCAACACUUGUUGUGCAAUCCAUUCCAACUCCAAUCUCACAACCAACACCUAUGUUGCAAAGUAGUCCUAUACUUGAACCAAGUCCGGUGGGCCAAGCUACUCCAUUAUUUAAUGAGAUGGUGGAUGAGGUACUAAGAGGAUCAAUACGUACUCUUUCUGAAAUUCGGUUGCCACAAUUCACUCUGACUGAGCUGAGGCAGUUGGAAGCUGUACAUGUACAUGUACCUGAAGUUUCCAUAUUCAAUUCGGUUCCAAGGAAGGCUUAUUAUGAUUCUAGGUUACGCCUUACUGAAGUUAAAUCCGACAGUGGUGAGUUGUUUAUAGAGAAGGGAAUGAGAUUCGAUAGUUUGGAGGAGUUGAAGUUUUUCUUAAGGGAUUACUCGGUGUAGCACCAUAGGUCAUAUGAUGUGGUUCAUUCAUUGGUCAAAAUUAGAUACAUGAUUCAUUGCCAACAUGGUUGUGACUAGACGAUGUAGGCGCGUCCAGUACCUGAUGAUAGGCAGAAAUGGAGGAUCACUAGAGUUAUUCAACCUCAUACAUGUGGGACGUCUGAGGUCGCACAGGAGCAUUCUCAGUGCACGGCUCGUUACAUUGCAAGACAGAUCACUUCACUUGUUCAUGCGGAUCACGAUGUUUCUAUAGCCAUCGUGGAACCAUCAAAGGAUUCACAAAUUAUGUGGUAAAGUAUGGAAAAGCUUGGAGGGCUAAGCAGCAUGCUAUAGCCAUGUUGUGGGGUGAUUGGAAGGACGCUUAUGGUAGGGUUCCAAAAAUCUUACAAGCAAUAGCACGCUACAACUCGGGUACAAAGUGGUACACUUACACAACUGGUAAUGAGGAGCUACACAAUGGCGUCAUGAAGCCUGUUUUGGAACGGGUGUAUCGGUGCUUCCCCCAAUGUGUACAGGCAUUCAAGCAUUGCAAGCCGGUGAUAAGCGUUGAUGGCACAUUUCUAACUGGAAAGUAUAUGGGUGUUUUGUUGAUCGCCACUGGUAUGGAUGGUGAGGACCGAUUGAUCCCCCUUGCAUUUUCCUUCAUUGAGGGUGAGAAUAACGAUAACUUAUCAUGGUUCUUACAUUUGGUCCGUCGGGAUGUUGUUGGGCGUGAUAGGAGGGUAUGCAUAAUAUCAGACCGCCACCAAAGAAUCCUAAAUGCAGUUGAGGAUUACAUGGAAGGCUACGGCACAUGCACAAGAACAAGAAAGUAAUAAAACAGCUCAAAUUGGUUUGUGCAACCAAGACGGAGAGAAUGUUUGACGUUAGGCUACGAAAACUGAAAGGAAUGAUGAAUGAAGAAGCCACGGAGUGGUUGGAGGAGAAAAUGGAGAACAAGCAUAAGUGGCCCAAUGCAUUUGACAAUGGUGCUAGAUAUGGUGUGCAAAAUACAAAUAUAUCUGAAGUGUUAAACAAGGUCCUCAAAGGCGUCCAUGCUAUGCCAGUAUCUGCUAUUGUGGAGUUCAAUUUCUACAAGGUUAAUUCAUAUUUGGUGCGUAGGUGAGCAAAAUAAAGGGCUCAAAUUGAUCGGCGACUGAACCAAAUUCUAUGGGGGAAAGGAGCAACGAAGCACUUAGCAACAGAAGGCAAGAAAGCAGCAAGCAUGUCGGCCGAGUUGUUCGAUCCUACAUUGUAUGUGUAUUUGGUUAGGAUGGCUUCCGCUUUAACUAUUGGUGGUGAGAUGACAGGUGGGCGCAUCUAUAAAGUUGACCUCUCAAGUGUGACUUGCACGUGAUGUGUCCCAUAGUUGUUGCAUGUUCCAUGCUCUCAUAUGAUCGCCGCAUACCGUGUGAGAGGGGUGUUCCACCUAUCACCGGCAUGCAUGACACAACUAUAUUCUUAGUAUAGUAUUGAAAAUAUGGGAGUCUCGUUUCAAGCCUAUUUUAGAUGAGAUGCAUUGGCCGAAGUACAAUGGCCAUGACUACAUUCCUGACAACGACAGGAAAAAAAACCAAGGUUGGAAGGAGGAAGAAGAAGCGGCUGCGCAAUGAGAUGGACCAGUCAAGUGGGUACGACGUCGAUAUUUAUGGUUUUGGAGAGUUCAACCAAAACAAGGUGAAGCCACGUUGUAGUGUUUGCCAUGGGGAGGUUCACUGCAUUGAAUGGCACAAGCAGGGUUCGAAAAAUUUACCCAAACACAAGAGGAACAAGCGGCUUAGGAGUAGUACGAGUGCGAAUACGGUAUUAACUUUGGAUUACAUGUUUAUUCUUUGUUUUUUUUACUUUUUGCAUCAUGUUAAUUCCACUUCAUUUAUUUUUCAUAUACAAUUGUUCUAAUAAAUUUUCAUAUUUUUUAGGGAGAUGGCGUCACGGAAGCGUAACUUCAAGGAAUAUCAUGAGGGCGAUGCGGACGAACAAGUGCCCCCACCUCUUCCAGUCCCUAUGUGUGAUUGUGGCAUCUCAGCUCAGCUGAAGCAAUCAAGGGAUGAGACUACAUCCGGAAGGGCGUUCUACACAUGCGCAACAAAGUGGGAAUUGAAUACAUAUGGAUAUCCUAUCACUUCCUUGUUACUUCCACCAACGGAUUGAUGGGCCCAACAAGUUUGACCCUAGGAUCCACCAGUCAAUCAGCCAUAUCAUUAGUUCAGACGGUGGGUGCCACCACCAACGAAUCCACCUCCAAUGAUGGACGAGCAAAAGAUGGAGGCUGCAUGCCAGCAUGUUACAAACCCCCCAUUAUGCCAUUGUGGGGUUCCAAGUAAGUUGCGACACCCUAAUCUUGAGCUGCCCAUGAACUUCACACCAUUAUUUUGGUGGAAGCUAACAACACAUGUAAGGUAUAAGCAAAUUGGCACAUUUGAUCGGUUAUCAUGGUUGCAUUUGUUUCAUUGACCUAUGUGAUUUCAUUUGUUCUGCAGGAUGGAUGGCCGCUAUGUGAUUUUCAGCAGUACAUCUACGGUCCAAGUCCCAUUGGCUAAUAGAAGAGUGGGUGCAAGCAUUCGAGACUAUUAAAGAGAAGUGGCCAUGUGAUAGGACUCCUAGACCUUGUUGCAAGUGUGGGAUACUAGCUUGUAGGGGUGUGGUUUCGUCGGAGCUUGGAUAUGGUUGGUAUUGUGGCAACUCUUAUGGAGACUAUUGGGUAAAGUUACUUUCCUAAUUUGUUCUAUUUCGAGUCUCAUUCAUGUGGUAAAGGCAUUUGUUUGAGUACAUAUGGACCUUCCUAUUUUUUUAGGAGGGAAGGAUUUGUGAUUGGGAGACCUUUCUAGGUAGGGAACAACUUCGUCUACAUUUGGGGCGCUAUUCGGAAUGUUUGAAAACUGAAGAAACAUUCAAGAGGAAAAAUGAAGUAAGGACAGAGCACAAUGUUCCUAUUCCAUCAGAUAACUUGUUGUUUGGGCCCAUUUGCAAAGAUAAGAUUGCAGAAGAGAAAGUAUGUUAAAGUGUUCUACUUGGGGAGGCGGUUCGAGAGUCACUCAUUCAAUAUUGGAGGAGGAAUAGAAGCAAGUAUCGAUGGCCACUUAAUGCGGAUGAGAGAAUAAGGAAGAGGUGGAAGGAGGAGGAGGAGAGGAAAGAUGACAAGCGUAUGAGGAGGGAGAAGUGGCUUCAUGAUUGGAAUGAGUUUGAUCCAACAAAGAUCUUUCCUAAAGGGUCAAUGGAAGAGUACUUCCAACUGUUGGCGGCGAACAAAAGAGGCAUCGAUUUGAAGGGGGCUAGAAUAGUUGCAAAGUUGGCACAGUUGCAGGCAGUGAAGGCACUUGUGGGUGAAUUGCCUAAAGAUGAAGGGUCUAAAGAUAGCACAGAUGAAGUGGCUGAAAAUACUAGGGAGGAAAUGGAAGGUAUGGUAAGGGAAGCGCAAAUGGAGGCAAUGAAGGCACUUGUGUGUGACUUACCUAAGGAAAGGAAAGACAAGGAUGUUCCCUAUGAUGCAAAGGGCAAGGCCAAGGUGCAGUAUGUUGCCUAUGACACCAAGGGCAAGGCUAAGCUACAGGAUGUGGGCCACGUCUCGGAUAAGGGCGUCCAAAUUGACUCCAAGGGCAAGGACAUCGCAACAGAUAAUGAACAUGAUGUGCAGGAUGUUUGGGCUGAUGAUGAGUUGUUGUUCGAUGUCGAUUUGAACUAGUAUCAUUUAAUAUUUCAUUUAUGUAAUGGACUUGUUUAUCGUGGACUAUUUGAAUUAUGUAAUGGACUUGUUUAUCGCGGACGAUUUGAUUUCCGUAAUGGACUUGUAUCGUGGACUAUUUGAAUUAUGUAAUGGAGUUGUUUAUCAUAGACUAUUUGAUUUAUAUAAUGGACUUGGAUCGUGUACUAUUUCAAUUAUGAAAUGGAUUAUCAUCGUGGACUAUUUGAAUCAUGUGUAUGCAGGGUACUAGAUCGACAAUCAAGAUACAAAAUAGAAAUGUGGUGAUACAAACCAACAUAGUACAUGCAUACAAAAUGACAUAAAUGGAGCUACAUGCUCAUAAAGACAUUCACACAUAAUGAUACAACCAUGUUCACCCAUAGUAGUUGCGACGCCCAGCAAACCGUAGGUGGCAUGAAACACUGGUUAAUAUUCCUCGCUCGCUCCUACCGUAGUUCUUCCUAUAGUUGAUUGAUACGAUCAACAGCAUCUUCUCUUACAACAAUUUGUUCAUCUGUUCAUCUUUCUGCCUACUAUCUUCUAGCAAUUGGUUCACAUUAUGAUAUUUUUCCAUAUCCUCCUGCUGCGACCGAUCUAUGAGGACUUGGAGGUGCCGAAUGUAUUCUUGAACAUGUGGAACCAUAGGGCCAUCAAUCUAGCAUGUGAAACAGCAAUCGUCGAUCUACCAUCAAAGACAAGCGAUGGAUUUAAAGUUAUUACAUACAAAUCCAUCGAACAUUUGUACUGAUAAAUCAAUGAAAAAACCUUAAAACGUGGGCACCAGAAAGAAGCGUCGCCCGGCAUCACCAAAUAGCUCAUAAACCUGAACCACAGCGUCUUCUCCAUGGUAGCAUCCAGGCCAGAACUCACAUGGAAGGGCAUUAUGACUGUCAUAGAAAUCCCUAGUGGUUACAUCUAGAUGUGGGUGGGGAGGAGGUGGAUCUAGAGGAUCAUGCAUCCACGACAUGGCUUGAAUUGAUGCUGGAUUCACCUACUUGGGCGCUCCUUUUAUAAUCUGGGCCCGGUGCACUGGACCGUCCUCACAGAGUAGAGAUCUUGCCUUGGAUGCCCUGGUCACUGAUAAGGCUAAGCUGGCAAAAGGGUACGCAUCGAAAAGGCUAGGCACAUGGACCCCUGAAAAGACUAGGCAGUGUCACUGAAAAGGAUAUCCUGGCUAGGCCAUGGUCACUAAAAAAAGGCUAAGCUAGCAAAAGGGUAGGACAAGGACGAUUCGGAUAAGGGCGUCCAAAUUGACACCAUGCCUUCUGGAAAUCAUUGAAGGGGAUUCAUCCAAGUUAACUGGUUGAACUACGUGAUGCUUGUAUCAUGUGUGAAAUGUGAAGACUCUGUGGUGUACAAGUAUAGGAGUAAAGGGGAUUAGUCUAAGUGAAGUGUAGAAGUUAGUCGUGCCAAGCCACCUCACGCGAUUCCUUGUGACGAAAAUGACUACCGGGAAAACUGGUGGGAGUUCCCUUUGGCGCGACUCAUGAAGGAGCCGCACCAGGCGACCUGGCAUGACUGUCACAUGAGUCGUGCCAUUCUAGGACUCUUUUGUGAGUCGCGCCACACGAAACGCCCACUAGUUUUCCCGGUAUUCAUUUCGGCACAAGGAGUCGCGCCACAGGUCUUGGUGCGACUGUCGAAAGAGUUGUGCCACUCCAUCUGGUGCGACUCCUUGUACCAAAAAUGACCAAUGGGAAAACUGGUAGGAGUUUCUACUGGGGCGAAUCAUAAAGGAGUCGCACCGCCUAGCCUGGCACAAAGGGUAGUUUUGAGAAAAUAUGCACUUACACGGCUACUUCUAAGGCAGUAAAUGGCGUUGUUGUAGUCGAUGUAGCGCUUUCCUGGGUUGUCGUGGACGGUAGAAACGUUGUUCCAUAGGUACCUGACAGUAGCCAACGAGUCGUCGUCGUCAUAUGGCAAAUCCUGCAACACAUUACCAAAUCGAAUGUUACUGAAAUAGCGUGUGCCUGCAAACAAGUUAUAUAAGGGAUCAAAGUGUGUACCCCGUAUGCGCGGUGUUACAACCGACCUAUUGGAAGGCGUUCCCACAUCCACAAUUGGAGAAGGUACGCACAACCACUAAGAUUAGCAUUAUUUCCGAACCUCCUGCUGGCAUCACACAUCGAUGAUACAACCAUGCAAGAGUUGCAGUCCCCCAGCUGUCAGGGAUAGAUCCCCAGUACCUGCAAAGAAAGAAGAACUAGGACUCAUACCUUGUAAUCCUACUAGGACUCCUCCUUGUAACCGACUAGUAAUCCCGCCCCCUGAAGUAUAUAAAGGAGGGCAGGUGUUCCUAGAUCGGUAGGCCAAGACCUCAUAGAACCACAACAUAGGACAAAAUCCUCAAUACCUAACAACACCCAAGCAUAGGGCGCAAUAUACAACACCCCGAACAGGACGUAGGUAUCACGCUACUCUGGCAGCCCAAACUUGUAUAAAUCUGUGUCUUGUGUCCUCGCUUUUACUUUCGAGUUUCAGGUCCGGCGAUCCCCACCGGUCAAUCUACUAUCUCAAGAUACCCCUUGGUAAGUUACCGGGUAUAAAACACCGACAUCUGACGUGCCAGGUAGGAGUGAUACAGUCAUAUAGCGGGUAUAAAACACCCACAUGCUUUGGCGCGACUCAAGUAUUAGUCGCGCCAAGUCGCGUGGCGUGACCAAAAGAAUUACUUGUUGAAAUUUUAGUUUAGCCUAGACUAUUUUAAAAAUUUUAGAUUAAAAGGGUUAAAAUAAAAAAAUUCUGGAUGCCGGAUCUAGCUGCCAUGCCAACUCGGUGGCAGUCCUUUUGCCCUCGGUUCCCGGCGCGCUGGCACGUGCCGAAUGCCAGAUUGGGUGGCGAUCGCCCGGCCACCUGUACCCCACGGCCGCGGGCGCCUUUUCACCGUUUUUCGUACGGGGGCGGCGGCUCCCGCAGCCACAAGUCCAUCGCCGCCGCGGACGCCAGAGCGAGCGAUCGGUCCAUUGGUACGUUGCUGCGUGUUCGUACGCGCCUCGCGUCGUCAGGGUGGCCUUGCCGUGCCGCCCGUGCGUACGCAGAACUGCCAGUGGUUGAGGAUUUCGAAGCGGCGUGUACGCCGUGGUGGGUACGGGGGUAGCACGUGACCGUUGGGCGUCAGAUCAGUGCACGGCUUCGGCGAGCCGUAAGCCGUUCACCGGCACGGAGCUUUCGGGUCUACUCAUCAGCGAGUGAUGCCGUGAUGGCAUUCCGUAGCCGUUCCCCCACUCCCCCUUUCAUGAUUGGUCAGACACAGCGUCUUUUAAAAUACGGCUAUGACCUAUGAGCUAUGCGUGUCGGCAUUUUUACUUUUACUCUGCCGUUCAAACAUCGAGUUUUUUUGUACCGGGAUCAUAAGCGACACGAUAAUGCGGGGAUGAUUAUCUGCAGCGUGGCCAAAGAGCUAGGAGAGGCCACCUAACAAAUUUUUACCACUUACCACGACUCAUUGUGCAUGCGGAGCAUGUGACACGCGGAGCAAGAUGAAAAAGUUUUGCGUGCCUUGCAUGUGGCUAGGACUCACGCUGGAUGGCAGAAUUCUCGGCAUGUGUGUCCCACUGGAGGGGAACUGGGGAAAGCAUAACAUUUUGCUCCAGCGCCAUGCGUUCGUUAGCUCAGCCUUAUAUUCCGGGAGAGCGUAGCAUCGAAUAUUUAUAUACUAAUUAGAAAUAUUAAAUAUAAGUUAAUUAAAAAAUCAAUUGCAUCGCAUCGAAUAUUUAGAUACUAAUUAGAAAUAUUAAAUAUAGGUUAAUUAGAAAAUCAAUUGCAUCGCAUCGAAUAUAUAGAUACUAAUUAGAAAUAUUAAAUAUAGGUUAAUUAGAAAAUCAAUUGCAUAGAUGAAGACUAAUAUUAAUUGUGUAAGCUGUGGCUAAUUCGCAAGAUGAAUCUUUUAAGCUUAAUUAGUACAUGAUUUGAUAUGUGGUGUUACAGUAAAUAUGUGCUAAUUAUGGAUUAAUUAGUUUUCAAUUGACCCUUAAGCUUAAUAGAUUCGUCUCGCAAAUUAGCCUUUAUCUAUGCAAUUGGUUUUGUAAUUAACCUAUAUUUAAUACUCCUGAUUAGUAUCUAAAUAUUUGAUGUGACAUGGACUAAAUUUUAGUCCGUGUCUCCAAACUGGGUCUUAGCUAGUUAGCUUCACUGGCCCAACACACAAUGAGGCAUGAGGAACUCUGAUUUCUUCCGCCUAAUAGUAUGUCACAACAAGAAAAUGUUGGAAAGUUUCAUAUUCUUCAUGCGUGCUAACAAAUUGUUUGACAUCUUGUUAUUCUAACCGAUGCAACGGCGAUGACAGCUACAAGAGGCGGGAAUUUGAAGCUAGAAAUAAAGAUAUUGUACUGCAUUAUGAGCUUGGUUACGUCUUAAUAAGAACAUUUCCACUAUUCCUCCAUAGUAUUCUUGUGACAUUUUGGCUGAAAAUCUCAGAUGACAUAAGUGGACCAUCUUGUUCAACGUGAGAUCACGUCCGAACUUUUUUUUUUCCAGUUAAUUUCAAGUUAGGAUCUGAUCGUCCGGGAGAGUCCAGAUAUAUCAUCCCUACAGAAAAAUCAAAGUUUACCAGCUCUAACCAAAUCGUCUCUCAUGGUACUAUUAAUAAUUCAGAUCAACAGUCCCCUGGGACAAGAUCGCCCAGCAUGUGCGUCGAGCAACAACCUCUCCAGAAAAAGGAGCCCAUCCACUCCACUGAUCUGAAUAUCUGAUGGGUAUAGUAGCACAGCAGCUCGCUGGCCACUGGAUAGGGUAGGGAGCGUAGCGUAGGUCCACGGUUUUCAUGUGAGACCACGUACCGCCACCAGCAACGGCCAACGGCGGCGCGCCACUGCCCACUACACAGACACACUGUUUGCUGACGGGGCGCCUGCAUCCACUUGGAUCGAUCAGACGCAGCCAUCUGACAGGACGUUGCAGGUGUGGGGGCGGAGCGCUUCGAUUCCGCUCCUGCUCCUCUUGAAAAGGCUGCAAGGUCCGGUGCGGGGGCCGGGUCGAGGCCUGUGUGUGGGGAGCUACGUGCUGUAGGAUGCUCAGCUCAUAGCACUGUUGCUGCAGUGCACGGCUGCUCGGCUACGGCUACUCGUCCGUAGUGAUUGCUCCAACGAAGCCCCGAAAUGAGCGGUGACCCACUGACCCUGGCCCUGGAGCGUCUACGAUUCGGCCGAAAGAACGAAUGAUCAUUGCUGCUCUAGGGAAUCAUGCUAUGAUGGAGAAUAAUUGGGUGUUUGCUUUUGAUCGAGUGGAAGUUGAGAGCUGGGUGGGUAGCAGCAUUAGUCUGGUAGGAGUACCAUCAUAUCAUACGCUUCGUGAUGAUGGAUGGAUGGCAUGGGCAUCAGGGCGUCCGUGCGUGCGCGUUGGAGAUGAUGAAAAACAUUAGGUGGGCCCUUGUUUUUGGGAGGAAAAACAUUGGGCCCUUUGCUACAUCACUGCUGGAUGCGGGCCGUAAGCCCGUCAAUAGUUGCAAAUUGGACCGACGCAUGGGCCGAGAUGCACACAAGAACUGGGCCGAAGCACUCAUUUGCACGCUACAAACUGAAAGACCAGAAUAUCCUGGAUGGGCAGCGCCAUUCCUCCUCAUGAAAACAGUGAAUUGAUGUGGAUAAGAAUCAAUGGAAUUUCCAUUUUCAAAAGGGAAAAAAAACAUCAACUCGAAUUCUUGAUGGCUAAUCACUGUUCAAUGCAACUAUAAGUGACCCCUACCACGACCUGUCACACCCGGAUGAAUUGAUCCUCCAUAUUCCACGUUGUAUAAUACAGCUAUGAUAUGAGCAUGUUUUACCCCAACCAGUACAGCACUCUAUGUUUUUACACCACACGACCCGGCAAAACAAUUACACCAGAGAGACCCAGGGCUCCGUGGAGCAGCGGUACAAGCCACGCCGCCGCCGCCGCUCAGCUGGCCGAUCGCCCCUCAUUUCUUCCACAUCCCGCUGAUCCUCCUCAGCACGUUGCCGUUCUUCCUCGCCGCCGCGUCGUCCUCCAAGUCCUCGCACAGGCCCGCGUACUUGCCGCCCUCCCACGACUCGCUCCGCUCCACGACCUUGCCGUUCCCGCCCUUGCCCACCGUCAGCAGCGCCAUGGCCGUCUCCGCGGCCUUCCGCCACUGCUCGGCCUGCACCCGCAGGCGGCGGAGCUCGGUCUCCAUCUCCCCUUUCUUCGCCGCCUCCGCCGCGUCGGCCUCCGGCGUCCUCGCCGUCGCGGAGCCCUUCUCGGACUCGUACUGGCGUAGCUCCUGCUUCAGCUGCCCGUUCUCCUGCAGCGCGCCCUGCAGCUGCUCUUUCAGCGCGUCUGCCGACGUGUCCGCUCUCGCCUCGGCCUGCAGCUUCUGGUUCGCGUCCAGGGCGCGCCGUAGCUCGGACUCCUUGUCGAACAGGCUCGCCUUGAGGAAGAUGACCUCGGACUUGGCGCUCUCGAGUGCCGCGGCGAGCUUGCCGUGCCGCAGGUCGGAUUCAGUCUUUAUCUGGUCCAUGAGCUCGUACGCGCACUGCGUCUCCACGGUGCUAAGGAUCUUCUCUUCUUGAUACCUGGCCUCCGCGGCCUCCAACUCCGACCUCAGCUCGGCGGCUUCCGAGCCCGAGCAGUUGCAGCGCUCGCUGGCGGCUCUUGACGACGCCUCGGCGAUCUCCUCCUCGAGAGCCUUGGCCUUGGCGCGCGACUCCUCGAGCUCCUUGACCACGAGGCUGAAGGAGUCCAUCAGCUUGGAGCCGUCGGUCAGCAGCGAGUCGAUCGUAGCCCGGCUCGCCUCCAGCUGCUGCUUGCACUCCUCGUGCAUGGCGCGCGCCUGCGCCUCGGCCUCCUCGCUCGCCUUGAGCUUGACCCUGAGCUCGUCGAUGGUGGCCAGCGCCUCCACCACGUCCUGCCGGUGGUCGGCGCGCGCCGCGGCGGCGAGCUGCACGCGGAGGCGGUGCACCUCGCCCAUGGCCGCGGCCAGCGCGGCCGAGUCCGCGGCGUGCUGCUUCUGCAGGGCCUCCAGCUCCGACUGCCACGACCGGUCGCGCUCCUGCGACAGCCGGCGCAGCUCCAGGAGGCGGGCUUCCUCGGCGGACGAGAGCUCGGCGAGCUGGGCCUCGGAGUUGCGCACCUGCGCGGACGCCGCGGCGGCCUGGGCCCUGGCGUCGUCGGCCUCCUGCAGGGCCCGCUUCCUGGAGACCUCGGAGGAGUGGAGCUGCUCCUUGGCCUUCUUGAGCUCGUCUUGCAGCUGCGACAGCUGGGACUCCAGCUCUGACAGCUUCGUCGUCGGUGGCCUCCUUUUCUGGUGAUUUCAUUGCAUGAAAGGACAAAUUAAUGCCGACAAUAUCACUUAUGGUAACAGUAGUACUCCUAGAGCUUCAUUUGGAGAACAAAAAUGGUGGUGAUUUGAUUUCCACAGUGACACUAGUGUGCUUAACCAAUGUAGUGGUGGUUGUGAGAAUGCGGCUGGUUGUUCACGUUUUCUAGCCCUUCUCCAGUAUCCAGACAAAAACUUAGUUCCUCAAAUGUUGGCAAUUAGCCAAUGAUCUUGCUACCAAAUACUAGCUGGUAAUCCUGAUUAGUGUUCUUGUACGAGAAAAAGACCAGCAUGAUGCCAUGAUGGCACAUUCGAACAGAUAACCUACCUAUCACAGUGUGCCUAAAAUAUGCAACUACCUACAUAGCCUGCCUACUUUUCUGGGCGUUUGUCAGGAUCAUAAUCAGUGCAGAUAGAAUAACCACACACCGGUGUCAGUUACGGGUUCCCGGUCCCGAACAAGAGUUUGCGUCAGUUCUAUCAGAUACGCCUGUUUUGCCGUUGGUUGCAGAGACACGAUUGGUAGCAGAACUGGUACCGCUAUCUUAAUCAACCAGUUUGGUAGUAACACGCGGACGAGCUUCAAUUAUUUCGAAGGAUUUGCUAGCCAUUUAAUGUCCUGGACCAUCUGAUUCAGCUGGGUACCUAAUACGGCUGCUUUCAGUCCAAUUGACAGUUUGCUCCAUCGAGUGAGACAGAGCAAGAAGACCCAACUGCUCCUAAUUCAGUGAGGGGGUAUCAGAGAUAGACAGAUAUAAUUCGAGCCGUACUGUCUUAUCACAUGAACCCAUGAGAAAUGAUAUAGAAAUUCGACUCAUUUAAGCGCAGUUAACAGUCUUUCAAAAUCUUGUCACGAACUUAAUUGGGCGGUGCUGACACCACCGACGUACUACCAAACAGCAGCAAAGAAGCUUGCUUUAUCUUUUCUCCAGGCGAAAUUAUUGAAACCGCAUUCUGAAAUGGAAGAACGGCAAAACAGGGGUUCUUAUUUUGGCCAGUUACCUCUCUCUCGGCGCUCAUCGGCGAGCGGCGGUCGACCUUGAGGCUGAGUCCGGUGGGCGACUCGGCCAGCCUCCCCGUCCGGCCGGCCUUGUUGCUUCCCUGGGAGGACGUCCGAGUGGGGUGUUCCACGGAGCCAUUCCUUUGCAGCCAAAAGAAAACAACGGCGUCAGGUUGAAUCAGAGGACCUCAAGAAUCACACAAAGGCAGGCAAGGCUAGCUCACACUCGAAGCAGCAACAUUACCUGGAGCUGUUGCUGCUGGUAUACAACUUGAGAAAAUGCAUUUUGUUCAAGGAUAGCAUGCUUAGAACAGGGAGGAAAUUUCAGCGGCGCUCCUCAUGUCAAAAAUGCCAAAUGCAAGCCAAAAGAAAGGGGAAAACUUUCGCUUUGGGAGACUCCAAAAUCCAAAUCGAGUAGAACUGAUUCAAAGCUCUGAUGGGGGAACCAAACUAAAGAGCGCGGUGGAUUGUAUCUGAAGCCGCCUCCCGCUGAGCAAGGCGGAUCGAUGCUCCAGCUCAACCCAGAUGCAAAGCGGAGAAGCAGCAAGACGCAAUGGGGGAGCACAACAAAGAAUCCGAGGCCCGGAAAGCGCAAGAGGCCGACAAGAAGAGGAGGGGAGGAGCAACGCCGAGCUGGGACGGGAGCCGAGGAAAGGGGGGCCGCAGCAUUAGCUUAACAUAAUCUCCUCCGCCGCGUAGGCAAGCACGGGCGGGAUCAAAAGGGCAGAGGGCGAUGACUGAUGAGUGAUGAGGGAGGGGGGGAGUGCUUUGCUUUACAGAUGCGGGUUAGGCAACAAGUGGACCUGCCUGUCCUCCUUGGCUCCGAGCUCAAGAACGGGACAGCCCUUGCGCAUGGAGCUAUCUGCGAACAGUCACGGUCACAUGCGGCACUGAUUUGAAAACUUGGUCGCUUCCUCCUCGGCUCCGUGAAAAGAUAAAAAUAAAUGGAAAGGGAGGACAGACAGAUGGCGAUAAAAGGGGGAAAGCGUAGUUUAGAGCCGCCCAAUCGCAUAAUUCCAUCUCACAGCUCGCCGCUGGUAAAUUCAGUGCAGCAACCGUGGGUGAUCGGAGUCUUUGUUCUUUUUUUAUUUGUUAUCAUUGAGCGAUGACCAAUGAGUAUGAACAGUUCUCCAUGAACUUUCGUGAGACGUGUCCAGCCAUAGGCUCAUAGCUCGUGCGUGCUGAAAUAGAACAUGGGGGUAAUGGCCAAACUGAAGAGUGAAGACCAGAUCAGAGAGAGAAACCACGGUGCAUAUGCAACACAUUGACUUGGAGGGGAGAAUCUAACAUCGCCAGGAUUGAUGCAGAAGAGAAAAUAAACAAAGCAUGCAUAUGCAGCAAUCAUCAGACGGCACAUGGAAUUUAGCAUGGAAGCGGGAUGAAAUGAAAUGAAAUGAGGCAAAUGCGACGAACCUUGCCCUGGCCGCCGCCUGCAUGGCGAUAUCUUUAUUUCCGGAGCUCAGACUCAGAGCCGCCGCUCUACCACCACGGCUCCAAGAGGAAAGCUGCAAGGGGACAAAACACCAAAGCGGGAUCGUCAGCUAGCUCCCGCUCGCCCCGUCAUGGACUUGCUGCUAAAGCGGCGCGGCAGGAGAGACAGGGAAGCCAGGCGAGCUAUGGAGCUAUCUGCAAUGGCGACGGCGGAGCUAGCAGCUACCUCUCUCUCUCUCUCUCUCUGUCUGCACCUAUCUUCACGCGCGCAAAGGCAAAGCAACUAAAUAAUGGACAACACGGAGGAAUUGGCUGCUGGCUUGCCCGUCUAAUCUGGCACUAACUAGUCCUCCAACCACUUAGCCAACGACAGGGACAGCCGUGUGUGGACGGUCUCUAUACAAAUAGCACCAACUAAUUGGCAUCCUUAAACCGGGGGACACAUGGUGAGCUUCGCCGUGCGCGCAAUCCGAUUCUUUAAGCUUCGCCACGGGCGCGAAAUGGCUAGGCCCUCGUCAUGCUCCACGAUCGCUGCUACUACAAGUAUAGAGCUCUUUAGAGGGAGAGGCCAACACGGGCAUGGACAUGGAUGGCCCGGUCGGCCCCUCGGCGGAGGAUAGCGCAUUAUACGCGCGCCACUACAACCACCAAGCUUAAGGCUGCAGAAAGGUAGGCCUGAAGCAAGCGAGAAUCCACCACUCCACGGCUUCCUCUUUUGUUCGCUCUCGAUCUCGCUUAGUCUUUCCCCUUACUCAACGCCGCCCCACGCACAAAAGCAGCGGCGCCGCCCGCCCACACACACGCUCGACACCGCGGCCUGGAAUCAUGCGUGGUGCAUAAGUAGUUGGAGUCUUGUUAAGAUGGCCAAAUUGGCAACCACGCCCCUGGAUACGGUAACCUUUUUGUUGAUUAACAGAAGCACUACAACAACAGCCGGAAGAAGAGACACGUAUUAUUGCUGCUGCUAUCUUGGGUUUACGUACCUCUGGAUAACUAACUCUUGAUAGCCACGCCCAUGAGCUGGGGUUUCAGAUGCGUGGAGACCAUGAGACAAAGGCUUGGAGAUGAUCCAAAGCUUUACAGCUUGUCUGUACCUGGAUAGAUGAGUAGGUGCUAGACCAGGAAGCUGGUAGUAGGUGCUAGACUUUGACAGGUUAAUUUGUGAGAAAAGUGAAACUGGGGAUGGCUCCUCCAACGAGGAAUGCAUGCUGAACCGGAUGGCCAAGUAGCUCUGAACUUUUGGACCAGUUCCAAGUUCCAACAGAGAGGUGGCAACGCAAGCAAGCAUUCGGGGGCCUCUCUGAUUGAUUGGUCGACCAUGCUUGCAUGGCGCAACCGCCCAUGAUGUGCGAUGAGAUGAAUGCUCAGGAUUCAGGACAUGGCAAGCGAAAGAAGAAGCAGACUCACCUCACCUCUCCUUACGUCUCUCCUUGCUCUUCCUCGCCGCCUUCAUAUCAUGCUCCGAGACAUGGAACUAUGGAAGCCAUUGCCCGAAGGGGACGGAGGUGUGGAUAGGAGUCACCUGCACUUCACAGGCGAAGUAGGAUGUCAUCUUUUUUAAGUAAGCAGAAAACCAGACAAUGUCGUCAGGAUCUCUGAGAAGGCUGCAGCAGCGAGACGAAGAACAAUCAUUUGGGCGCGCUCGGCCUCCCGUGCGAGAAAAUCAAAUGGGAGCGAGAUAUCUGGAUCCGCACCUGAUGAUUUUCGGCAAUAUUUUUUGCCCGGAAUUUCAACGCUCGCUGAUGUUGCCGUUGCGCUCCCUCAGAGGUCGCUGAAUGCUGAUCCCGGAUAAUGACCGACCCCUGUUGUCCACUUGAUGACCGAUGAUGCUUUGUGGAGUACGGCUCAAAGGAUGGUAAAGCGUGUAGACGCUGGCACUGCAACACGUCACGUGGCAACGGCGUGAUCAAAGCUAAGGCAAGGGCUCCAACGCUCUGCUUCUUGGAGUGUUCUCCGCGAUCUACACGUCCCGGAUGGCAAAUACAGCUACGGCUCCAGAUCAAAAUCCAAACCAGCAGCAGUUUAAUUUCUUCUGUUAGAUCUACAGUGUCAUUCUUACCACCACAAAUUAAGGACCAGCGGAUCCACAAGUUUGUGCUCUAGCUGUCUAGCGCUCCGGCGCGCAUGCCGGCGAUGCCCCACCGGUACGAUGCGAUCACACGGGUGGGCGACAAGGAGACCGCUCAGAGCAGGGAGCCAGAGCCUCCCCGGCUCGCGUCCGUAACACGACAAGUAUCUUACUUCCGAGCGCGCUCGACGCGGACCAAUAGUCCACUACUCGUCGUCGCAGGCGCGCGCGACGGUGCAGUGGCUAGCGUACAAGCGAUUCGCGCGCGCGCGGGUGCAGCGGCAGCGGCGGCUCAUGCCCCGAUCGCCCGGGUACGCAGGUAGGCGCCAACGCCGACGCGAUCCAUCAGCGCGCCUGUGAACCCUGUCGCAGGAGAGUCCCAUCGCGCCUGUGACGAGCCAUCCUUUCGGAAAAAGCACGCCGGGGCUGGCCGUAUCGCUAGUUACAGACGGGCGUGAAUCCACGGGUGAAUUCCCGAGAUGUACCGAGUACCGACCUGAAGUUACAUGCGUACGCACCGAUCUGCGCUGAAGUUGCCCGGCAAGUGUGCCUGAGCAUCGAAGUCCGUGCUUACUGAUUCAACAUGUCCGAAACGCAUUGAGGGCCUGUUUGGUUAGCCUUGCUUAUAAAUAAGCAACUUAUAUUUAAGCAAAUAAGUUGCUUAUGACCCAAACACUCUUGCUUAUAGACUUGCUUAUAAGUUGCUUUUGCAUAAGCAAAUAAGCAACUUUUGGGUUGCUUAUAGUUGCUUAUGGAGCACUUUACUCCUACCCUCAUUCUCUCUCCUCUCUCCCCUUUCUCUCUCCUCUCUCCCGUGUGGAUUGCCUGGUGCCGCUUCCGCCGGCCGACGGCCGCUCCCGCCCGCCGGCCGCCUCCGCGCCGCCCGUCGCCGCUCCCGCCCGCCCGCCGCCCGCUCGCCGCCCGCCUUCGCGCCGCUCGCCGCCCGCUCCCGCGCCGCCGGCUGGAUCUCCCGCCCGGCCGCCCGCUGGAUCUCCUUGCUCCUCCUCCCGCGCCGUCGGCUGCUCCCGCCCGCCGCCGCCGCUCCCACCCGCCCGCCUCCGCUCCGCGCGCCCGCCGCCGGCCGCCCGCCACUCGCACCCGCCGCUGCCCAAACCAAGGGGUAGGAGCUGGGCCAUUUUCAGGGGUAGAGGAAAAUGGAUAGCAGGGGCAAAUAUGUCAAUCCUAAUCAUAUAAGCAAACCAAAUACCUAGACUUAUAAAUAAACAACUACAAUAAGCAAAUAAGCAACUUAUUUAUAAGCAAUCCUAAACCAAACAGGCCCUGAGAUCGAUUGCGAGUUGAGACGAUAAUAUCCGGAAGCGACUCCGUCUGCCUGGCCGCGGUCUCCAUCCUCAGCACAGGAUCGCGUCGGCCACGACGCAGCUGCCGGCGGCGGGUACGCGUCGUACUUAACUUGCUUGCCGUUGUAUCCACUGCUCGAUGGACACCUACAUCCAGCUCCGUCCGUCGCCGCCCACCGCCCGCUCGCGCUUGCAGCGCACGAACAAACGCAUUCAAUACGCCCGCCCCCGCCCCCGCUCGUGGCGUCCGCGAUCGCGACGCCGACGCCUCCCCACGCUUUGCUAGCAACCACCGGAGUAAUGGAAGAGAGAUACGAUACGGCCGGCGUGCUGCGUAUCACUAUCAUGCGUAUGUGCUCGAGGUCGACGGUCGGCGUCACGUAGAACGUCGACGUCGGGAGCGAGAGGCGGCUUCCAUUCGCUGCUGGGUCGGUAUCAGACGUCGCGCCCCUGUAGACUCGAGCCCCCGUGCAGCUAGCUCCGUGACGACCAGCCAGUGGGUGUGGGUACAGUGCGUGGCGUCGUCUUUCUACGCAGCUCACUGUAUCGGUGAAUCGCGCAUCGUUUUCGCGAGCCGAUCGCCCGUCCGGCCGGGAGAGGCUACGCAGACGGUUCCAGCAGCACAUCUGGUUCCAAGUCCGGGCCUUUUCUGACUUGACGUUGCGGUUGCGGUUUUCCGUUCAGACGAGGAAGAAAAACUGGCGCCAGUUUAGUGCAGAGGUGCCGAAUGAGUGGUGAAAAGAAUGUUCUCACUUAGAGCCGUGAAAGUGAGAAUUGUGCUUGGACUGGAAGCAUGGAUAAGGGGGUGUUUGGGAGACACUGGUUAAACUUUAACCCCUGUCACAUCGGAUAGGCUAAUUACAAAACUAAUUGCGCAACCCCUAGGCUAAAUCGCGAGACGAAUCUAUUAAACCUAAUUAGUUCAUAAUUUGACAAUGUGAUGCUACAGUAACCAUUUGCUAAUGAUGAAUUAAUUAGGCUUAAUAGAUUCAUCUCGCGAUUUAGCUUAGGGUUCUGCUAUUAGUUUUGUAAUUAGCUUACGUUUAGUCCUCCUAAUUAGUAUCCGAACAUCCGACGUGACAGGUCUAAAGUUUAGCCCUGUCUUCCGAAUGCAGCUAAGAUAUGACAGGUCUAAAGUUUAGCCCUGUCUUCCGAAUGCAGCUAAGAUAGCCACAAAAUAGUCAUGGUCAAUCGGUGGGAGCAGCGGAGAUUGUGAACUGGCACUACACAGCACCCGUAAGAAUCCCAACUCAAAACUUAACUGGUACUCCUACGUAGUGACGAGACACUGCAAAAGCAGUUUUGUAACUUGGAGGACGCGCAAACCUAGACGUCGAAAUCGAGAAUGCUCUGUCCUGUACGAAUGGGCGCUUCAAAUUGCGCGACCAAUCUCUCACAGAUUUUGCGUCGGAGAACACUUCAGAUUGGUCUUUGAGAAAGAAAGAAAAACUUCAGAUUUGAUCAAGCCAAAUCAUCGUUCCGACAGAUCGAGCAGCCAGAUUCGGGUUCGGAAUUCUCGAGCAAAACUCUGCAAAUGGGCUGUACCAAUUCCAUAUGAAUCUGAUACGGCCCGUAUAUAUUCCGCCCACCAGGUUACACAACAGGGCCGCCAUGUCAAGAUCACUACCUCUUUUUAGGGGAGGCCCAACUCAUCCGGAUCGCGCGCGCUAGCUCGGUCUGCGGCUUUGCGUUCCAUGCACGUCUGUCGUCUAGCAGCCAGCCAUGAAUGAAGAGGCAGGCCCAGUCCGAGAAAAUUGGGACCGACAAGGUCACUCGCGUAAAAACCACCAAACCCGGGGGGCCGAGCGACCAACCGAACGAAACAUUGGCCGGUCCGCGCCCACCCAGGCUUGGGCCCACGGGCCAGCCACGGCGCGCCUCCCUUCCGAGCCGCUUCCUCCCUCCCUCCCCGUCCCCCCGAUGGGUCAUGGCAGUCGCGCACUCGUAGCCCGCGCCCCCGCCCCCCUUCCACCCCCCCCCCCCCCCCCCCCCCCCCCGCGCCCUCAAAAAAAAAAGUUGCGCACUCGUAGAAUAGAGUGGAGAACAGAAUUAGGCCGACCCCCUCAGAUCUGAGGCGCCACUCGACCACCGCCCCGCGUCGUCGUCCUCCUCGCGCUCGCGGCGCCUUCUGGAAGCUCCGGGAGGGCGCGCUCCGCUCCGGCGGGCGAGCGGGAUGGGGGUGUUCGAUCGGCUGCCCCCGAUGGACCACCUGCGGUCCGAGAAGAUGUGCUUCGUGCAGCUCAUCAUCCCCGCCGAGAGCUCGCGCGUCGCCGUCACCUACCUCGGCGAGCUCGGUCUCCUCCAGUUCAAGGACGUGAGUUCCCUUCCUCGCUCUCGCCGCUCCUCGCUAGCCUCUCCGCCUCUUGCGUUCUCGCUCGGAUCUGCCUGAUCCAGCCUCGGGAGUCGUGAUCUCUCUCCCGACCCCGCUUGCGCGCGUCGCGCUCUGCGGUCUGUUGGAUCUAGCUCGAGGCCGUGCUCGAAUUGCAGGGCUAGUGUUUGAUCACGGGUGUCAUUGGAUCCUGGUUUGGCGCGUGUUUCACGUUCGAGCUUGUUUGGGCAGCUGUGAUUAUCGUUUAGUGUGGAAAGUUCUUUUAGAUCACAGGGCACGAACCCGGCAGUCUCAUUGAGCCCUCAGGUUCACGUGAAUGGGCUAAUGUGGUAGAGCCACAGAGGUUUUCAUGGCAAGCAUGGGAUUGGAUCAGUGUGCUUUAGCUUCAUUUGAAUAUUCAUAGUAUCCAUCUAUAUGAACUUAGCCACUGUAAGCAAACGAACUGGCACUGUAUGUUUUGUGACAGUCCACAGAAACGGAUUAUUGGAGGGUUAAGACAACUCUUUGUUGAUGAUACCAUGAACACAUAGUUGCAUGCUUUGAAAUAGAUCAAGUCAUACUGAUAUACUGGUUCAAUGAAAUGAGUAACAAAGUUUAUGUGAUUUUGAUAGUGGGUGUUCAAACCCCUGUAUGGAUAAAGCUUUUUUACUUUCUUAGUUUAUAAACUUUAUAUGUACCAGCCUGUUAUCAUUCUGUUUGAUUUUUAUUUUGAGGAAUCAGGUGCGUUGUUAGUUUGUUGCAAUGUUGUUUCUGGGGGAAAAUGAGAACUCCGGUUGGCUUCAAAACUUAUUAUUUUGUUGUUAAUUAUUUCAGCUAGUGGCUAUAUUCAAAGAAAGAGGCAAUAUUCUUUGACUUCGUUGUUAUGAUCUCACUGUAAAAAACUUUGUUGCUGUAUAUUGUGCCAUUAUAGAGAAAAAAAUAUAGCCUACAUUCAAUUUAAAAGUCUGUUUCUGUUUCACUGCCAUAAUGGAUUUUGCUGAUUUCUUUUAUUAUCUGCUGCAGUUGAACGAGGAUAAGAGUCCUUUCCAGCGUAUAUUUGUCAACCAGGUAUUCCAGCUUACCGUAUUGUUCAUUUCAUUUCUGUGUCGACAACCUUACCUUGCAUGCACCUAUCUGAUUCUACUACAGAAAUGCCUUAACCAUAUUUUAUUUUGUUUUAGUCUUCAUUCAUUUAUUCCCUUUGUUAAAAAUGAUGUUUACUUGGCUGUUAUGUUUGUGUUACUCAGAUAGCCUCCUUGGUUAGCUCAGACUAUUCGAUGUGCAGUCAGAUUUCUAGUUUCUUAAGUUUUAACAAGUCAGAGCAUUACAACGGAAUUACAUAGUGAGAAACCUUUGUCUAAUUUUCUUUUGAUUUGUUUGGAUUCAAAUGGAACACAAGAAACAUUAAAUAGGAAGCAGUUUUGCUGUUAGCCAUGCUAGGAGCUGUAUCCUUGUUAGUUUCUUUCCCUGAAAAAUAAGUACGUCAGCUAAGUCCCCCCUCCCUCCCUAAUUUUGGAGACACAUCGAUCAUGAUAGUUCAGUUCUUUAGUACCAGUACCAACAAGCAUCAUGGAUCGGGUGUUUCACUUUCAGAAUAUUAAUUAUGAAUGUUGCUCUUCCUUCAUAAGACAAUUAUGUAUAACAUAUAGGAUCAAAUUGAAUUAGUCUAUCAAAUGGGUGAGACUGAUUCUCUCCCUUUUGUUUCUGGAAAGUGUUGGAAGCAGCUAAUAGACAAGAAUUAUGAUAUAUAAAUAAGGCAUGACUCUUGUUGGGGAAGGGGUAAAAAUACAUGCUCAUUGCAUUAUGGUACUAUUAUAUAAAUUUGGUAUUGUGAGUAGUCUUUGCCCGAUCAAGUUGCCUGGUGACGUAUGCUCAUGGCACAGAGUACGGAUUGAGUAGAUGAUGGGAAAUUGGAACAGGAUGAUGAAGUCAUCAGUAAUGGAACUUAUUGUUUCCAAUGAAGUUUGCCUUUUGAAGUAUGGUCAUGGAAUUAAGUUCUCUUGCUAGAUUUAGAAUGAUGAAGUGAUCAAUAAUGGAAAUUAUUAUCUGGGCUGUUGCUUUCCUUUAUCGAGUUUUCAUGACACCAACACCCUGAUCCCAUCUAGAAUGAAAAAAAAAGAUAUCUGGUGCUGAGUAACUUUUUUAUAUUGACAAACCUGCAUAACUUCCCUGCAGGUAAAGAGAUGUGCAGAAAUGUCACGUAAACUAAGAUUUUUCAGUGAUCAGAUCAACAAGGCAGGUGUAAGAUCUUCAGUUCGACCUGCACUUGAACCUGAUAUUGAUCUGGAGGAGCUAGAGGUGCAUCAGUCAUCUUUUUAACCCAAAAAAUUCUGCCUUUUUUUUUCCUUUAGUAGCUGAUUUAAUUGAUAAUAAAUAGUUCGCUUGAGUGAAAAUAAACACUUGCUCUUGUUUAUUCUCCAGGCAAGAUUGGGUGAGCAUGAGCAUGAACUGCUUGAGAUGAAUACCAACAGUGACAAGUUACAACAGACAUACAAUGAACUUCUUGAAUUCAAGCUUGUCUUGACCAAGGUUGUGUCUCGACUCUUUUCAAACAUUGAACUUUCAAUCCAUGUACUUCCUACGGAAGAUCGAAGAUCUGACUCUAAUGAUAGCCCUAGUGAUUUUUCUUAUGGACAAAUGAAGCAUACCAGAAAAAUACGGUAUAGUUAAUGACAGUUGCCUUUUCUAGCAUUAUGAACUGUAAUAUUGCUUGCCAAGCAUAAUUGUCUUCUAUAGUUAUUGUCACUUGCCAGUAAAAUACCGACUUUGAUUUGAAUUAGUGUGUUUUCUCUUCUUCUCCAUAUUUUCUCAAACAACAUCUUGCAGGCAGGUGGCAUCCUUGCUUCUUCUCACAACCAUGCAGCUUCAGCUGAGCGGGAGCUAGAUGAAAACAUAUAUGACAGGGAAGUGGAUGAGGGAAAUGCCUAUUUGCUCGAACAGGUCUUAUUUUGGCUCUGAUCCAUAAAGUUAGCAUCAUUCCAUUUUCCUGUUCCAUUGUAAUAAACCAAACUGUUCCCAGGGAGUGCAUCAAGGAUCUUCUGGAAAUUCUGGGGUGAGGUUUGUUAGUGGGAUAAUAUUAAAGUCUAAGGCACUGGCUUUUGAACGGAUGCUUUUCCGAGCUACAAGAGGAAAUAUGUUAUUCAAUCAGGCGCCUGCAGGGGAACCUGUAACUGAUCCCAUAUCUGGUGAAGAGGUCUGAUAAUCAUGGUUUGCCCUUGCUAAUUCCUGUUGAUUAUUGAUUUAAAUGCAUUGCAAAAUUUGCCUCAAAUUAUUACUGAUUGCACUAGCUGCACUCUAUUUCAAUUUUGAUUUUGUUCUGCCAUAACCAAUGCAUAUUGGUACCUUCAAAACUUCUGAAUAAUAUUUUAACAUUUUGACAGGUAGAGAAAACUGUUUUUGUAGUUUUCUUUUCUGGGGAACAAGCAAAAGCAAAGAUACUAAAGAUUUGUGAUUCAUUUGGAGCAAGUUGCUACCCUGUUCCUGAGGAGAUGAUGAAGCAGAGACAGAUUUUCAAUGAGGUAUUUUACUUCCCUUUUUGGCACACUAGUUCAUUAAUUCAUUCGUUCACUUUUGAAAUGCAAUGCAUGAUUUGAUUUGAUUUGAUUCUGUAUAUUGCUAUAUUAUUGGAGUGUAUUUGAGGCUUCAAUGGUAGUAACUUACAAUUUUAUGACUUGUCAGGUAUCAGCACGCCUCUCUGACCUGGAAGUUACUUUGGAUGCUGGAAUCCAGCACAGAAACAAAGCUCUUGAGUCAGUAGGAUCACAAUUGUGGAGGUGGACAAUCAUGGUAAUAAAGUAAAUACCAAUUUCUCAUUUUCUAUUUCUGUACCUUUUCGCCCCUAAAAGGUCUAUGGCCUUUUUUCUGGCUAGUGCAUGGAUUUGUGAAUCACAACAUUUUUGUAAUCCUUUUAGGUUAAAAAGGAGAAAGCUGUAUAUGACACGCUGAACAUGUUAAACUUUGAUGUGACAAAGAAAUGCCUUGUUGGAGAAGGAUGGUGUCCUAUAUUUGCUAAAUCUCAGGUCAGCAACUAUACAUUUAUUUGAAUCGUCGUGGCCAUUCAUUUUUGUUUUCAGAAUAAAAGCUUUAGAAGAUGUUUCUUACUUCCAACUUGUGUUUCAGAUCAAGGAUUGUUUGCAGCGUGCAACACUUCACAGCAAUUCACAAGUUGGAAUAAUAUUUCAUGAGAUGGACACUAUGGAAUCACCACCUACAUAUUUCCGAACUGAUAAAUUUACCAACGCUUUCCAGGAAAUUGUUGAUGCAUAUGGGUAUGUACUUAGAUGCCAAACUCAGCAUGAUGAAUAAUUGUAUUUUGUUAAUCUUUUGCCUUCUGGGACUUGCUUAUAGUUGUCAGUAAAUGCUUAGCAAAUUGUAACUACCAAUAGAUGCUAACAAAUUAUUUGCCUUUGGAAAUCAAGUAUACUUGCUAAUUGCUACUUUGCCAGGACAUUUUUUUUCUUAUGUUGUUUUAAAGUUAACAUGAUUGAGGUUGUUGAGUCUUCAGCAUUUUCCUAGAUCUUUCAGUAUUGUUGAUCUUACAAGGCUGAUUAUUUCUUGAAACCUUAGUGGUUAUUUGAUUGUGCUUGAUGUGAAUUGCUUUUGUCUGGGACUGUUUUCAUGUUUACCAUUCUCUUAUGAAAGAGGAAUGCUUGUUCACCAUGAACCUUCCAUAGUGAAUUGAUUUUGAUUUUGUUUUGUUGCAGUGUUGCUCGAUAUCAAGAAGCUAAUCCAGCUGUAUAUUCUGUUGUGACAUUCCCAUUCCUUUUUGCUGUUAUGUUUGGAGAUUGGGGUCAUGGGAUAUGUCUGUUACUAGGAGCUUUGGUUCUUAUACUUCGUGAGAAGAAACUCUCCUCACAGGUAUACUUGGCUGAACUUGGUCCCUUUUCUUUCUUUCCUUUCAUAGCCACUAGAAACAAAUCAUGUAUUGGGUUAUUUGUGCUAAAUAGUUUCUCCUAUCUAUAGCUAGUCCAAUAAAUAUUACAAAGGAAUUUGAGCACCUGAAUAAUAUUCUUAAAAUGGAAAAAGAGUCUACUCCCAAUUGUUUCUGAUAGUGGUAUAAAGGCACAAGGGACCUGCACAGUACUCGUUCAGAAACAUUGCAUUUAACCUAUUUAGUCAUGAUAUAUUUGCAUACUAGUAGACAAUUCCUCUGAUAAUGUAUACGGGAUCCAGCGUGACAAAUCUGCCCCAAGGAGCGCAGUGAAGAGGUGUUCUGGGCUUUCUGGCUCUGGCGACAGUUGUCUGUUCAAGUUUUAGUAAUUUUGUGCAUUAAAAAAUACCUUAAUAAAUAUGAUAUAGUUUGGAAGCUAUUAGUUGCUUUUAGUGUGUCUUUGAGAAAUUUGAUCUGAGCUUGGCAUCUUGCCUUUUAUUCCACAUUGUGAUGCGAGUUUGCUUAACCUCUUCCGGUAACCUCUGGUCCAUAACUUAUUUCAGAAGCUUGGCAGCUUUAUGGAGAUGGCAUUUGGUGGACGAUAUGUCAUUCUUCUGAUGGCAAUAUUCUCAAUAUACUGUGGCCUUAUAUACAAUGAGUUCUUCUCAGUUCCGUUUCAUAUAUUUGGCAAAUCUGCGUAUGAAUGCCGAGAAAAAAGCUGCAGGUAUGUCUGCUAUUUGAUGUCUUUAAGUGUUAAUGAGACAAUUGUUCUCUGAAGUUUCUAGAAUGAUGGAGGAAUAAUAAAAUGGUUUAAAUCCUGCCUAAGCUCAGUUAUUGUUAAUUGUUAUUCUGUUUUGCUGGUUGCUGGAUGAUCGAAAUCCCUGCCUUAUCGGGUCCCAGUCUCUUGCCAGGACAGUGAUCACUGUAUCUUCAGUUUGCCCCCAUGUUGCUAUCACAGAGUAUACAGUCCAUGUGCUAAACAUGUUGUAUUACAGGAAGUAUAUAGCUUUAUCUUUUGUACUACCAAAGAGCUAUGUGCAUCAAACAUUAGACACAUGUCGUCGCUCAUUCUUAAUACGCGAGCGUUUUAAAUUUUGACCUCAAUUGUACGCCCCUACUACAUAAAUCAUGCUAGUGAGUUUCAUUUAAUGCAUUGUCUGAAGUAUUUUUAUGGCCUAGGGAGGCAUAUUUAUUGCUCGGUUGUAGCCAGUUGUGUUGAUGGUCUAUAGAGCUUUAUCCACUUGUUUAUUCCUUUUUCUGAAUGUGGCUUGUAGUCAAUGUAAUGUGGACCUCCUUGUUAUCAUAUAACAACGUAGCCAUGUACCAAAUGUUUUAUUCUGUAUAAAAUCUAACUCCUAACCUGUGUGCUUUAGUGAUGCACAUACUGCUGGUCUCAUCAAAGUCCGUGAUCCCUAUCCUUUUGGGGUGGACCCAAGUUGGCGUGGAAGUCGGUCUGAGCUACCCUUUCUAAAUUCGUUGAAGAUGAAGAUGUCUAUACUAAUGGGUGUUGCCCAGAUGAACCUGGGGAUUGUGUUAAGUUAUUUUGAUGCGCGGUUUCAUGGAAAUGCCCUUGACAUAAGGUAUUGUAUAUUCUUUUGUAUCUUCUGUUCUGAUGGAUCUGAAUCAAAGAGGGGAAAUUGCAGCACUUUUAACUAUUCGCAUUUUUUCAGGUAUCAGUUCAUACCACAGAUGAUUUUUCUGAAUAGCCUUUUUGGUUACUUAGCACUCCUGAUUCUCAUCAAAUGGUGCACGGGCUCUAAAGCUGAUCUUUAUCACGUGAUGAUAUACAUGUUCCUUGAUCCUGCUGGAGAUCUUGGAGAAAAUCAACUGUUUUGGGGCCAAAAGGAACUCCAGGUUCAAUAAAAUGGCCUCUUUUCUCUGUAUUUCUAACAUCCCUUAUGUGUUCAACUUAUCUGCUUUUCCCUUUCAGAUACUUUUGUUGCUUCUGGCUUUGGUAGCUGUUCCAUGGAUGCUCUUCCCAAAGCCUUUUAUUUUGAAGAAACUUCACAAAGAGGUAUAUUGAUAUGGAAAAUAUACUUGGAAAACACAUAAUGUUCUUUUUUCCCAUGCCAAAUCUUAUAAUUAGGUCAUCCCCAAAAUUUCUCAAAAAAUUCCAAGUAAAGGAUCAAUGCUUAUGAUAACUAAAUUGAAAUACUUUUUCUGCUUAAGCAAGGUGAAUACUAAUUUUUAUAUGGAUGCAGAGAUUUCAAGGGCAUACCUACCGUUUCCUAGGGACAUCUGAAAUGGAUCCAGAUUCUGAACCUGAUUCAGCCCGAGCACGUCAUGAUGAUUUCAACUUCAGUGAAGUUUUUGUCCAUCAAAUGAUACAUUCCAUUGAGUUUGUACUUGGUGCAGUUUCAAAUACUGCAUCUUAUCUUCGACUUUGGGCCCUGAGGUUUGCCUCUUGUGAUGUUUUGCUACCAAAUUUUAGUUUCUCCCAGUUCUACUGCUCACUUCUGUGUACUUUUUGUUGGUUUCAGCUUGGCACAUUCAGAGCUGUCAACAGUUUUCUAUGAGAAGCUGCUGCUACUUGCCUGGGGGUAAGCACCUUGUUCAUUGACUUUGACAAACUUCUCAAUUAGUUUCCCAUAUAUUGUCUGCAUCUCAUAUCCUUCUGGAAGAAUAUCACCUCAGUUUGGUUUUGACCAUUGAACUGCAAAAUGUUUCACCACCCAAUUCUUAAAACCGUUCAUAUUUGGCCAUCAGGCGGUUUUGGUGGGUGGUUUUGCUGACGUGGACGCCACAUAGCGGUGGGGCCCACUUGUCAGCUCUCCUCUCCCUCUCCUCUCUCUUUCUUCUCUCCUCUCCUCCACUGACAGCCGUCGGCCCCGCGGCGGCUGCCCCUAUGCAAGCCUCCACCGCGCCGGCAAGCUGGAGGCGCUGGAGGUGAGUGGGUGGAGCGACGGGUGGCCUCCGCGGAGGUGCCUGCCCAAGUCGGGCUGCAUGAGAGGAGGCUGAUGCACACCGCGAACCCCGAGACACCGGCGCCCCCCAGUCCCAGGCGGCGACGGCACGGGGUCUUGCGCAUCAGUGGCGGCGAGGGCAACCACAGUGACUGGCGUGGCAGUGGGAGGCGCAGGGGCGGACAGAGGCGCGGGGGAUGGGCCGGCAUAGGAGAGAGAGGGAGAAGGGAGAGAGAGAGGAGAGGAGGGCUGACAAAUGAGCUCCAUCGCCACGUGGCGUCCACGUCAGCAAAACCGCCCGAUGGCCAAAUAUGAACGGUUUUAAUAGUUGGAUGGCUAAAGAUUCCUGGUUUUGCGGUUCGAUGGUCAAAAUCAAACUGAGCCAAUAGUUGGAUGGCCAAAAAUGGACUUCUUCCUAUCCUUCUAUCAAACUUUUCUUUCGUACUUGCAUUGCACAGGAUUUAAUGAUCGCUAACUUCUUCAUUCUUUACUGUAUUUUUUAUAGGUAUGAUAGUCUUAUCGUCAAGUUGGGGGGACUUGUAGUUUUUGCUUUUGCUACUGCCUUCAUAUUGCUCAUGAUGGAAACAUUGAGUGCCUUCCUGCAUGCAUUGCGUCUGCACUGGGUUGAGUUUAUGAACAAGUUCUACCAUGGGGAUGGCUACAAGUUCAAGCCAUUUUCAUUUGCUCUGCUAGCAGACGACGAGGACUGAUGCAUGUGAUUUUCAGCACGUAAAGAGACAAUUCGUUUCUUACAAAUUUUUGGAGCACGGUAAUGGAACUUUGUGGGCGAGAUGGGUUUCCCCGAUACACAGCGUUUUGUCAGACCGCCGGACUUCUUCCCUGGGCAUGCGUGCAGUCGUCGUUGAGAUUGCCACAGCAUCGGGAGGAGGUUUUGUAAGUUUACGGCAGUAUUGUAGAGGGCAGGUUCAUCGUACAGUUCCUCCAACAGAGAUGCAGAUUAUAGUUGCUAACAAAAAACAUAGAAAUGUAGAUUUGCCCCCGCCUACUUAUAAAUGGAAAAGACAAUUUUUUGGCCAUUCUAGUGCCGAUGCUGGAAGAAAGGCAUGACAGAUAUUUACUGUAUUGUUUUACAAUUCAAAUAAUAGUUGUCCUUGUGAUUAUUCUUUUAAAUGCUGCUUUUUUGUCUGCUGUGUCCAGGUUCAUGUACUAGCAAGCCAUGUGUGACCCAUGACAUGGUAGAAUUUAAAGAAAAUGGCAGACAUAAAAAUUCAAGCUAAUUUCUAAUAAAAAAACGUGUAUCUUAAUUUGUUACAAUCUAGCACCUGCAAUUUUAACGAAUUUUCAUAUUCCCCGUUGGCAAAAAGACCUCUGACAUGGUUCUCGUCUAAGUAUGACGUUCCAUCGUGCAUCGGGUAUCCUUUAAUACAACUUGGAUCACCAAAAUUUAAAUUUAAAUGGAAGAAUUGACGAAUGAUGCAACAGAAAUGCCAUGUGCGAGAUGAAGAAAAUAUACGAGUGGUUCACACAGAUUACAUAGCACCUAAGCAAUGUUGGAGCACAUAUAGGGGUAAUAACAAACAAUUUUGGGUUUGGUUAACUUUACUAGGGAGAAGUAGAGAACACGCAAGUUUAUUACAGUUGCAAGUGUUAGACUAACAAAUCGAGAUGGGGUAUCUAAAACCCCUAGUUAGGUUUUUUUUUUGUAUUUUUUUCCUUCUAAAAAUAUAUGCACACUCAUGGAAAGUUCGAUUGAGUAUUCCUAGAUUUAAACUAGCUUUGCUAGCUUCAUCAUUGACCUAGCUGAUGGAAAGUUUAAUUUUGAGUAUUCCCAAUUCAGUUGUGCAGGUGGUAUUUUUGUAAAUCACUUGGAAAUACCACGCAGAGCUUCGCUCUGGGAUAACAAUAUAUUGGUGGUUAAUAAUUGUCGGCCACAUUGGUCAAAAAAAAGUUUCAAAGUUGAACAUGUAUUCCCGUGAUGGGACGGUGUUCCAUUGCAAUUUUAGCAAUGCCGGAAGCCGUUGUAGAGAGUAGGAUCAAGCACAUCAUGGUUACCAUUGUAGAUAGUUUUUUUUAUCGAAGUCAGUAGCGUAAACCUCUACCUAUUUUUUUAUAAUUUUUUUAUUCCAUACUUGUUUAAUUCGCUUCCACGGGGAGUCUAUUUUUUUUAUAAUUUUUUUAUUCCAUACUUGUUUAAUUCGCUUCCACGGGGAAUCUAGGUGCUACUCAACCACUUAGGUGUUCUAACCACUAGAGGUCCUUUCGCACCAUUGUAGAUACUCCCCUCAUCCCAAUUAUUAAGUCUAUGAAUCUACUCAGGUACUCUAACCACUAAGCUAGAGGUGUCCUUUCGCACCAUUAUAGAUACUCCCUUUGUCCCAAUUAUUAAGUCUAUGAAUCUAAAAAUACCAAAACGACCUACAAUUUGAAACGGAGGAAAAAUACCAAAACGACCUACAAUUUGAAACGGAGGAAGUAGUUGGUAGUGGAAGACAGGAUCAAGCACACCGUGGCUACCAAUUCGAUGGAGAAGGGUACACGAGAGGAGAAAGGUGGAAGAUAAUGGCUUUGAAGAGGAGAAACGCUAACAACCAUUAGCCAACCCAGAGGCACCCAGGUACUCAAUGCACCAAAAACUGCAUGUAACAAGAAUAUGAAUAGAUGGAUCAUAAAAUUAUCUAUGUGCAUAAAACUGGUGCAAAGAGAAAAAAGAGAGGGACAACCUAGCAGGAAUGAAGUUCCAGAAAAUGAGCAUAGACUGAUAACAGACUUAUAUGGUAAUCACCAUUAUUUGCGCCUAGGACUACUACAUUAUAUUUAUGCUUCAUAAUACAGAUCUGUGAAUGUAAAAGGCUGUCAAAAUAGCAACGGUCAAAUCAUUCUGAAUAUACAGACAAAAGCAAGCCCUAAACCAUUAUAGGUGAACUAUUCUCCUGGAAGCCAAUUUACAUCUGAGAGGCAGCCAUAGCAAAAAGUUAAAACACCCUUUUUAGGUGCCUUCGGUUUUCUGCUAAUAAACACGGAAGCAAUGUAGAGACUUCCGUAGCUCAUGGAUAACCACUGGAGAGAAUGAAGCAAUUGUCAGAACAAAAAAAAGCAGGAACCAUGCUGUGGAGCUUAAAUAUGCAUCUUAGGUUCCCUUGAUAAACAGAUACAGAUUUUAAGAGGGAGAGGUAGCAAAUUUGUGUUUAUCAUGAAAAGAAAAAUGCACUAAUGUGGCAAAUUAUCUGUGUACAGAAUCUUUAACAAAAGAAAAGGAUUCAGGGAACAAUAAGAUUACCAUAAAUUGCUGCUGUCUUCAGUUUUUGCCCUUCAGGUAUCCCCAUUGUGAUACUGAUUGUGUACAGGGAGAAAAUUGUCAGUGAAAUAAUUUAGUGUUUGAAAUUUUGUGACAUGUUUAGUAUCAGAGAUUUACUAUAGCAUUGUUUCACUAACAAAUAAAAGUAGGAUACAUUACCUGUGGUUGCAUGUAGCCCAUCCCUUGGUUGUAAACUCCAUGCUGAACCAACUGCAAGUAACAUGAGUAGGUCAGUUUCAAGAAUAACCAGGAGGAGACCAAUACAAGUUAAAAAUACUAACCUGGUUACUUGAGCUACUGGUGCCACCAUGGGGACUAAUUGCAUCCUUCUUUACAGAGCCCUCACCAGCUUUUGUAGACAACUUACUGUCACCCUAGCAGAAUUUUGCGAAAAAUUGUGAUCAGUAUUUCGCUGCAUCUUGGAUAUGCAAAUAGGACAUGAAAUUAUUAACUUGCUCACGGCAACCAUAGUAGUAGCACAGAAACUUGUUUGGUAGCCGGAGCAGUCCAACAAAGAAUAGGCAAUUAUCAAAAACAAAUAGAUCAUCCAUGCAAGUUUUUCAGAACUGGCAUCUACAAUGCAUUGCUUGUGAAUUUUGGUUUAUUGCCUGCAGGUACCUUUACCACAUGGCAUAGAAACCAGCAGGUAUCAUUCCUACAAAGGCAUACAAACCAGGAAAAGAAUAUAUCCAGCCUUGUUCAGGUGGUUAAUGUUCGCUAGUUCGCAUUCCUCAAAGCUGAUUAUGCGCAUUUCCUCUGCCAACUGCCAAAGGUUUUCUAACUGAGGGAGGGGUUAUAGUUCAAUAACCUGAAUAGGUUGUGUCGACUAUACAGUUCAGCCUAAGAAAGGUCAAAUACGUUCUGAUGGAGAAAUUAAAUAAGAGUACGAAAAUCAUAUACCUCCAUCUGCAGUCACCAGACCAGCCCAUCCCCAGAGGAGAAUAUGCAAGGAGGACAGAGAAGCGUCAUGAGACAGAUGCAAAAGAAACAUUAAAAAAAGAAGAAAAAGAGAGAGAAGAUCCACAUCUACACAACAGUGAGCACGAGCCAUCACUGACCUCUCGAUACUUUUGUAGGUAGAUCUUGAGGGGGUCGACGUAAUCCUCGAAUCCGAGCGUGGCCAUCGCCCAGAGCAGAUCGUCCCCGUUGAUGGUCUUGCGCUUCUCCUUCUGGCACUUGUCGCUGGCCCUGAAAGCACCACCGGCGCCGCCGCCACCGCACAAAUCAGAAUCACCUCAGAACAAAAAGAGAAGCCAACCUGAUCCAAGGCCGAGGGGCUACGCUACCGGGCCGUGUCAACUCACUCGCUGGUGACGAAGGAGAUGAACUCGGAGACGCACUCCUGCAGGGUCUCCUUGGCGUCCUUGGCGAUCUUGCCGUUUGCCGGGACGGCCUUCUUCAUGAUCCGGCUGAUGUUGGCGAUGGGCAGGAACCGGUCCUGCUCCCGGACGCCUCCGCCGCCGCCGCCCUCGUGGCUCCCGCCGUCGUCCGCCAUCGCCGGGGACCGGGCGCCUCCGCCGAAACCCUAGAUCCACCAAGACGGAGCCACACGGCAUCGAUCGCGUCAGAGCUCAGAGAGGCGCCGCCGGGAAACCGGAGGGUGGCGGGCGGGCAGCGUGUCGACGCGCCGUACGUACCUUAUAAAAACGCGCGCGAGGGGAGGCGAGGAGGGGAGAGAAGGGGAGAGAGGGGAGGAGAGAGGGGGGGAGGUGGCCGCGGAGGGAGGAGGAGAGGUGGGGAAUGGGAAUCGGACGCUGGAGAAGAGGAGGCGGUCCGGGUGGGUGCGAUGGAGGUGGCCGGAGUAUCCGGGCCGUUCGUCGGCUGCAAAUAGGGACGAGGAAGGGAGUGGGCCCUGCUGGGCCCCCAAACCUGCCCGUGGACCCGCGGGUUUAGCUGCUUGUAUUUCAGUUUUUUCUUGAAUGAGGAAACUUUGGAUUCUACUAAUAUAUCUUGUUCUUUUGCGAGGGUUGGAAUGUAAAUUUAAAUUUUUUCAAUUUUCGUUGAGGGAUUGAACAGUUCACGGUUAAAAGGAUUCGCCAAACCAAUAGACCGUUUGAUUAUCUUUCAACAUCGUUAUAGCAAAUUCGAGGAGUCACGGGCUAUGAUUGAUCAGCCAAAUGUUUUACGGGCUACUUGGUUUGAGAAAUCACUUUAUAUAGAAUGAAAUGAUCGGUCAUCUAGUGAUUUUGGUGGGAUGAAUCUAUACCUCGUUAUUUUAGGCUUUUAGCUAACUGUGUAUCUCAGUAUCUGCGAGGGAUGAUGCAGUGAAUUGGUGAUGACUGAUGAAUCAGCUUAUUCUGCUCCCAAAACCAAACAAAAAAAAAAGGUGAAAUAAUGUUAAUCACUUCAUUUCUCAAACCAAACGUCCCAAUUCAAGCUACAUUUCAUAUUCUUCAACUCUAACUCCAAAGCAUACUGGGGUUAGAGGAAAACCAUGAUUUUUUUUCCGAAAGAUUUUAGCCUGUAGAUUGGCCCAACGUUGACGGUGGAUCCGCAAUGAGACGACGGAGUCACGGAGGCUUCGGUGGGGACGUGGGGUGGCGGCCGGUGGCCGGGGGGGAUCAACAGCGCGCAGCAGGGUCAGGGGAUGGGCACUGGGCAGCCAUGGCGCGGGGCGUGCUGCGUGCAAGCUAGCUAGGACGGUGAAGGGCGCGGCGGCGCCGUCCAGAGGAAGCAGCAGGAAAAAUUCUUCUGGGAGAUUGUUGUAGAGCUGUAUCUGACGGAAGCUUCUAGAAGAGUACAUCCAAACAUCCGUAUAACUUUCGAGAUAAUCAUAUCACAAUCCAACCACUCGUAGAAUUCGACGAGUACAGUUAGAGCCUCUCAGGGUGCAAAGUAUUUUUCCCUUUCGCCAUUCGUCACCCCACAUCAACAAGAAAAGCAAGAGGAGGUUCAGACUACUAGCUCUACCACGAUGAGCACCGGACAACCACCGAGCAACGUAACCUCAAACGCAAAACAGUCAGAUACUCAGAUAUGGAUCACAACACAACCAGAUAUGUAUGUGCCUGAAAGUGGCAUGGAUCACAAACAACCAGAUAUGGAUGUUUCUGAAAGAGGCGAGCUACUAACAUUCUCAGCGAACAAAACAUGAUAGUACUAGUCUCUUAACAGAAGCAAAGUCUGACAAGAAGUUUUCACCAACACAAUCUUAGGUUAACAACUGCAACAGUGCGCUGUAAACAUAGCAAGCAACCAUUCUUAAACAUCUAAAGCCUCCAAACUUUCUACCCCAUGCUUGCUGAUUUUGAGUGUUGAGAGCAAUCUAAGACCUUGGCUUCUCCUUCUUCUCCUUGAAAAGGGCAAGCAGAGACACGCCCGAGACCUUGACAACCUUGAACCGGACACCAGGAAUAUCUCCCACAGCAUGACCCUUACGACCGAACCCAGCAAUCAACACCUCAUCCUGGACAGAUACACAACAAAAUAGAAGUCAUGCUUCUGAUGCACAAUAGGUUGCAAGACAAGAAUUGAAAGAGAGCUCUGAAUGAAGAAUACAUUUUCCUCAAUGUAGUUCAAGCAACCAUCAUUUGGCACGAAGGCAGCAAUCUUCUUGCCAUUCUUCACAAGCUGAACACGAGCACACUUACGGAUAGCAGAGUUUGGCUGUUUGGCCUCAAUACCACUGCAAUUGAAUCAAUGCCAUUGUCAUUUGUUCAGUUGAGUUCAAAAUAAAGUGACCAAAAUAGCACAGUUCCUGCAUCUGCUUACAUCUUCUCCAGAACGAUGCCCUUGGCAUGAGAUGACCCAGCAAAGGGUUUCUUCCACUCAUUGCCCAAAUGGCUCUUUUUGUAUGCCUUGUCAGCCCACCUUUGGUUCCUGCGGUGGGUCUUGAGCUUGCGCCCAGCUCCCAUACCACGUGUCUUCCUGUAUAAGACAACUUAAACAUGAAUAUUCACAGCUAAACAAACAGCAUAACCCGCUAACAGACUACCAUCUUACUAUUGACAGUCCAUCCAAAUGAAAUGCCUAUUACCAGUGUGCUAAAAAAACAUUAAUAAGGGACCAUCAGGUUGAUACACUAGUGAUGAAAGAACAGCUAGAUAAUCAAUAACAGCUCUAUCAUGAAAAGGUCUUGCUGAAAAUUUCAGAUCUCUGAACCAAAUAAACAGUUGGAAUUGCAUGAAAUGAGACAAAAGAUUGCAUCUAAGCAUAGAAGUCCAAAUGCGGCCACAUUUAUCCAUAACCAGUUACCUACAUACAACAGUUUAAAUAAAGAUUUGACUCUCCUCACUGUAUGCUAUGAUUAUUCUUCAGAACACGACAUAUCAAGCAGCAAUACAAUUACAAUGUUUACUGAAAUAGCCUAAUUGUUGACUCUUGAAUGGAUUGAACUCUAGUAUCUUGAAGGCCAAAGGCUCACGCUUUUGCUAAAAAACAUAUAAAAUUUCACUACACCAAGGGCAACUCACUGAAAUGUUACAGAAGAAUGAGGAAAGUGUAUGCUACCACGCAUAACUUCCCAGAUCCCAAGUAACCGGAUCAAGAAAGAUUAUAGCUACACGGCAGCAACGGAUUAUUAUCGCUUAUGAGUAUGUUUAGCACUGACGUUUUUGAAUCUGAUCAGCACUGGACCGUCAAUAAGCUUGGGUACAUCAGACUCAAUAACUAGUAAUUCUCGACAAAACAGUCAGACUGAGAUGAAAUCCGCAACAAAGAAUCGAAAAUCACGUCGUAUACUUCCUACCAGGGCAAGAACGCAUCACGCUACGAGAUGCCGACACACCAAACCACACUGGAUUCAUAAUCGCUAAGGCCAGAAAACAGACGACGACAAUAAGAGAUCGCAAGAGCGCGAACAGGAGAGAGUGAACUACCCCAUGUUGACGAAAGUGUUCCGAAGCGCUUCGCGGCGGAGGUGGGAGCGGCGGCGGCGAGGAGCGGAGCACGGGCUGGGAGCGGCGGCGGCUGCAAGAGAGGGGUGAUGAGGGGAGGCGAUGGGAUUUAUAUGCGGCGGCUUUGGUGUUAGGGUUUGGCUGUGUGGGUGCCUGCUUUGUGAUCUGUGCUUCUGGAGGGAACCUACGGUCGUGAUGUUGAGGAGGGGAGGGUUGGACACGGUAGACCUGGUCUACCACGUGGAUGCACAGGUAGGCUCUGGAUUUGUACCUCCAUCCUAUAAAGAGUACAAUCCUAAUUAAAAAAAGUUAUAAAAGAGUGAAAUUUCAGAUACAAGACAAAGGUGAAAACCAGAGUGCAAUUUCAUGAUUUGAUUAUCUGCAUGCUGUAAUAACCGACGCUAAGUGAAAACCAAACAACUUGCAUGUCUAAAUAAAUAAGAUUGAGACAAUAAUAAAGGAUUUCAUGAUUAUCUUUCGAUAAUAUUAUUCUAUGUAUCUGAAAAAAAUUAGAAUUGCACUUUUCGUUUGCCAACAACUCUCCCAAGUUGUAUCCACGAGAAAAACCAAAUUGAAGAAAAUUUGAAAGGGUAAUUUUGUUGAUGGACACUCCUUAGUGUUGGCAUUUGUUGAUGGACAUUCUUCAAUUUUACCUUUGCUGCUAGACACUUCUUAAGUUUUGAUAUUAGCUAGUAGACACUAUAUCUAUUAAAAUAAUCAUUUCUUGCUAUAGAGGGGAGAGAAAAUCAGUGACAGGACAUGUCAUGCUGCAUACAGACAUAUUUUGAGUCGCUAAAUAGACAAUGUAUGAGGCCAAUUAAACCGUAUAUAGGUAAACGAAGCAUAGAGCCAUACAAAAAAUCAAAAUAAAAUAUAGAUAUGACAAGCUUUAAAUGCUCUCAGCCAUAUUUGACAAAAAUAUAAGUUAAACAAGCCAAAACAUGUUGACAGCCAUUAAGGUUCAUAAUCCAUACAUGUUGACAGCCAUUAUAAGAUUCAUAACCCAUGAGAGGUCGAGCUUCUUUGGCAAAUCCACACUGCACAAAUGCUCUUCAUGGCGAUCUUCACUAGUUCAUGGUGCGGAUGGAGGACGACGGGUAGAUGCGGCCGGACGAGCAACGGAGAGAACAAGUUGGGCAGCUCCUGCAGUGCCAAGACGCGGGUCAGGCAGCGGUGGGCACCUCCGGCAUGGGCGGGUUGGGUAGCGACAACUUCUUCGCGGAGGCGACAACGUCUGGUAACAAGGGCGCCGAUUCGGGGGCUCGGUUGCUCCGAUUCAUGGGUUAGGUGGGGUACGACACAGAUUAAUGUUAAGGUGGCACAGGGACAUGGCAGCAUAUCCGUUUAUGAUGGAGUUAGGGGACGACAGCGCUGGGGCUUGGGCUGCCGUUGGGGGCGGCGGUGCCUCCGUGCGUGUCGUGGGUGGGGAACAGCGCAACGACUGUACAUCGCAUAUGUGAUGGGAAUCAUUUUGUCGCCUGAAGGAGUUUGGAUGGGCCAGUACGUGUCAGCCAAAUAAAAUCUGCGAUUGGUGUGUGAUGGGGUCCGCUUAUACUAUUUUCUGCGGCGUGCAUGAAAGUGACAGCGCCCAAUUCAGCACCACCACAGCACAUGCACGUCAGUACUAUUUUAUCACUGUCACCUCCUCCCAUGUUGCUUUGUGCAUGCACGCACUAAGGCACAUGCACAUGCAUUUUUCCUUUUUUUAUCUUUCUUUGUGUCUUCUUUUAUUUAUUUUCCAAUAUAUUUCUUUUCUUCCUUUUUUAUCUUUUAUUUUUCUUUUCCUCUCACGUUUUUGUUGUUUUUCUUUUCCUUUUUCCUUUCUCUUCCUCCUUUUCUUUUAUUCUUAUCCUUUAUUGUAUUUUUGGUAAUACUAUUUAUUUUCUUUAUCUUUCCCUUCUUCUUUUUUCUCAUCUUUUCUUUCUUUUGCCUUUUCCUUUAUUUUCGAUUGCUACCGCAUGUAGGCUACUUUCACACCAUAUUCGGUUUCUUUUUCUCAUUCUUUUUUCUCUUCCUCUCUCUUGUUUCAUUUUACUUUUUAUUAGUUUAAUUCAUGUUUUGUUUUUCUAUUUGAAUUUAGAUUCUCUUCUACAUAUUCCUUCUUGUACGUAAUUUAUCUUGUUUUCCUUAUUGAUUUUAUUUUCCUUUCUACAUUUCUUUAUUUACUUUUACUCCUUCUCUUUUGUAUUUUUAUGACCAUAUGUAUAUUUUUCCUAGUACAUAAUUUCUUUAGCGGUACUUUCAAAAUUAUAUUUUAAAGUAAUCUACUAGAUUUUGGUUGCUUAGUACAUUUUGUUGUUCUAUAUAGACUUAUGAGUUCGCAGUGUAAAAUUAUGUAUUCAAUUUAUAGGUUCAUUCCUUCACGUAGCUGACUCAUUUAUUCACCUUUUAUAGAUUGAAUUGGUUAAUGAUAUAGACUUGUUUGAUUGUUGAAUACUAACUUUUCUUUUUUCUUAUUCUUUUUAUAACAGCUUGUUGGUCAUGUAUAAAAUUUUUUAUUUGCCUAUCAUGAUAUGAAUUGGUCAGCUAUGUAGAUUGGUGUGUUAAAUUGUUUGUUCGCUUUAUAAACUGAACUAGUCAACCAUGUAGAUUCGUGGAUUACAAUAUUGUUAUAUGUUCAUAAUGCAUUUAUUUUCAAGUGUACAAAUUUUUAUUCGGUGUGUAUAAAUACUUAUUUUGUGAGUUUUUUCAAUUUAUUCAAGGUAUAUAGAUCUUUUAUUCCGUUAGUUCAUAUAAUUUGUUCCAUGAGUUCAUAUAAUUUGUUCCACAUGUAUUUAUUUUUUGUUUUCUGUGAGUUCAUUUAAUUUGUUCUAUGAGUAUAAUUUUUCCUUGAGUUCGUAUAAUUUAUUCCAGAUAUAUGUAUGGAAAAAAAAUCUUCCAACUUGAUGCUCAUAUUCUACUAUUUUGUCUUACAAUAUUUGGUUUUGUAGAUUAAAUUGUUUGAUGAUGUGGAUUUAUUUAUUCAUGAUGUUCAGUUUCUCCUUUUGUCUUAUACAAUCAAAUGUUCGUGAUGUUCAUCUUUUUGUUCGCAUCAUACCUUUGUUAUUCGUCAUGUUUAAUUUUUUGUUUGCAAAAAAUAAUAAUUUGUUCAUGACGUUCGAGUAUUUGUUCACAGUAGUUAACUAAUUAAUCCAUAUGUAAAAAAAUAUCUUUUAAAAAAUAUUACCAAAUAUAGUUAGGUGGAGUCUUGUUUUGAAGAUCUCGUCAUAAUAAACGUAAUGGUGCAAAUAAAAUUUAAUUUGGAUGUUCGGUUUAGGAGUUAUGAUUUUUUUAAAUUUGCAUGUACGUCGGUCGCGUCAUCAUUUUUGUCUUUUCUGCAUGCAUGCAUGCAUGCUCUGUCCAUGGACUCUUGCAAGCAUGCAAAGUGUUUGGAACUUAAAAAAACUAUAAAAUCUUACACCAAACAUCAAAAUUAAAUUCCGAUUGUACCAUUAGAUUUCUAACAAUAAAGCUUUACAACAAGAUCUCACUUGACUAUAUUUGGACAAACUUUUUUAUUCAUAUUUUUUAAUCAAGGUUGCAUAUUCUGUGAGAUAUAUACACGUGGAAUAAAUUAUACAAACCCAUGGAACAAAACAAUUGCAUACAUCAAACCAGAUAUAUGAACUCAAAGAAUAUGUUUAAUUUUUUGUUCGCAGAAAAUAGUUAUUUGUCCGUGGUGUUCAAACAUUUGUCCGUAAUAGCCAUAUCUAAAAAAUAUUUAAAAAAUAUUCUCCAAACAUAUUCAAGUGGGGUUUUGUUUUGAAGAUCUUAUUAUAAAAAAUUUAAUGGUGUAAUCGAAAUUUGAUUUGAAGGUCCGUUUCAAGAAUUAUGAUUUUUUAGUUUUUGGACCCUCUUGCAUGUGGAUGACAUCACCAACUCUAGUGAGCUAUUACUUCACUCGAUUCUUGCACCCGCGCAGCCCAAUAAUCAUCAUGCAGCCCACCAAUUACGCUGCAGGCCGGUAACAGAAGGUGACAACGACUGACCUAUCGUCUUUCUGCGGUGCAUAACUGCACCCGGGGAACAGGUUGGUGGGGAACGGGUGGAAGGAGGAAUCGGAUGGUGAGGGUAAGAUACGAGGGGGUAGUUGUUUUUUUUUAAUUCUCACUUCUUUCAUCAUAAAAUUAAUAUUAUAAUAUCUAUAGUGUCUUAUAGCAAAUAUACGAACUUGAAGAGUGCCUACGAGCAAAGGUGAAAUUGAGCAGUGUCCAUCAGCAAAUAUCAACAUUGAUGAAUGUACCGCAACAAAAUUACCUAAUUUGAAAAUAUAUAAACUCAAAGGCUGAAAGCCCAAAGGCCCAUCGUGCCAGUCAAGAAGCCCUCACCGCGGGCGGCCCAGUAUCCACAACCACCAUCCAAUCCAGUCUCCCCACGUCGCCACGUGACCACCAGCACCUCUAGAAACUUCCUCCUCGCCUCCGCCUCCGCCUUCCGCUUCCUCCCAGGCAGCCCCAAACCCACGAAACCCUCCUCUCCUCGCCGCCGCGCCGCCGCGCCGCCGCUUCCUCCUCCUCCCGCUGCCCACCCCCGGACCCAACCCUACCUUCGCGACAGCGGUAAUCGGAGCCGCGGGACAGGAUGCCGCCGAAGAAGGCCGCCCCGUCGAAGGCGGAGCUGGCCAAGAAGCAGAAGGUCGUGGAGGACAAGACCUUCGGGCUCAAGAACAAGAACAAGAGCAAGAACGUCCAGAAGUACGUCCAGUCCCUGCACCAGGCCGUCCAGCCCAAGCCCGACCCGACCAAGACCGCCGCCAAGGUACCGGAGAACGCUCAGAUCGAGAGCCCCCGCGGGCGCUUCCGUCGCUUCUUCCUCCGAUUGCCUGGCUCUUCUGAUUUUCCUCCUUUUCUUUGAUGUGGAUGUGGAUGUGUGUGCACAGAAAAAGAAGGAGGAGGAGAAGGCGCGCGAGAAGGAGCUCAAUGAUCUGUUCAAGGUCGCCGUCAGCCAGCCCAAGGUCCCAGUUGGUACGGUCUCUUCUCCUUGUGCUUAGGCAUCUUAAGUUGUCCUAUCCUAUAUAUUGCUGUAUAGUUCGUAUCGGUUUACAUGUGGAUGAAAUGAGUGCUACACAGUUCCAUUCGAUGUCAUUUAGUAUCAAAGUGGUCUGUGCAAUAUAAGUAUAAUCAAUUGACAUGGUUUUUUUAGUUUGUUCAGUGUAAAGUUGUGCAUUGGGAAAUGCCAACACCUUAGAGCUCUUUCAUGCCAUGUAGAGUGGACAUAAAUAUAGCAAGUUAUUAGGAUUGGUACAACAUGGUAGUUUUACGUGUUGUGGCUGCUAUCCUGGUGAAAGUCCGACAGAUGCUGAUGCCUCAAAUUAUGCUCUGCAGGUGUUGAUCCCAAGUCAAUAGUGUGCGAGUUCUUCAAGGUUGGCCAGUGCCAGAAGGGUUUUAAAUGCAAAUUCUCACAUGACCUGAAUGUCCAGAGGAAGGGUGAGAAGAUUGAUAUCUACACAGACAAGCGUGAUGCAGGUAUUGGACAAACAUUGCUUGGACUAUCACUUUCUUCUGUUCAAAUGGUUUUGUAUAAAUUCAUAUGCUAUUUGUUAUUGCCAGAAACUAUGGAGGACUGGGAUCAGGAAACUUUGGAGAAGGUUGUUGAAUCGAAAAGGACAGAGUAUCAGCAGAACAAGCCUACUGAUAUUGUACGCACUACUCUCAGCCUAUUUUGCUGUCAAUCACUAAUUCUAUCCUGUCAAAUGUUGCAUCACUUUCUAUGUUCCUUUGCAUGUUAUAGUAUGUUAAUAUCUAUAUUUAUCAAGUUUCAAACUAGGUAGAAUUGUUGUUAACCAUCUUGGUCAUUAAAUUUGAAACAUUCAGGAGAUGAAAUCAUAAUUAAGCAACUUAACACGCUGGCUGUAAAAUUUACUUAGAGGUUAUACUAGUCAAUCGACAUGUAGAAAAGCUUCAUGUCUGUCAUAUGCUGACUAACUGAAUGCAACUGUAUAGGCACCGAAUAUCAUGAGUGCAAUUUUAGAAAGAUUCACCAUGCUAUCAUAUUCUGAUGUAUUGGCAUCUGAGCUAGCGUUCCAAUUUUUUAUUGUCUAUAGCUUUCAUAAUCAGUGUUUUAUUUUGUCAUAUGAUGUUGUUUGUUUUCUUUAUAAACAUGGUAUUACAACGGUUUCUUUCGCCUUCAGUUGGUAAUAUGAAUUUAUUUGCACUAGUGCCUUGUCUACUCAGUCGGCAACCUGUUGUUAAAUAGGAAAGCAUUUUUGGUAAUUUGUUUGUUCUGUGCAGGUCUGCAAGUACUUUCUUGAUGCCGUGGAGAAGAAACAGUAUGGAUGGUUUUGGGUUUGCCCAAAUGGUGGUAAGGAUUGCCACUACAGGCAUGCCCUUCCACCUGGAUAUGUGCUAAAAUCCCAAAUGAAGGCCUUACUGGAGGAAGAGAGUGAUAAGAUAGCCAUUGAAGAUGAGAUUGAAGAUCAGGUAAAUGAAGUGUAAUAAGCAUCAUUAUCUGGAACUGUGAAGUCCCUGAUUCCCCCAUUUCUGUUUUGUAAUUGGAUUCCUUUAACGUUGUUAUUACAUAUUGUCUUGAUGUGUUGGUUUCGCAGCGUAAAAAGACAAAGACUACCACCCCUAUGACCACAGAAUUGUUCAUGGAAUGGAAGAGAAAGAAGGCAGAAGAAAGAGAAGCUGGCCAAGCUGCCUUGAAGGCAGAGAGGGCUAAGAAUGAUCGCAUGAGGUAACCUUCAUUUCUUUAAGCUGAUUGUUUUCUGCCUUUCUCGAUUUACUAACUGUGGUUGCAUUUGUUUCCAGUGGUCGUGAGUUGUUCAUGGCUGAUGCAAGUGUGUUCGUUGACGAUGCGGAAGCAUAUGAAGUCUAUGAGAGAGAGGAAGAGUCUGAGGCCAACGAAGAAUCGGUAAAUUUACCUUCCUUUGAUGAUAUGUGUUCCAUUUUUAGUAGGUUAGUAAGGUGAGAGUUUGAGAGUGUGCGCACCUGGCCCGGCCCCAUUCGUGCCCACAGAACACACAAAUUAUCCCACAGCCCACCCAAAUGGAAGCAAAGUGGUAUAUGUCAUGUCAGUUCUCACUGAAAUUAUUAUGUACUUGUUCUGUGUCUUAAUGAAGGAAACACAAAAAUGAGUAGGCUCAAGAAACUUACCUUGGUCCAGACAUGAUUUACCAUAUCCAUCCUAUAUCCAUGUAUAUCUUGGCCUCCAAAAUGUCCAAAACAUAAAGUGCAUGUUGCUGUUCAGAUCUAGACUUGGUGCCUUGGUCUUUAGCUUGGAGGUCCCCCCCCCCCCCCCCCCCCCUCCUCCUUCCCUCCCUCCCUCCCUCCCUCCCUUGCUCUCCCUCACCCUCCCUCCCUCCAUGUGAUAGAAGAUCAAAACAUCUGAAAUUGCUCUAUAUAAGUAGUGUCUAGACUCAGGAAAUUUAAUUUAUGUACCUUUUUUUAGUGAGCACGAGGCAAAUCCACAGGUGGCUAUGUAUUUGUGUAUGCUCAUUUAGAAAUUUGAUAGAUAAUCUUUGGAUGCAUUUAAGAAUCAAAGAAGUAACCUGGCGAUCUGAACAGAUUCUAUGGACCGCGGAGAUUCAUUUUUCUCACACCUGAUAUUAUUCUCAGAACGUGUUACUGCUAUGAUGAUGUUCACAGCUAUAUCUCUUAUCCACCUUUAUCCCGAAAAGAAAUAUAUAGGCAUGGAAUUAAUAAAUUGGAAAGAUAUCCAAGUCGUGGAUCUGAAAGCACAUUUAUAUUAGUUUACUGAAUUGAAAUGUGUAUCCUAGAAAAGGAGCUUUUGUUAUCAAAUUUCAAGUUAAAGGUGAAUUGCUUUCAGUACCUGGGGAAUGGCUUAAUUCACUGUAUGUUUUAGCAUGGAAUUUGGCAGAUGCUAUGAUAGUACAUCUAUAUGCAGGCUGGUUUGCAAUUAACUUGCACAGUAUUAUUCUCUCUUAUAGAUCUAUUCUAAUAUGUAUUUUGCACCCCAUGUGACAGAGCAAGAAAAGUCAGGAUGCAGGUCCAAGUUCAUCAACUUCUAAUGGCAAGGAGGUUGAGGAACUAGAUGACGAAGAUAUCGAUAUUGAUGAUGACUUGGACAUUGAUGAAUUAAAUGAACUUGAAGCAAGCCUGUCGAGAGCGUCCAUCCAAAUCCGAGAGCCUGGCGAGGGAGCAUCAUCCUGAGCAGUAGUAUUAUGGAAGAUCGUUGAGAAUUAGCUCUCCAUUUUUGGGCUCCCAAACCAAUCAAGUUGCUUUUGGAAACAGAAAGGUGGAGCAUAGAUGCAAGUGGAAAUGAUUUCUAGUUCACUAGCUAUCUUGAGGGAGCAACGAUCAACGAAUGACCCAGUGUUAUGAUUACAUGACAAUUGAUGUUUGCCGUGUGCCCUUUUAUCAUGUAACCCUUUUGGGGAACAUGUUGGUACUUGUGAAUAACAGGACUAAAUUAUUUUUGUUGACUUUGCGUGGACUCACGAGUAAAAUUUUGAUGCGAUCGUUACACCGCGAUGGGUCACAAUUAUGAUAGUUUGCUGAUUUUAUUCAAGCGCUGACGUGAGUAAUCUUCAGUUAUGCACUGUCUUUUAUCAGCAACCCGUUAUUAUGAUAAAGUUUUAUCAGCAACCUGUUAUUAUGAUUAUGUUUUUCCCUUUCUGCUGCGAAGAAUCGCAUUACAAUGUUUUUUUUACUGAACAUGUUUUGUUUCUUGUUGUGUACUUGCAUAUAUUUUCCCCAUCCAUUGUAUCAAUAAAAAUGAUUUUAUUAAAUUCCUGUUGCACUUAACAAAUCGGUUGUCUCAUUUGUAAGAUAUGUUUACUUGGAUCCUUGCAGUACUUUGCGUUGUACUGCUAUGGUGCUAACCUGAAAGUUUUCGUAAAUUUUAUGCGAAAUAUUUUACUUGUAAGAUCAAGCUGAUUCGCAUCAAUGAUAUUAGGGACGUAUGAUUCCCCUUUUCUUAGUCAACACCUGCAUUUGUUCCUGUCGAUUUGCCGAAUCAUUCAUGGAUAAGUACGGCACCAAAGCUUGUAGUAACUUCGAUGCGAUGACUCUGAGUCAAGGAAAGUCGCACGUACUAUAGCUCUGUUCGGCAUGAAAGAAUAUAUACGGGGUGUUUGGAUACACCUCCUAAAGUCUAGUAAUGUUUGAAUACUAAUUAGGAGUAUUAACCAUAGAUUAUUUACAAAAUCCAUUGCAUAGAUGGAGUCUAAUUCGCGAGACGAAUCUAUUAAACCUAAUUAGUUCAUGAUUUGACAAUGUGCUGCUACAGUAAAUAUGUGCUAAUUAUGGAUUAAUUAGGCUCAAUAGAUUCGUCUCGUGAAUUAAUACAGGGGUUCUGCAAUUAGUUUUAUAAUUAGCUCAUGUUUAGUCCUUCUAAUUAGCAUUCGAACAUCCGAUAUGAUACUCCUAAAGUUUAGCACCUCGUAUCCAAACAACCUAUCGCCAUUUCAGGUCGAAUCAGGCUGGGUGUCAUGUCAAAUUCUUGAGAGGGUUGUUGGGUUCUGCUAUACAUGAUAGAUCCGCGAAUCCGACGGGGUUCGCGAGACAUCCACGGUGGCAGCCGUCCUAUCGAGCUUUGAAGAUGCGCUCCGUGCAUGCUUACUCAGCUUGGCCGGCCGGCCGGCGGGUUGGAGGAUAUGCGGAUCUGCCGUUCGUGCGGCCACGGAUCUCACACGCACUGCGCACCAGCGCACGCUCGCUCGCGGUUGCGCUUGCGCACCGGCCGGCCACAGGCGCGCGCGCGCGUGCCUGGCUGCUCAACGAUUAUUUACACAUAGAUGCUUGCCGCAGCACUGGAUGCACAAACAGUACAGGGGGACGGGGUGUGCAACACAUAACAUCAUCUUCGUUAUCAUGCUUGGUUACAUAUAUACAUGUAACACGAGAAAGAGCAGAACAUAAAACUCGCCGACCCUCCCUAUUUAGUACUUAAGCUGUCACACCCCCUGAUUCCCUGAUUAGUGAUUACUACUCAACAUGACACAACAGAACCAUAAGCUUGGACACUCAUCAGAAGACGCGGCACAUUACUACCACCGUAACAACAAGUGCACACUUCCCUGAUGAAAACCAGUAAACAUUUAUGAAGGGGUUAUUUGUCUGAGAAGCAUAAACUCCUCAUGCAUCACACUGGUGCCUAAAAAGACUGCCCUCUAACAGUUGGAGACUUCAGGCCCAUCUCCCUCCUUAAUUCUUCCAUCAAACUGUUCAUCAAGAUUCUAGAAGAAAGAUUGUAACAGGUCAUCCUCUACCUAGAGUAUGCCAAUCAGUAUGGGUUUAUCAGCUCAAGAACUAUUCAUGAUUGCCUAGCCUAAGCUUUUGAAUUCAUCCACUUGUGCAAAUCCACCAGGAAAGAGGUAGUUAUCUUAAAAUUGGAUUUUGAGAAAACCUUUGAUAAAAUUGAACACCAGGCCAUCAUAAAAAUUCUGCAGAAUAAAGGCUUUGGUCCUAAGUGGUUGGGUGGAUCAGAGACAUUCUACAGUCUGGAACUUCUUCCGUCCUCCUUAAUAGUGUCCCUAGCAAGGUCUUCCAUUGCAAGAGAGGAGUCAGACAAGGAGACCCAUUAUCUCCACUCCUAUUUGUCUUAGCAGCAAACUUACUUCAGUCCAUGGUUAAUCAAGCAAAAUCCCAAGGCCUUAUCCACCUACCCAUCCCGGAGAGAGUAGGGAAAGAUUUCCCAAUUGUACAAUAUGCAGAUGAUAGUCUUUUUUGAUGGGUACAUGUACCAGGGUACCCUCAGAAUAGGGGCUAAGGUAACUAGGCGCCAAAAGGCCAAAGGCAACAGCUAGAAGCGGCCCAGACGACGUUGCGGCCCACCGCCCGACCUCCCUCGGUUGGAAGACAAAGCCACGACUCGCCGGCUCAGCUAGCUCGGGGGUGGAGCCCGCAAGGGGCCCACAACGCCUCACCCACUCCUUGACUCAGGAAGACCUGCGCCGUAUGAGAGCCAUUAUUGCACGGCGUGGUCCCCCUGACCGUCCCACGUCGGAGACAUGACCGGGUGAGGGGAGCCGACCUUUAACUAGGGGGUCCGAGGGUGAGGCUACACCCUUCGGACCGCCCAGGACGGCCUGCAGGAUGAGGUCACGCACAGCCGUACGUGCCUCGGCAUCAUCAUCACCUUCGCCGUCAAGAAGACCCAUCAAGAUUAAGGCCAUGCCACCGUCCCAGGCCAGUACGGUCCUGCAGGCGAUAUGGGACCCAACGACAAAGGUCACGACGAGGAGCGGCCGUGAGCGCACUAAAGAGGUCGGGGAAAGCCAGGACGAGCGGCGCGCCCCGUCCAGGCCACUAAUCAUGACCCGACCAUUCGUCACCAGUACGGACGACAGCAACAACACCCAUCCCAUUCACUGCCACGAAGUUGGCGGACGGGACAGGAGAACGCCACGAAACAGGAGUGUGUGUAAGCAACCCACGCCGCACAGGAGCUACCGUACAAGGCGUGCGAAGUCCAUGACCAGCGAAAGGGACAGGACAAGGAUGCCUCUUGGUGCAAGGAAUACUUGACCACGCCACAACUCCCGACCUCUGAGGUCGGGGACCCCCUCCAUUUCUCAACGUUGUUGUCCGGUCCCUAGCUUAUAUAAGGGGAACCGGGCCUCCUUUCUAUCUCUCAUUCAACGCAUACACCCACACAUCGCACGAACGCUUGCUUGCAAGCACCCCGUUGUAAGUCCAGUGCACUUGAUCCAAGGAACACAACUCCUGCCGAAACUGGAUGUAGGGAUUUUUUCCCCAAAACCAGUAUAACUACUUGUCUCUUGUAUGCUAGCCAUCAGAAGUGAGGAGAGCGCGGCGUAUACUCACUAGUCGGCGGUCCGAAACACCGACACUUUUGAUAAUGGAAGCUUGUCCUAGGCAGUUGCUAGUUCUAAAGGACCUCCUCAACUCCUUUGCAGCAACCAUUGGCCUAAAGGUUAACUACAAUAAGUCAGUAAUGAUCCCAAUAAACAUAUCUGAGGAAAGACUGCAAUCUUUGUCGAGCACUUUCAAUUACCGAAAAGGCUCCCUGCCAUUUACAUACUUGGGUCUCCUUUAGGCACCACUAAGCCUAAAAUUGAAGAAUUUUUGCCUCUAGUAUAGAGAAUUGAAAGAAGGUUGACUAGCGCAUAUGCAUUCCUCUCCCAAGCUGGUAAACUCGAGAUGGUAAACUAUGUACUCCAAUCUUUUAUUGUUGUACUCUCAAGCUACACAAGGGAGUGAUCAAACAACUAGAUAAAUACAUAAAACACUGCCUCUGAAAGAAUACAGAAAACACUACCCCUGGAAGGGAUUAGAUCUAAAAGCAGCAUGGCCAAUGGUGUGUCUACCCAAAAAGAAGGGAGUAUUAGGUGUUUUAAACCUCUCCACUCAUAAUGACUCUGAAAUUCCUACACAAAUUCUACUCCAGAGCCGAUAUACCUUGGGUGCAUCUAGUUUGGGAUAACUAUUACUUAAAUGGUCACUUACCUGGAUAACAAAGGAAAUGUUCCUUCUGGUGGAGAGACAUUGUUAAAUUAUUAGAUCAAUUCAAAGGAAUUGCCUCAAUAACUGUACAUGAUGGCUCUUCAGUGCUCCUCUGGCAAGAUAUGUGGAAUGGACAGAUUUUGCAAAAAAAUACCCCGAGCUCUUCUCCUUUGCCGAGAACCCCAAUAUAAUUUAUCAAAAAGCAGUGAGCAACACUCAACUGUCAAGCAACUUCCAGCUACCCUAUCCAUCCAAGCUCAUCAGCAAGUCUUGGAACUGCAAGGCACCCUGCUUGAUAACCAACAACUGACUAGUCCUAACCAGUGGAGUUACAUAUGGGCUAAUGCAAACUUCUCAGCAUCUAAAGUAUACAAAUCCUUAAUUGGUCACAGAAGCAUACACUCAGCAUUUACCUAGUUAUGGAGAUCUAAAUGCCAGAUGAAACAUAAAGUCUUUUUCUAGUUGUUGCUCAAGGAUAGAGUGAACACAAGAGAUCUCUUGAGGCAGAAAAGAAUGGUUUUGGAAUCAUACACAUGUGAUCUAUGCAUCCUGUAGAGGCCUGAAACUGUGGCACAUCUCUUCCUUCGUUGCAAUUUUGCUAAAGCAUGUUGGGAAUCCAUUGGCAUCUCAGUGGUCACUACGAGACCUAUCCGUCAAAUCUUUUCCAGGAUCAAGCAGCAGUUAGGAGUUCCCUUUUUCAUGGAGAUCAUCAUCCUCAUGACAUGGAGCAUUUGGAAAACAAGAAAUGACUGGGUAUUCAAUGAUAUGGACCCUUCAGUCAUUGAUUGCAAAUGGAGAUUCAUUGCUGAAUUCUCCCUUAUCCUCCAUAGAGCUAAACCCAGUCUAGUCAAUGUUAUGAACUAAUGGCUUCUUUCUCUUUGCUUUGUUUUCUGUAGCCUUUUGCUUUCUUUCCUUUUCCUUCUUUUCUUGCAUUCUGUAACUUUUAUUCCUCUUUAUUAAUAUAUAUGAAUCAGUAGGGGCUCUGCCCCUUCUGUUCCUUAAAAAAAACAUUUUUGUCUGGCAGCUUGCCAGCCAAGCACACACAAAAGCAAACAUUACCUACCGGCCGGUCUAAGAGGAGACAGAGGUGGUUUCCUCUCUCUAGCUAGUCGUCUCUGAUCAUUUCUUCCUGGCCCCGGCGUCUUUCUUGCCGGUGCCGGCGCCGGCCGUCUUGUCGCAGGCGAGGACAGCCGCCGUGGCCAGCGCAGCCGCGAUGUCCCUGACGAUCCUCUCCUUCACCUGGCCCCUCCGUGGCAGCGGGUUCCCUGACGGCGUCUUGCUGAUGGAUCGCCUGAUGACCGGAGCGGCGUCGCUGCUAGCAGUUGCCAUUGACUACGGCGUUCUAUACUAGCCACUACAGGCUUGGUCUGGUGAGUGGCGACUCUAGCUAAGCAGGAGCAGUGUGCUGUGUACUUUGUGAAGAGCUGGCAACCUGACACCAACACCUACCCAAAACUGGGUAUAACACCUACCCAAAACUGGGUAUAAAUAGGGGAGGGAAAGGCAAGACCGCACGAGGCAUGGAUGGGGAGAUGCAUGGAAUGCAAAGUGCACGCCUGGCGAGCCUCGGAUCCUCACCGGCGCCGAUUGGCCGGCGGCGGGGCGGAUGGAUGAGGAAUAAUGGGUGGUGGUGGUCAAGCCGUCAACGGCGAGCAUGGUGCGUGGCCGGUUCGGCGCAUCUGAUAUUCGCAGUGCGUUAGUUCGGAUUCUCUGAACAGCAGAAUGGAUGUUGCGAACUGCUUGCAACUGAAAAAAAAAAGUGUGCUAAUCCGGAGAGAUUGUAUGCCGCGCGCAUGACCUCACGGCCGGAACGUCACAUGCUGCCGUGUCGAUGUCAUCGUGUGGCUCGGGGAGAUAGGAAAGAGAAGGCAACAUGUUCGGCCCACUUUUAUCUUCUCAGGCGACAGUAGGUUGGGUUCCAGAUAUUCAGUUCCCGUGAACAACAGCAGUGCUGGCAGCUGUUUAAUUUGCAUGCAACAUCUCGUGGGUUCUAUACUAUUCGAUCAUAUAAAUGUAUUAGACUUCAUGUGAAUAUACGAUCCAUUUAAUAAAAAAACAUAUUGUUAUAUUUGCCUAAACAUUAUUAUGCAAUUUGAAAAACAAAAACUAACGAUAAACGCGUGUGUUUUCAUAUACUUUUGUUGUGGAUACAGGUAGAAGAGAUAAGAGGGAAUAAAAUGAAUAAUCCGAGAAUCGCAAGUAGUUCGUAAUUUAGAUGUUUAUCACAGACGCAGAUUUCACUAGCAUCUCCAUGUGUCACCCUGAGCUAUCUUUUAGCCUAACUUAGUGCUCCUAAUCAUUGCGCAUAUCGCUCCUAAUCCAACCAACACUUCACCAAUAGAAUGAAGAACCUAUCGCCAUGCUCCGGCCGUUGUAAUGGUUUUCCUGCCUGGCGAUGUGAUAACUGAUAACGGCCUAGUUUGUUGGCAUGAUGGUUAUUAACGGUAGAUAAAUUAUGUUGAUCCUGGCGAUGCUAAUCUCUGUAUUGUGGCUUUGUUUAAGUUCAGUGCCGAUAGUAUCACAUCGAACAAAUACGGGGACCUUUCUACGGAUCCUCUCUCUCUCUCUUUCUCACUGCUGAGUGAUAUCUAGAACUUAUACUGCAUAAAUCUGCUGCACAAUAUUUAAUUGUCAGGUACAGAUGACAAAGUACAGGUUCAUUAACAUCAGCACAAAGGCCAGCCAUACCACUCGUAGAGAAUAGAGAGAGUGGGAGACCCAUGGAUCAGCGGAGUUCGGAGACUGCACCGGGUCACCGCCUCUACGGGGUAUGAAUUACGAUGCCGCCGCCGCCGCCGGUGGCUGUCAGUUAACCAUCCGUCCAUCCGCAUGCAUGGUGGAGGCACGAGGCGUAAAAAAUUCGUGGCCGCGCACGGGCAGCCGCCGGCUCACGCCACAUACUCGUGCUCCGCGAACAGGUCCGAGUGGUGAUGCGCGCGCGGCAGCCUCAUGGCACCCCCUCUGUUUUCGAAUUCAGUUCAGAGCAGUCACCCAACUGUUUUCGAGUUCAGUUCAGAGCAGUGACCCCCUCUGUUUUCGAGUUCUAGUUCAGAGCAGCCACCCCUCUGUUUCUGAAUUCAGUUCAGAGCAGCCACCACUCUGUUUGCGAAUCAUGUUAAGCAGCUGGCACAAUGGUUCAGAAACGCAUAUCGGCCAAUUCGAUCUGAAUACAACAUGGUUUGGAAAUUGAAAGCCCAAUUACCAUCAAAUCUGCUACCAUAUAUUGCUUCGUAGUUCUUGCAUAAAACAACAAAGACAGUAAUGGACAUCUCUCUCCACAUUGCUUCACCCAACAACAGAGCUCUAAGCUGCACUCCAGCAGCUUAAAACCUGAAAGUGACCAAGGGGGGGAGAACCAAAGGAGCAAAACUAGGCACCAACAACUGCCAGAUUAAAGAAGAAAACUAAAGCUAAUCACUUCGCACAAUCCCUAUGUCAAGCACUACACACCGUACAACUAAAGUGUUCGAUCAGCUAGCAGCAGCUUGCUCAUCUCCCGAAGCUGCGCUCCCUGUUGGCGGCUCCGGCGCCGGCGCCGGCCGGUGCCGCGAGGCCGCCCAGCAGGGUCUUGGCGAUCUGCAGCUUGAGCUGCCCCCUCUUGAGCGGCGGCCUCUUCUCCUUGUUGCCGCCGCAGCCGUUGCAGGGGUACCCGUACUCCAUGGCAAGCUUCUCCGCUUCCUUUCUCACUCGAUGGCCGCUCGCUCUGUGCGUGAGCUUCUGGUAGCUCCCGGUGGCCUGCGCCGCUGGUGGAGAAGGCGAGAGAUGGCUGGCUGGCUUGGGGAUGGAGUGUGCAGGGCAGCGUGCAUUUUUAUAGCCGGAGGCCGGAGAUUUCAGACAUGUUGCAUUGGGAGAUGGAAACGCGCGUUGAUCAUCCAUUUGCUGGGGUCCGGGAAUAAAGUUGCAGGCUUGUUUUGAGCAUGUGGUUGUCUCUGUUGCGAGUGGGGAAGGCGUCACUUGACUUCGCACUAGCAGGCUAGAAGCUCUCGUUCCCUUCCCGACUACUUUUUCCUCGUCUUCUCAUAGUUCUUGGAAGCAUCCAUGAGGAGACAGGCAGGCCAAUGAGCAAAAACACAGGAUUAGGGAGGGAUUAGCCUCAUGUCAAUCAGAGAUUUGGCGAUCUAAUCUCGUGCCAAAUGCCCAUUUGGACCAGGAAAACAUGCAAUUGAGAAUUGACCCUUUCCAGUUUUCCUGUACCCUGUAAAAUAAAAUUAGGUCAUCCGAAAACAUGCAAUUGAGAAAUGUUGCAGAGUUCACCAGAUCUCCAUUUGCUUAUUAGAACAAAAAACAUUGCAUUAUCUAAAAAUGGAUUGCAUACCCUUUACUUGCGCUUUUCAGUAACAGUAUUGUUUUCC
rnacentral:lncRNA from 1 species